GUGACGACGGUGGGAAGGAGAGAGAGAGGUGGUAGCGGCGGCGGUGGACUUUCCAUCGCUUCAGUGCUACCCUCUAGAUUGGAUUAGGGUUAUAAGUGAGGAACCAGUGGCGGUGGCGAACCUCGUGACUUGUGUCAUGGUCCCCACCUCCUCUAUAUAGCACUGCGCGAUAGGGGCCUACCAGCCUUGCUUGGGCUGGAUGCCCCCGAUCAGGGAGUUGGUCAAGGUUCCAAUGGGCCGUUGGGCUCAUUGAACGAGAGAUCAAUCUAACACUUGAAUCCUAACCCAUCCAAAUAUUUGGGCUUUGUCAGGACUUCCCAGGAGCUAUGCUGGUUUUCUCCGUCCUUCUUUGCAUCCCAUCAAACUUUCUUGGUAGUUUUAAAUGUUCAGAAAGCCAUCUUGGUAGUUUUAAAGCAUGCCAUCAAAUAUACGUGAGUUGCCUGAGCAACAGAUUUAAUUAGAACACCCUUCCCUACUGAUGAUAACAAUUUACCCAUCCAUCUAGAAUUUGCUACUCAUGGUUCAGCCUGGACAUGGUCCGGUUCGGGCCCGGUCCAAGCCGGCGUUUGGACCGGCCGCCGGCGGUCCGGAUCGGACCGGACCGAGCUGUCCAGCGGUCUGUAUUUUCAGGACCGGCUCGAAUGUCAGCCGGCUCGGUCAGUCUUCUUAGGACCGUAAAGACCGAUUACAACACUCCUUUUAGCAGCUGUUUAGCUCCUAUUUAGCUGCAAUUUAGGUCCUAGUUAGCUGCUGUUUAGGCAUAUGUUGACAUGUCAACAUUUUAGAACAAGUAGAGCUGUAAAUUGGCAAUUUAUGCACUGAAUGAUAGCUGAGAGAGACUAGUGCUCGAUUUUGCAGGUUCAGAGUUCAGGUUCAGAGUCCAGGAUCAGGUUCAGAGUUCAUGUUCAGAGUCAGCAAGGGAGGGGAGACUAGUGCUCGAUCCCCUCCUCCCAGUGUCGCGCGAGGCACGCGUGACGGGCGCAGCGCCACGGGCCACGACGGGCGUUAAGGACAUCCGGCAUCGGGGAGAAGGAAGGCGGGCAGGCGGUGGGGGAUAUGAACUACGCAGGUUAUCUCAGGCUGCCCUUCGUGGCGCUCAACGAUGAACCAGGGAACCAGCUCGGACGAGAUGUCGCCGACGCCGUCGUGCGUCGGUGAGGGGAGUGGCCGCCGGCGCCGUCGCGAGGGAGAGGACUAGUCGAGCGAGGAGCAGAAGAGGAACCGAGCGAGGGGAGACUAUGUGGUGUUAGCGAGCAGAUCGACCUUGUUGGGCUUCGGUCCGCUCGUUCGGCCCGGUUAAAGACCGGACCGGACCGAACUAUUUUCGGUCUGGAUUCCUGGGCCCGGACCGGGCUGUUUUGUUGUCGGGUCUAGACCGUACGGUCCGGUCUUGAACGGGCCACGAGCGGGCCAAAAAGUUUGCUCGCGCCGUCCAGGCAGACUCGUGGUUGUAGUCGCGCCGUCCUGGUUCUCGUCCAGGCUGACUCGUGAUUUGUUUUGAGACAACCCUUAUUGGCGCUUGUCCAGGCAAAAUUGUCUUGGGCCUCCUUGAGCAACCUGCAGGCUGCAGCCACGGGCUCGCAGCCCAACCCAGUCAACUUGACGGAAACAAUAGAGGAAUUCAAUAUGGUCAAUUGCUCCACCUCCCCGUUUCUUCGUUUCUCACAGUUGCGGCCUUGCGGAUGAGGCGCGCUGCCGGUUGGCGGUGGCGAGCGGAGGCCGGUGGCUGGCACCCCGAGCAGCAGGCGAGCUACUCCUCCCCUCUUGCCUUCUUCCCGACUAGGUAAGAUUGCGAACUGAUUAGGUUUAAAUUUUAAGGUUAGGGCGUGGGGAAUUGUUCGUCGAGGGAUGGAUGGCGUCUGAUUUGUCUCUAUAUAAUUGAAUGUUAACACCCGGGUUUUGAACCAGUAAAUUUUAUGGUAGUUCCUAGCUUGUUGCCGCUUUUCUGAUUUGUUCUACAUAUUUUCACAUCAUUAUUUAUGUGAAUUUGUUACUUCGAAAUUUGGUGUUAUAACACGUGUUGUGUAUCCAAACAUCCAAAUUUUGAUUUCACAUUAGACACUUAGGCCAUCUCCAACGCCCGACUCUUAUGGAGGUGCUAUGAUAGAUUUCCUGAUCACUUGGCAGUUGUGUAAGGUGUUUAGCCCUUUCUUCCCGCAUGGGGCGCUUGGGCUGUUUAAUUAGCCUAUGUGUUAGCAUCUAGUGUUGGAAAGAUACAGCACUCAUAUCUUUUUAAUUUGAUAAUAUUUAUAAAUGUAACUAUUUGCAUAUUUAAAUGUAAUUUGUUGUAAGUUGAUCGUAUGAUUAUCUCGGAUGAAGAAUAAACUAUUCUGCAUCCUGGAUAAUUAAUAGAGUUUAUAUAAAGUGUUCGACUAGAAAGCCUUAGUCAGACUGAGACUUGCCCAUGCUUUAUAAAAGUUCUUGCUCCGCCACCACACCACCAUCCCACCGCCUGAUAGCAGAAAAUUGGAGGAGUUGGUGAGGGAGAGCAUCGGUGUAGUCAUGUUGCUGCACUACUAGAAUUGUAAUUAUUGUCGAGUUUGAAAGACACUCGGUAGAGCCCAUAUUAAACUCGGCGACAUUUUCACCGAGACGCACACAGCUCGACUUCCCCUGCAAUCAUUAAUACCGUCGAGUUCUUUAAACAACAAUGCUUGCCGAGUUCAUGCCAGAACAAACUCGGUGAACCACACCGUCAGAAGGGACGGGCCGUUAACGGAAGUGCCAGGUGGCCCAACUGUUUGUCAAAUUUUGGCACACAAAACUCGACAAAGUUUGGUAAAUAGAAAUGAUUCAUAUAUCAACACACAUUACCCUGUGCAAAAUAUCUGUCAAGUUUUUUAUCAAACAAAACUAGGCAAUCUGUUUGCCGAGUUCCAAACUUGGUACUUGUCCGUCCAAUAAAAGUCCACCGUGUGGCACAACGUUAUUACCUGUUGCUAUAUUUUGCCGAGUUCAUAAAUACCAAGAUUGGGCGGUAUUUUAAACUCAACAGUCUCCUAUCUAGUAAGGACCGGACACGUGGUACUGCCUUAUGACCCAGUGCCACAUUUCGCUAAGUUUGCAGCAAACGAAAUUAGGCAAACUUAUUAUUUUCCCAAUCCACAUACUUACCGAGUUUUCUAAGGUUGUAAACUUGGCAAAAUUUUGUCAUUUGCCAAGUUCCACGCUCGGCGAAUUAUGACAGCCGAGUGGAAGAUUGUACAUUUGCCGAGUUCUAAACUCGAAAAAGAGCAAACAUGAUUUUUUAAUACAAUUUUUUUUCGCAAAAUUGUGUCACAUAUGAACACCGAAAUACGUUUCAAUAAUAUAAUUUGCAAAAGUUCAAGUCACAUAAUUAACUAAUAAAAACAUACAUUACAAAUUCAGUCAACAUUCAAAGUUCAUAAACAUCAUAAAAUUAUCAGAACACUACAACCACGACAUGAGCUCAAGGGCAUGCUUCGUCAAUGCCUCUAUGAUUCGUUGGAGCUCCUGUAAUUAUUCGAGUUAGCAUUGUAGUAUUUACUUUAGGCUCAUAUUUGAAGAAUUAUGGCCAGACAUACUAAACUGUCCAGGAUAGAAGUAACACCACGAUAACAAGAAUGAUCAUCAAGAAGUAACUCUCUCUCUCUCUCUCUCUCUCUCUCUCUCUCUCUCUCUCUCUCUCUCUCUCUCUCUCUCUCUCUCUCUCUCUCUCCUAAAUCUUGGUACCCCGUCCAUGGGAUACCGCGGGUCUCCAAGCUCUCCCCGUCCCUAGUGUCUUAUUGUACUGGCUCACUUCACUACUUUGGAGGAUGGGUUUUUCCCCUUUUUGGUUCGCAAACGCUCUAACCCACCCUUUCCCUCGCCGGUGCAGUGCCAUCUGGAUACCUCAUAAAUAAAUCAAGCAGGCCGGCUAGUAAGCGAUCCCGAGGGGCUAUCUUCUCUCCCAUGCUGGUGCCUUGCUUAACUCAAGUAUAAAGUGGGAAUUAAAGCCAAAAUCCGGGGCCUCUCAAGAUUCUAGUCAUGAUAUUGCUGUGCAAACUCAUCUGAUCGCACCCCGAAGCUAUUCUCUCACCUUGUAUAUCUCCUAUUGUCCCAAUUCCUACUUCCUUUGGUUUCAGCUCCGACAUAACCUCUCUUAGUACCCCCAAUCGAAAUUCCUACGAGAUUGACGUUCGAAGAAAAAGACAUGGUUUGAUAGAAACUUUAAGUGGGUAUCAAAUAAACUGGAAUGAAUGGUAUCAAUUUCUUCUUUUCUAUACUGAAUCUGCUUCGGAUGAGAUGGCUGAAAUGAAGGUAUGUGAGGCUGUUCAUUAUGCACCCGGCACAUAGUAAGGUUUUCAACGGCAACCCCUAGACUGGGAAUGUCCACCCGGUCUUUAUAGAGCAGUCGACUAUAAGUAUAAGACUGCUGGCCUGUGAGAAGGCAGUCUCUCUCGGGAAACAUGGCCCAAUUUCUCUUCUUUCUUUUCACACGGGCAACAAUUGGGAAUAAAACUAUGAAGUUCACUCUUCUGCUGACUUGAGUCCAGAAGGGAAGCGACUGAUUUCCAAUUCUUCUUUGCUAGCGCUUGACUCCUGUGGAGCCUUUCGCUGCGCGCCUUUACUUGCUUCGGAAAUCAAACAAUGCAUUUCUUCUCAACAUAAGACAUGCUAUGAUACCCCAGGGUGGGUAGGAGCGGGUCGAGUCCGUAUCACCGCGGAACAACUGCAGCGUCCGGAUCUGAUCUAUCUACUCGGCAAUUCAUCCGGUGACUUCACGGUCGCCAAAGAAGCCCCAAGAAGCAUCAAACAUUUCCGAAGAAGAAUCCACUUGCCUAGUUUCAUAGACGAAUCGAGCCUUCUUCGGGAAUUCAGUCUCGUCUUCUUCUUCGACCUAGGUUUUGGCAAAUUCGAGCUGUUGUUUUAAUUCAGAGACCAGACGACUUCGAUACUGCUGCUUCUAUGGCCUUGACGCAGACAUAAGCGCAUUUAUAUUAUGAGUUAUUAGGCGAGGCUGCCCCUAGAACCAUCUUAUUAUUUUUAGCGUAGCAGUUGCUUAAAAUUGGAGAAAAACAGCCUGGCCAAACUACCCAUAAAAAGAAGAGAGAGAGUUGUAAGAGCGGUAAAAGCAAGCUCGGUGGCCCGGUUUCACCGUAUCAGAUCUUUCCAUUGCCCUAUGGUCACUUGCUUAAAAACUGAAAAGAGACAGACUAAAAAAGAGACUGAACUUCACUUAGGCUUUCUCGCAAGCUUAUUAGAGCAUUGAAUUGACCUCUACUAAGAGUAAGGUGAAUUUGGUAACUAUCUGGAUACCUUUAAAGGUCAAAAUUGCCUUCGCUUACCGCCUAAUCUUAAUCUAUUGCCCUGCCUCGAGGAAACUAUGGCCACACCCUUUCCUACUCUAAAGCCGCUGCCCUUAAGUGCCCGGCCCAGGAGGUAGGUCCAGUCUGCGGUGAAAUCUCGAAUACCAAAGUAGGAUAGGCCAGUGGGCAGACCAGCUAUAGAGAAUUGUUUCAAAAAGAAAAGAAGAUGACUUGAGCCAGGAAUCGAAAGAUAAAUAAAUCGGGACCGCUGACUUGCCAUUCUUUUGAAUCACUGGUUCAAUAGCAUUCCAUCCGGCGUAAGCAUCUGGAUAAUCUGGAAUACGACGCGGCGUAAGUCACGGGCCUUCUCCCUGAGCUGGGCUAUCCUGCGCUUUUGAAUCAAGUUGUUGAUGAAGGGUCGAUGUGAAGAUAAAGGCCACUGAGGGGCAAGCGGAGGAAGUGCAGAAAUCGCGUAUCCGCUAUGGGCCAAAACUAGUGUUUUUUCGGAUUUCUAGUCUAGUUUAAGUGCAGGGCUAGAGAGUUCCCAUAGCAAAAGGCUUGACCUCUAACGUUUCUUGAAUCUUUGUAUGCACGAGCUUUCGGUAGUGAUAAAGAUGCCAUAGCAGAAGCUAAGCGGUUNNNNNNNNNNNNNNNNNNNNNNNNNNNNNNNNNNNNNNNNNNNNNGCGGUUCAGCUCUGUGGUUCAAGCUGCUGUUUUCUCUUCUAGUGAGCAUGACCCUGCACUUUUCACUCAUACAUCUGACCGCGGUCGUACCUUGCUUCUUCUCUAUGUUGAUGAUAUGUUGAUCACUGGAGAUGAUCAGAAGUACAUUGCUUUUGUUAAGAAAAAGUUGAGUGAGUCAGGGAAUCGACACUCUCUUUUUUUCUUUUUCUUUUUCUUCCCCUUCGGCUUCUUAGACCCCUUAUUUUGAUUAUCUGUAAAGGUUAUAUUAUCUUUAGGGGUCAUUUAUAUAUUAGAGGUAUAAUCUUUGGGAUUCUUGUUGGUAGGUUGGGGCACCUCUUUGUUGACCAUUGGGGGUGGUGUAACUGGGUGCCCCUGCCUUACCGCUUGGCCAUGCCGCCAAAUCCGAUCCAAAAUCGAGCAAAAUCUUAUUCAUCCACAUUAUUUUACUAAUUAGUAUUCGUAGGAGGGGAUUAUUAAACCCUUUUUGAUUUUUUUUAGAUCGCCGAGCCGGUUAAGCAACAGAAGCUGUGGGCGAAAGCACACUCGUCAUUCUCAGACCUGCGGUCGAAAAACAAAUCGACAUCUCAAUCUCCGAAAGCGUUUUCCUUACCCAGCUAAUAUCCCCCCCUUCGUCGAGCCUUUCCUUUAGUGGUAAGGGAUAUGCACCUUAUCUGAACGUCGGCAGGCAUUCCGGAAUUCUCCUUUUUUGGCCCCGGGUGCAGGUCUUAUUUCAAAAAAAAAAAAGCCGCCCCGCCACUAGCUCUACUUUACAACGAUAUAUCUAGCUUUUAGUUUUGUUGAACUGCGGUUAUCUCAGGAAAUGAUUCUGGCUAGUUUUAUCGAGAGCAGAGGCGAAUAAUAGGCUUGUCACUCUGCGAAUUGAGCUAGUUCCUAUUUUGAUUUGCCAGCUACUUGUUUCAUUGCGGCACAUUUGAGCCGCGGAUCCUACUCUGGAAACAGAAAUACCCACAUGACAAGGCAAGAUAUAAUAGAAUAUGCAUCCAGCUUUAGCUGAAUAUAGUGAGUGUUCAGCGAAAAAGAAGCUAUCCCGCUAAAUCUUCCCGUGGUGAGUUGAGUCCUCGCCGAAGGUGCCGUGCCGUAUAGUACUUCUCCGGUUAUAGGUGAUAGGUGCAUGGCUUCCGCUCAUAAAGAAUGAGUGAGACCGGCGCUCAAUCAAUCAGCCACCAGUAGAGGAUAAAGGAAAAAGGGGUUCCCUAAGCAAUGCGAUUUUCCUUUACUUUGCUACUAGCUAUAUCGUUGUCUAAAUGUUGAAGAACUAUUGUGAUUUCAUUUCGACCAAGAGGUACUGGAUUCUCUUUCGGAUAGGCCCUGAAAGGAGAAGAAAGGCUGAAAUGCCAACGGACGUCUGUCUAUUCUCUAAUUCACCCGAUCCCUAUCCGCUUUCCAAAAAGGAAGAAUGCAUGAACCACGGCAGUCUUUUACUUAAGGUAUGGCUGUGAGAAAGAAACAUUUGUCCUCUUGUAAUCCAUUGCAUGUUGGAGCAAUUCUUAGGGAUGUGCACUGUGGCAUAGAACUCCUUGAUUGCUGAAGCAUAAAAAUCUUGCUUGAAUUCAGAGAAGGUCACAACUGUCAAAAAGAGGAAUCACUGCUUUGAGUUCAUCUUGCUUUCCUACAUGCUCCCAGUUCACCCACUUCUCACUUCAAAAUACCCCAGCCUAAUUUCUAGAAUAGGGCUGCGGGCAGGAGGGCUUUGUUUGUGCAAUCUUGCUCGCAACACCCUCUCCUCCGGCGAACCUGCGAUCGCCGCCUCUAACUGAAUGCUCAACUGAGGUCAUGUUUUCUCAAGUCAGUCGAUCCAACCCUGCAACCUUGUAAACAACUAUACCUCGACUUGUUGACCCAGUGAGUAACUACUAUCGUAGCGAACCUAAAGCAUUCACGCCUCAACGAAACCUAUUCCUCUGUUUCUUGGCGCCAAAGGGACUACCACUAUAUUCCAUUCCUUCCCUAAUGAUUUGAAGAUUCUAUUCCUCCGGAUGUUUACGACUUCAAUAACAGUCUCGAACUGGAAUUACGUACCUUGACUCAUAGGAAGUCAGACCGCGGUGUUAAGAAACAUACCUAUUUUAUUCAUCGCUAGAAGCCAAUCAUUACCUAAGGUUUCUUCCGCGGGUUUCAGGGUCAAAGGAACUAUUUCUAACUGUUGACUCGAGUGCGAGGCCAAAGCGAUGAAAAGACCCUUUAUUUAAUAUGGUCACGCCCAUGAGAGAAAGUCUAGCCCUAUCAACACCUUCUGAUCCUAGUUGGCUCGAGUAAGGCAGGCUACUUCUAAGCAAUCUAGAGAACAUUGAACCUCAUUGAAAAGAAAUAACUUUUCAAUUUUAUUAAAUAAUUAUUUAAUAUUUAAUAAGUAAAAAAUGGGAUCGUCCUGAGCAGGCGGGGCGUCCUGAGCAGGUGGGGGUGCCUAAACUAAACAAUUUUAUAUUAAGCGCGGCAUCCUCUCUUCGGGGUUUACGCGUCCUAGUCCGAACCAUUGGAUCGAUCCGCAAUGGGGCUCUGGGUGAAUAUUGUCCGCCCGUAUGAGCCGGGCUGUGAGGCCGCUUGGGCUUUUUUUAUUCCCAGGUGUCCGUUUUCUAAAUGCGUAUCGUGAUCCUAGUAUCGGGCUAGGAUUGGCUUCGUGCCAAUCCUCACCAUUGGUAACUGUAAUUACCAAGCCUAAUCUUUCACUGAAUACCGAGUAAAGCAAGCAAGAAAGAGGGAAGGAGCAGCUGUUUUCGAGCUAGGCUCGAUCCCUUUUUCAUCCACUUCUCGCUAUUUUUAAUUCCAAGAAACAGAGGAAUAGGUUUCGUUGAGAUCUGCAUUCCCGAAUUGAGUAAAGUACGUGUAUGACCCAGAGAAGUGAAGGUGUUUGCCAGAUCAGAUUUGACUUGGUGUUGUCUCAUCCGAAAAGUAUGCUUGUUUCAAUCUAAUCUCAAAACACGCGUUUCCUUUGAACUUGGUCCAUCGGACAGAUAUAGACAUGGAGAAGCUUUUCAAUGUCAAUCUUUCACUACUUUGUUUGGACCUUGCUUCUUCACUUAAUGCUUGCUUUCCGUCUUGCCUUUGCUGGGCCUAUGAUAGGCUGUACUCCAAUACGAAAUAAGAUUGUACAUGAAGGUGGGAUUUGACAGCAAGAAGAAAGCAAUCAUAGUACGCGGCACACACCGCUGACGAAUGAGAUUGACGUCCCAAACCAACACAGGUUCAAGACUAAGUGCAGAACCAAGAAUGCCGUGGAUAGAAAAGUGAGUGCUUCCUCAAGCAGGAAGUCGCGGAAAACGAGGCCUGAAGAGAAGUCCACCGAAUAAGGGCUUUUCUUGUGGUAUGGUUUCAAUUAGCCUUCGAGUCUUCUAUUCCGGCUAAGAAGUUUUGGUGAGUCGUUGGUAUAAGUAAUAAAGGGAGAUCAAGUCCUGGAACAAGGCUUGAUUCACUGGUCCGAGUCGAUGGCACUGGACAAUACUUGGGAGGACCUCAUCGACCUGAAGACUCGUUUUCCUUAUGCGGGACUGUCCCUCCAAUUCAGUAAAACUGGAACUGUAGGGUUUGCCAUUUGGGGACCUGCUGGCAUAAUGCAGGCUGGAACGUGGGAAUUCGAGGUCUCAUGAACGAGUUUUUUUUUCGAAAUUAAUUCAAAAGGAAUGAGUUUUUUUGAGUGACGUCUGUGACCUCGGGCCGGUCCAAAGGUAAGAAGAUCCGUUGGUUGGAAAUCCGUAUCAAUUGUUACUGGUUCUCCCGUUCUUGGUACUGUGUCAUCGCCUAUGGAAUCUAUUGGCUCGGCUGAACCGACAUGAAAUGAAAGAGAGGAAGGCGGAAGCUAUUGGCAAAUAGAGGGGGGAUGUUCUCCGUGUCUUUUAGCCCUCACUAGAUGACAACUUGGGGAGCAUGAUCUGCAAGCAAUUACUCUGGAUGCUGAUCCUGCAGAGCAGACACCUCCAGCUGUUCAAGAACUGCUACAGGAGUUUGAUGCUUUGUUCUGGGAGCCAAAGGAAUUACCCCCUCGUCGGGGCUGCCCCCUCUUCCCCUCGCUCUCCUUUCCUUAAUAUUCACCGUCGAGUCAUCAAAGCGGGAAUUCAAAUAGAUGUGUUGAAGAUCAUCAAAGAAAGGAAAAAGACUGAAUUCGAUCCAUCUCCUCCCUUUUCUUUAAACCAAGAGCUACUCCUCCCUUUUCUUUUUUUUAUGUAAUUUCAAUACGAUUUCGUUUGUGUUCAUGUUUUCAAUUUAGAACCCCACGGAAGUGAAUAGAAAAAAGAAAAAUACCCCUGUGAUACGCCUUCCUUUACCUAUUUCUAGAUUGAUUGAUGUUCAAUGGAGGGAAACUUGCGCCCCGGAUGUUCAACUUCAAGGCUAGGGCUGAGAUGCCCAGAAAAGUCUGAGUCAACAGAAUAUCCAGGGCUAUGGUCUCUAAUGGAUGGUACCUCGCUCAAUUGAAGCUUAUGGGAAAGCAGGAGUCAUUGUCAUAUCAACAGUCAAACGAAAGCACUAUUCUAAAAUAUGAAUGAAAGAAUUUGCAGGAGAUAAAUGCUAGUAUGCAGCGGGGAACAAGGGAAUACCGGACCAUAUCUGCUUUUGCGCCAUGACAAUCUCACUCGAAUUACACGGACCUACACAUAUUAGUACAGUAUACCGGGGUCCCCGGCCAGAACUCGUGGAAGCUGGGGAGUAUCCGCUUGGGACUGAUAGAAAACGGCAUAUCUUUUCCCUCCUGACCCCUAUAAAAAUCUAGUGGAAGUCCGGUCGCGUCGGAGACAUCUUUAUCUGAUUUUGAGGCUUCGUCGUCCGGCUCCUCCAAAAUAGACUGAAUGAUAUGUAUCAAAUUGAAGUUGCCUUUAGAAUCUGGGAUCAGAACAGGACAGGUAUCACUUUUCACGAUGAAAGUGCUGCGGGCACAUAGAGAUGUGGGUAGAGGAAGUCUCAAAAAGCGCGCUCUCUCUCCCUCCCUUUCGCCGCGUGCGCCGUCCCUCCAUGGACAGAGCUAAAAGUGGAGUGUUGGUCAAAGCAAGCCGCCCUAUUCUAUUACCAGACAAAAUGGAGAGAAGCUCAUCCGCUAGAAAUGCUUUAUUUCGACCAUAUCAAAUUCACUAGGGCCUCUUUCCUCUCUUUUUGUUGGCAACCCCUGUCAAUGUAUGUUUGAUUUGGGAGGCUACCAAUUCUGGAAUUUCUUCUCGAGACAUCCCCGUCAGUCGCAUAUUGAACAACCUAAGAGUGGAAACACCUUAAUCGCUUCUCCAAGCUUAUCUAUAUAUAUUUAUCGAUGGAAGCGGAAGGAAAGGCUUAAAGAAGGUGACAAGAAGAGAAACUUAUUAGUUCGUCGUAGAACGCUGGAAGAGAAAAGAAUCAGAAUUACUGAGCUACCCCGCUCUAGUGCUCUACCUCGGGCCAUCGACAUCAUACGCUCUACUGAAAUAGAUUUCGCGGAAAACCAGCUAUAUCCGAUACCACCGGGUUGAAAGAAAUCCCUUACUAUUAGGACAUAGUGUUCGGUACGACUUAAGGCUACUGGAUUGACUUUCUUUAAUGUUGGGCCUUUUUAUUGAUUUUGACGAUUGGAUCUCUCUAUGAAUGGAAAAGGGGUGCGAAGAUGCGGAUUGAAUGCAUUGAUUCUUCGAUGGAAAUCCAAGACAUGCCAAGAGAGAUUGUAGAUUGCAUCCUGAUUUCCUCCGCACAGAUGCUCUUACAAGCUUGUUCACUUUCUUUGGGCUAGAAGAUGCAUGUCUUUCUCAGCUACACCAUCUUUAUGCAUGUCUUUCUCUAAUAUGUGUAGGUCCCUGUAAUUCGAGUGAGAUUGUCAUGGCGCAAAAGCAGAUAUGGUCCGGUAUUCCCUUGUUCCCCGUAUUGGUUAUGUUCCUUAUUCCUCGUCUAGCAGAAACUAAUCGAGCUCCGUCCCAUUUUACCAUUGCUUAAGCCAUAUUACAUAAAGCAAGCUGUCCCCAAGGAUGUCCAUUCCAUUCGGCAGGGACUCCAUCUCGCAUUCGAUCUCCCUCCUUUCCCUGAAAGAGUCGAGGUCUCUCUGGACUUCUCUUUUGCCUCUCUCCCAGAUUCAGAAAAAGGGAGGAAGAGGGCCUCCUACUUGUUCACCUCUGUGUCGGUUUGGGGUACGGUGAGUUCACCGGGAGGAUCGCCCUCCCAAUUCGAAGUUUUUUCCUGGAAGUUUCAAACGAACGAGGAAGACCGAUCCUAAAUAAAUAGAGUUUCCGACGCUAGGAGGAAUUCCCCUGAAUAGCAAAGCAUCACAUCAUUGGAAAUAGCAAAGCAAGAUCGGUACCUCAGGAAUGAAUCGGUACCUUGCUUCUGUUCUGUUCUGUUCUGAUCGGUACCUUUCCUUUGGAAUCGGUACCUGGAAUUAGCGCCCCCGGAGACCGGACUCGUAGGGGGUAAGAUAAGUAGGGCCUCUACUUCCUAUGUUCUGUUGUAAAGGGGCUAUAUAUUUAAUUAUAUAUAAAAUUAAUUUAUUUAAUAUUUUUUCAUAAUAUUAAAGGCAACGCAUACCGAAAAAGGGUACCUAUGUUGACGACCAUUAAUGACUAGUUCGAAGACCAGGAGCAGGGGCACGUGCCAAGAAAGAUUUGUUACUUUCCCUAUGGUUUUCGAACAUUUUCAAUAAAACCUUCUCGUAGAAGUAUUUUCACAAAGUUUUCGGUAAUAUUAGUAGAUGCUAUUCGAACCCUUCCUUUUAUUAAGAUUAGAAUUCUUAUUCUUAUUAUUAUCUAAUUAUUCUUUUUUUUCAUGUAUAUGCGUCAGACACAAUCUACUAAUUGAUCUAUAUUCUGAUACCCUACUAUAUCAUAGUCUCUACUACUAGUAUUUUUAAUACCUCAGGAGCUCAUGAGACUCUUUUAGUGAAAUUCAUAAGUCUCAAUUCCCCAGCGAUCGCACCAAAAACUCCAGUUCCUUUUGGAUUUCCUUCUUGAUCAAUGACAACCGUCAUCAUAUCGUAUUAUCAUACCGUUGUCACGUUUGAGUUCUUUACAUGUACGUACAAUUACAGCUCGUCUUACUUCUGUCUGAUCUUUCUAGAGGCAUUUUGGGCACUGCUUCUUUGAUUACAGCAACAAUAACGUCACCAAUAUGAGCAUAUCAGUGAUUACCAGCUCCUAAGAUUCGAAUACAUAUCAAUUCGAUAGCCCCACUCCGUUGUUAUCCGCUACAUUCAAAAGGGUCUGAGUGAGAUGGAUCUUGGAAGUCUGGUUUUUGAUUGGAUAGUGAUCUCGGGCACGAGUGGUUGAUCUUCGCGGGCCGUGAAUGGCCAUGGAAAGGAGUAUUGAUGUCAAUAUGUUCGAUCGAGAAGAUUGGACGAUGAAAGACGGAUCCUUUGUGGUUUGAAUAAUAGGCUGUGGUCUCGAUAUUGGGCUAUGGGCUGAUUGCUUUCUGUAUGAGCUUCUUGUGAUUGGGCUCUCGUGGGCGGAUUACCCGAUGUGUACUCAUCUUCCAACAAAGAGGAGAGGACAGGGCUACUGCUGGUCCACGCAUGAGAGCUCCUCUGUGUCUUUUCGGAAAUUACUUCGACUCGCAAAGGUGAUCCCAGCCCACAAUACAAUCAGUAGUUUACUUAACUGAUAUAAAGAGUUUCCCCUGCCUGCCCCUACUAUCAAUUGAUAAUACAUAAAUGAUCCGGGGCUAGUGUUGGGUAGCCGGGCCCACUAGAAUUCAAGUGCUUCUUAUCGAUUCAAUACGCCCUUAACGGAUCCCCGUGCUUUAUCUCCAUUGGGUGGAGCAAGACCCUUGUCCUAUCUUUUCUUUACAGAGCAAUAGAAAUGAUGGUUGCCCCUCGCUGCACUGACCAAUGAUAUCUCAGAAGAGAGAAAGACUUCUAUAACUUGCCAAUGAUAUCUAGUGGGCACUACGAACUCCAGGCAUACUGUACUUGACCACCCUACUUUGCUUUGUCCCUAUUAGGCGAAAUCAAUACUUACUUUCAAUUGGUAGAGAGGAAGAAGAGAACUGACACUAGUAAUAGGUUGAUGACUUCUCUUAACAGAACUGACACUAGUAAUAGGUUGAUGACUUCUCUGACUUAAUAGCUGGCCGACUUCUCUUCAUGGAUCACCGUUCUAUAUAGUUAGGCGCAGCAUCGCGUUUAACCACCUAUCCCUAUUCCCUCAAUCGAUACCGUCCAACUAUCCUUUUAUUGGGACAGCAGCAUACUUCUCGUUAGGGACAAUAGUUCCUAUACUUAACUAACCUCUGUGCGCAAUCACUGUUUGACACAUCAUUCUUUCAGCUUUUCGUUCUUGACGACUCUGUUUGACGGAGCCUGACCUUGAACUAGCUUUUUGCAACACAAACCACUAUCUUUACUUUCCUUUAGCAAUAGUAUCUAACUAUCAAUUCAUAAGAGUCAAACGGGUGGGUCCAUCCCAUCUAUCGACAGGUCCUGAUACCGGAUCUAGGAAACAAGCAAUACUCGCCGCAAUUCCUUAAUGAAAAAAAGACCUAUCUUCUCUUGAAAGACUUUCUAUAAGUCAUGAAGACGUGGACCAAAAGACUAAGAAACUGCACAAUCUAUUGAUUGACUGAAAAACUCAAGCUGAGUAACUUGCUGGAAUGAUCGCUCCGGCUCUGGGCCGUCUGAUCUUCGGGAUGCAGAAUAGGGGAUCGCUUGCCAACCGUUAGUUAGGACCAGUGAAAACCCACGCUUGGUGAAGGCGAAGUUCAGUUUGGAGAUCUAACAAUUCCUUAUGUCGUGUAUCCUCGAUUGAUGCAGCCUCAGAUGCUUCAAUUGUAGAUUUGAGUAUUGAGCGAAAGGUUACACCACCUAUAGGUUCUGUAUUACAGGCCAAUCCUACUCCACUAGUACCAAUAGGCGGCAUAGGGGAAAAAGCACAACACCUAGGAAUAGGAAUCAACAACACAAAAACUUUCUGAGAAAUUACCCAGCAAGAAAACGUAUGCGCGUGGGCGCAACGGAUUUCGCUCCCGUGCGCUCAUCCCUUGCUUGUUCUUUCGGACUAGCACCCUUUCCCUCUCUUUGAAGUAGAUUUCUCAGCUCCACGAGUCAAACGAAAUAAGGCGAAAGGCCCACUACUUCUUCAUUCAUGGCUUAUUGAUUUGAUUGAUCCCCCUUUCGUAUUCAUUCGACCUGAGGUGAGGUUGGAACAAGAGUUUUCAUAAAAAGAAUGGUUCUUUUAUGCAAUUAUGAAUGGGCAGGCCUCUUGUGGAUUCCUCCAACUCUAUGAAUGAAGGGGGGAGUAUGAGGAAGGCCGAUUUUCUUUCUAUAUGAAGAUGAAAAAAGGAUCAGGGUCAAACAUUUCUUACUUUUGUUGAGUAUGACUGAAUGAGGAAGAGCUCCUUAUGUGGUAUCACUUUACCACCAUCUGAAAUGCGCGAAACUCCGAUUGGUGGAAGCCAGUCCAUGAAGAUUCUCCCUUCUCUUACGUGAAAUUCCCCUCUUUCGGUAAGCAUCCAGUAUCUCAGCAAAUGAACAUUUCUCUAAGCUUAUCCUGUAGCUUAUACGUCGUUUGAAAGCUGCUCCAAGGAUCCAACGAAUAGCUAAGGUUUGUUGACGAUCCCUGACUACAAUCCCAGGAACAUCAUAAAUAGUACCUGCGACUCCUACUUUGACCACUUCGCAUAUUGGCUUUAUAUUAUCUACGGCGUCAACCAUAAGUUUUAUUACAUCGCGUUCAGUUCGAGCUAGGCGGUGAAAAGUUUUAUAAACAAUAGCACGAACUCUCGUUCUUUUACCAUCGAUCAUGUGAAAGUUUACCAAUUUCUUGAUCAAUUCUUUUUGCUCACCAUCAAAGUCCCCCAUAUAGCUGAGAAUUUCCGAGCAAUUGGAAGCCGCUUUCGAUGACGAGGCCGAUAAAUUGAUAUUACGCGAUCGUUACUGUCCAUCUUUUUCAGAGUAAAUAAAAACUUUCAACAUAAUAUUAAAUAAUUUACUAUAAAAAUAAUUAAUUGAUAAAAAAUAUAUUUAAUAUUAUGAGUAAUAAAAAAAAUUAAAAAUAAUUUUUUGAUAUGGGUCGGGAAGUCAAGUCCUAUUGGAGGGAGCCUCCUCAUCAUUAGGCUCGGGAAGGCCUCUUAAAGUAAAGCACCGAUCAUCUCUACAUUCUGGAGGGGAGCUGGAACUCAAAGAGAGAAUAGAUACGUUCAUGUCCUUUCCUGUCUAUCCACUCAGGUUAGAAACUAGGGAAGCACUGGCCUAUUUCCAGCAGAACGGAAGAUCGAAGUCCGCGCUUCUCAACCUAUAAACAGUUCAAACACAUAAGCCUCUUCUUUUAGACUAUGAAACGGGAGAACCAACCCUAGAGAAGAAAUACUUAGAUGCUUGCUUUUCCCUUGACCCGGCACUAUUCUCAUUUCCACUUCCCCCCAUAAUGAUAUCAAGAACGGGCCCUUGCUCGAGAGAAUUCCCUUUCCCUAGCCUCCUUUCUAUCUCCCGGCAAGCAAAUAGGCCUUUCCACCUCAACCUAUGAACCAGUCAAGCAAACUCCAAUCCUAAGAAACAAGGGAAGAUAUUACGAGAACCCAUCCUUUCCUGAUGCUUAUCCCAUCCUAGGCAGUACCACACCACAAGUGCAAGCACAACCACAAGCACAACACAAGUGGACAAUCAAAAGCAAUACAAACACAUGCAUGCCAAGAACUAUCACAAGUCUUCACACACAGGCAAUGGAAAUGGAUCUGAUCUCAUGCUCAUGGGGGGAGGAAUCCUACUAGAAUAACAAACAAGAAAUAGGGAUUCCAAUAAGGAAGUAUGACUAGUCCUAUAUAGAUUACUAGAAAGAAGCAGGCUUUCCAAUGACUAUGACUAUCCCUACAAUCAUGGAUACCUCUGCUAAGCUUUACCAACACAAAUCCCUACCUACUAGAAUACUGUCAUGACUCUACCAGCUACCUAUACAUUCCCUUUCACUUGCCUCAACACCUUGAGCUUGAGCUUCCUACCUUACACUUGCUACCUCUACAUAUACCUCCUUUGCCCGCCCUCCUUUACCAUUCAGUUUCACUAGAAGCAAACCUUUCCUUGAGCUUUCGAUAUUUGAAUUAGGGGAUACAUGAAUUCGUAAUCCUCCUUUCCCGGCUUAGGGCUAUCUUUUGUAAAGGUACAGAUAUAGGUUCGUAUCCGGUUUAUGGGCUCUCCCUGAAAGAGUGAGUAUAGAAUGGGUGUUGGGAUUUCCUUGAGUCGAAAGGUCCCUAGCAAGAUAAGUCAAUGUAGUAGUAGCCCCUGUAGAUCACUAUCUGCAUAUCCGGUAUUGGAAUCGGUAAAGCUUCCUUCGUUGAAAGACGGGGUGGGAAGGGAUGUGAUCUCAUUUAUUUGAUUUUAGUUGUGGGUAUAUCCAAGUAAAGUGCUUUUGUUGACUACUUUCCUCAAAUAACUAGUCGCUAAUUCCCAAUCCUAGUCGAUCAAUCGAGGAAAGAUCGGAAAAGAAUAGCAAAGAAUUCCUCGGUUUUGGAGAUAAGAGCUGUGUAGAGCAGCAGUAUUGAGCAGUCUUAAAAGAGCCAAGAAGAGCAUAGAAGUAGUUGAGAAGUAAAGGCUACAGGUGCGGGAUCCUUCGAAUUCGAAUAUGAUGAUGGGAAGUGAGCUGUCUUCUUCCUAAAGAACUAUAACCAUAUCCUCGAAAACAACAACCCGCUUUCUUCUAACAAAGGGAGAUUCCUUUUCUUUUGGAUGAAGGAUAUGAAUUGAAAAGCUAAGCAAUGAAAAGACAUGAGCAGAACAGAGGAGAUUCUCCGGUUGAAAGUCUAUAGUAAAAAAAAUUAAUAUUAUAAAUUAAAUAAUUGUCUAUAAUUUAAAUAUUUCAGAGUGAAGAGUUUCAAGCUCAAAAACAAUUACAACAACAACAGUUUGAGAAGCAAGUAGUUUUUUCUAUUUUUUAAAUACAGAGAGAGGUUAGUGGCUUCAACCUCACACAAAGAGGGAUAGAGGCAACACCUUUUGACGCCAAAAACUCCAAUUUAGAUGAAAACUGCAGGGGCAAUAGAACAAUUUAGAAUAUGCAGUAGUGUUAGUAGUUUUGUACAUCUAUUAGGCAUUUUUGCAAAUACAUGGAGGGGAGUGGCAUGUGUAACCAAGACAAUAUACCUCAACGUCAUCUUAUCGAACACAUAAAGGGGACUGGCCUCUUUCACUAAGACAACAAUUAUGGCCGUGUAGAUGCAGUAUUCGAUGUUUCACAAAACAAAGACAGAGGAGGUUGUAAGAGAGACCUUGUCAGUGCGAAGGAGAGGAACGUGUCGAGAAGAAGACACCUGUCCGGAGAGGUGCAAAGGAGAGCUGCGAGAGGAAAUGCAAUUCAAAGGCAAUCCUUUGUUGUUAUCUGGUCCUUGAUAGAAAGAGGACCUUAUGAAGAGUCCCUCACCUACGGAUCACUGAAAUAGCCUAGCUUUCCAAGCCAAGUGACCUUACUUACUGUAGUGUAAGACCCACGGGGAGAAGCUAUAGCUUUGAGAGUUGCUGAAUUAGUAGCUGUAGCUAUGAGAAAGGAGUAGUGUUGGAGGAAGAUUUGCUUUAGCAAUGUCUUUGAUUUCCAAUCCUCGAUCAACAAUUUGAGGAAGACGAGACAGAAGCCUUUGGAUGAAACCAAUGAAUCUUCCGANNNNNNNNNNNNNNNNNNNNNNNNNNNNNNNNNNNNNUCCGAUCCGUCACUCAAAAAAACUCAUUCCUUUUGAAUUAAUUUCGAAUUUAUUUUUCGUAGGUGAUCCCGCUCCCAAUCGCAGAUUUGAAUAAUCAAGUCGGUAUGGGGCUGCUCCCUUUUGUUACUCCGAAAAUAUUGGCUUCGCCUGGACACUAUCUUGAUUCAAACCGAAAACCCUCUCUAAGGUGGAGCCUAGUUGAAGCUGUCAUUCAAAGAAAAAAUGGGAAUCCAAAUCCCGCCCAGAUGGAGUAAUCCUAGAAACAGAUAACUGGUAAAGCUUAUUGUUCCUCAUCAGAGGUUUAAUGGAGUACUCGACCAUAUGAGUUGCUAAAAACUUCAUUAAGAGAUUAGUCGAAAACCAAAGUGGAACGGAGAGAACGGAAAGAGUUAUCCCAAAAGAAGGUUCUUCUGAAACGAGUGCUCAAGCCAACAAGCAAACGUAUACUUGAUUUUCUUCUUUUCUUGCAAGCUAGUUUCUAAGUUUGACCUAUCUAUAUGUGAAAAGCACUCCGCCAGAAUCCUCGCGGAGUCCGGAAAAAUCUUGACAAAAACUUGACUUACUGAACACCGCACUUGAUGGGUAUCGAGACGUUGAUCGAAUCUUCUUUCGCAUCCAGAAGAGAGGCUGUGGGCUAUCCGAGAGAGUGGUUCAGGUGACUACCGGAGUCAUUGAUUAAGCAGGUCAGAUGGGCUUAGUAGGGCUCGAACCUACAAUAUCACCGUUAUGAGCGGUAUUCACUUUUUAAAUUAGUUGAUCGAUUAAUGGGAAGAGCUGGCAGAUCCGACAUCGGCACUGGAUAAUGGAUCACCUGGCGGUAGCCGAACUUCGUCCACUCAUUUCAGCCAGAGCUUACUGCGACAGUGGUGUCCCAGGCUAGGGCUGUAGGUCCAGCAUAAGAAUCUAAACUAAAAAAGUGGAACCGUCCGGACUUGAAACAGCGGAUGCAACCCUUGCCCCGCUCGUAGCGCUUGCCGAUCAUCCCUAUCUCUACCGGGCCCGUAUUCCCUGCCUCGCUGAUACUUAUUCAUUUCUUUGAAUCGAUAAAGAUGGGUAUCCAUGCCUCUUAGUUCCGGGGAGAUACUGGUUAUGCCAGUGUGGACAAGUUCAAAUGGAGCAAACCCGCGCUUUCAGAGGAUCUAAAUCAGUCUUCAUCCUUUCGCUUUUCAAAGCCCCUCGCAAUAAAUAUGUAAAUUCGUUUCGCAGAAAUUCAGAGAUUUUCGAUCUCCUCGAAAGAAAAUGAGUUCGAUCAGCAACACCGGGAACCUGAAGAUGGAGAUAUUACUGACCGUGACGUAGAGGUCGAAUUUGAUGAGAGCGUAGGACGUCCAGCAGACGCCGUUGAGGAAGCUCACCAGCGACAGGAAGAAGGGCAUGUACUCGACGACCACAGGGGUCCGUCCGGUUCUUCCUCAAAUGGGUUGCCUCAAUCUUUAUCAAAGUUUUGGUAUCUAGCUUAUCCAGNNNNNNNNNNNNNNNNNNNNNNNNNNNNNNNNNNNNNNNNNNNNNNNNNNNNNNNNNNNNNNNNNNNNNNNNNNNNNNNNNNNNNNNNNNNNNNNNNNNNAACAGAAACUUUCUGUUUUGUUUUAGCCACAACUUUUUAUCCCUAAGUCCAAUGACAUUGAUUUUUUUUCCAGUAGCUCACAAAUUUCCUGUAGUUUUUAAAAACAUAUAAUUUGUCUAUGUUUGAAAAUUUUAAACAUAAGUCAGAGCAAAUUUAGUUUAAACCUUGUUUUGCCUAUUCCAGGAGUUUCAAAAAUGAUAUUGAGUUGAUUCUUUUUGCUACUGUUUUCUAGUAAUAAAAUCUUACUGUGGUACAAGUUUCAGAAUUUUUAAAGUACUUUUACUGGUGUUUUCAAGAGAAACAAGUUUCUGCCAUACCGGCGCGUGUUAAAUUCCUUUGCUUAGACUUUUGCAAAUCAAUACUUGUGAUGAUAUUUUUACUUGUGGCAUGAUUGAAUUGCUUAUGGUGUGCUUUGUGUUUGUAUCGGUAGAUCAUCCGGAGUGCGAAGCGUGUUACUUAGAAGCGCUCGAGCAAGACAACUAUCAUCAAGGCAAGUCAUUUUGAUCAUGUUAUUUUACCUAUGUUUUCGAUGCAUAGUAGAUCACCUUCUUUGCCCAAAUUGCAUGCUGCCUAGGUACUUGGAAACUUUAGUGUAAGUUGUAGUAUCAUGUGGUAGGAACACAACAACCCCGACCCUUGGCCCCGGGACGAAAAUUUCUUAAUACUAUGCUUGAGUAGACGGGUUAUCGGUUGAGUGUAUACCACGAGUGAUGCGAGGUUGAUAUAAUAAUCAAGACCGGACUAAGACAAGAUUUUCAAGACCUUGGACGCAAUGCAACUCUGGGUGAAGGACGGUUGAUCGGCUCCGUGGAGAACCCAGUGGAUGCCCGGGAUGCUGGAGAGGCCAUGUCAUCCUGCGGAAAGCUUCACCCAGGCUCGGAGAGAUGGACGGAGACUUCAAGACUCAAGGCUUACCUGCACAGCCACAAGUCAUUAUGGGCUGUGGCUUGGUUGGACAACGCAGCGACUCUGGACAGGCGGUGCUAGCAGAUGUAGACGAACGGUAGGAAUGGAUGGGCACCGACAGGGAUUCAGAGGGACCUGUUGAAAGACCAUGUUUUGAUCAUCCGGUCUUCAAACACCCUGAAGUGCGAGGACAAACCGGGAGGCGAUCAAAUCUUGUGGGGAACGUGUGCAAAACUCUGCAGAGUGCCCAACCUAAUCGAUUAGCCGUGUCCACGGUCAUGGACAACUUGAGCCGAAGGCAUUGAAUUUCCCCUGAACUCUCGACACAACUUAAUAAUGAUGUGGGUGUUAACAACUAUUCGGGUACGAGAACUGGUUGGCGGAACCAUCUCGGUAACAACAAACAAUGUAGUAAUAUUUUGCUUUCAACCCCUCUUGUUGUAGGAUAAAACUAGCUUUAUGCAAAACUUAGCUCCAUCAGCCAAAUAUGCAUGUAAAGAUAGUUGAUUAUUAUUUUUACCCCUAUCUUUGAUGACUUGCCGGCAUAUUCAAUAUGCUGACCUACACGGCUGCAACGUAUCAUGUUGCAGAGUACUUUUCCGACCAGGAGUGAGGCUACGAUCUACGCUCAGCGACAUGCCCUUGGAGUCGGAUGGACUCGUCUACCUGAUGCUUCCGCUUAGUCUUCGUUAGAUAUCUCAUGAGUUGGCCUUCAGCCACUUUAUUGUAAUCCUUUAUUGUAAUAGAGUACUCUUUAUGAGAUUUCGAUUAAUAAAGUUGUGUGAUUGAACUCUUGAAUAUAUACAUUUUGUACUGUGUGUGUACAAGCAUGAUCUUGGGAUGGUACGGAAACACCAGAGGCUUGACUCGUCUUGAGUCGGGUCGCUACAGGAGCGUACCCUUGUGGACCUUCGAGGUUCAGUAGUAACUUGAUCCGAAGCUUCAUGAUCAUUAUCAUUAACUUCCUCUUCAGUUGGUGUAGGCGCCACGGGAACAACUUCCCGCGUGCGCUACUAUCCUGUUCGAGAGGGGGUGUAAUUACCUCAUCAAGUUCUACCUUCCUCCCACUUACUUCUUUCGAGAGAGACUCUUUCUCUAGAAAGGAUCCGUUCUUGGCAACAAAGGUUUUACCUUCGGAUCUAAGAUAGAAGGUAUACCCAAUAGUUUCCUUAGGGUAUCCUAUGAAUACACAUUUCUCCGCUUUAGGUUCGAGCUUUUCUGGUUGAAGUUUCUUCACAUAAGCGUCGCAGCCCCAAACUUUAAGAAACGACAACUUAGGUUUCUUGCCAAACCAUAGUUCAUACGGUGUCGUCUCAACGCAUUUAGACGGUACCCUAUUUAAAGUGAAUGCUGCAGUUUCUAAUGCGUAUCCCCAAAAUGACAACGGUAAGUCGGUAAGAGACAUCAUAGAUCGUACCAUAUCUAAUAAAGUGCGAUUACGACGUUCAAACACUCCAUUGCGUUGCGGUGUGCCAGGCGGCGUCAAUUGUGAAACGAUUCCACACUUCCUUAGGUGUGUACCAAACUCGUGACUCAAAUAUUCUCCUCCACGAUCAGAUCGUAGACAUUUAAUUUUUCUGUCACGUUGAUUCUCAACCUCACUCUGAAACUCCUUGAACUUUUCAAACGUCUCAGAUUUGUGCUUCAUCAAGUAGAUAUACCCAUACCUACUCAAAUCAUCAGUGAGAGUGAGAACAUAACGAUAGCCACCGCGAGCUUCAACGUUCAUUGGACCACACACAUCAGUAUGUAUUAUUUCCAAUAAGUCGGUUGCUCUCUCCAUUAUUCCUGAGAAUGGAGUCUUAGUCAUCUUGCCCAUGAGGCACGGUUCGCAUGUGUCAAAUCAUUCAAAGUCAAGAGACUCUAAUAGUCCAUCAGUAUGGAGCUUCUUCAUGCGCUUAACGCCGAUAUGACCAAGGCGGCAGUGCCACAAGUAUGUGGGACUAUCAUUAUCAACUUUACAUCUUUUGGUACUCACACUAUGAAUAUGUGUAACAUCACGAUCGAGAUUCAUCAAGAAUAAACCAUUCACCAGUGGAGCAUGACCAUAAAACAUAUCACUCAUAUAAAUAGAAGAACCAUUAUUCUGUGACUUAAAUGAGUAGCCGUCUUGCAUUAAGCAAGACCCUGAUACAAUAUUCAUGCUCAAAGCUGGUACUAAAUAACAAUUAUUAAGGUUUAAAACUAAUCCCGAUGGUAGAUGUAGAGGUAGCGUGUCGACGGCGAUCACAUCGACCUUGGAGCCAUUCCCUACGCGCAUCGUCACCUCGUCCUUGACCAGUCCCCGCUUAUUCCGAAGUUCCUGCUUUGAGUUGCAAAUGUGAGCAACAGCACCGGUAUCAAAUACCCAGGAGCUACUACGAGCGCUGGUAAGGUACACAUCAAUAACAUGUAUAUCACAUAUACCUUUAACGUUGCCGGCCUUCUUGUCCGCUAAGUAUUUGGGGCAGUUCCGCUUCCAGUGACCCUUUCCCUUGCAAUAGAAGCACUCAGUCUCAUGCUUGGGUCCAUUCUUUUUCUUCUUCCCGACAUCUGGCUUACCGGGCGUGGCAACGGCUUUGCCGUCUUUUUUGAAGUUCUUCUUACCCUUGCCCUUCUUGAAACUAAUGGUCUUGUUGACCAUCAACACUUGAUGCUCUUUCUUGAUUUCUACUUCUCAGACUUGAGCAUCGAGUACAACUCGAGAAUGGUCUUCUCCAUCCCUUGCAUGUUGUAGUUCAGCACAAAACCUUUGUAGCUUGGUGGGAGAGACUGGAGGAUUCUGUCAAUUAUAGCAUCAUCCGGAAGUUCGACUCCAAGUGAAGUCAGACGACCGUGUAACCCAGACAUUUUGAGUAUGUGCUCACUGACAGAACUGUUCUCCUCCAUCUUACAGCUAAAGAACUUGUCGGAGACUUCAUAUCUCUCGACACGGGCCUGAGCUUGAAAAACUAGCUUCAGCUCUUGGAACAUCUCAUAUGCACUGUGUUGCUCAAAACGCCUUUGGAGCCCCGUUUCUAAACUGUAUAGCAUGCCCCACCUAACCAGAGAGUAGUCAUCACUCCGUGUUUGCCAGACGUUCAGAAUGUCCUGGGCUGCUGCGGGAGCGGGAGGGUCACCUAGCGGCACAUCAAGGACAUAAGCCUUUUUAGCUGCUUCAAGGAUGAGCUUCAAGUUGCGAACCCAGUCCGCAUAGUUGCUACCAUCAUCUUUCAACUUGUUUUUCUCUAGGAAUGCGUUGAAAUUGAGGUUGACGUUGGCCAUCUACAAUAUUUAUAAAGACAACUUUUAGACUAAGUUCAUGACAAUUAAGUUCAUUUAAUCAAAUUAAGUAUGAACUCCCACUUAAAUCGACAUCCCUCUAGUCAUCUAAGUGAUACAUGAUCCAUGUUGACUAACCCGUGUCCGAUCAUCACGUGAGACCGACUAGUCACCAUGGUGAGCAACUUCAUGCUGAUCGUAUUCAACCAUAUGAGUCAUGUUCGACCUUUAGGUCUCUUGUAUUCAAGGUCAUGUCUGUACAUGCUAAGCUCGUCGAGUCAACCUAGGUGUUUCGCGUGUGUAAAUCUGGCUUACACUCGUUGUAUGUGAACGUUAGAAUCUAUCACACCCGGUCAUCACGUGGUGCUUCGAGACAACGAUCCUUCGCAAUGGUGCACACUUAGGGGAAUACAUUCUCGAAAUUUUAAGAGGGAUCAUCUUAUUAUGCUACCGUCGUUCUAAGCAAUAAGAUGAAAAACAUGAUAAACAUCACAAUGCAAUCCUAUACUGACAUGAUAUGGCCAUUAUCAUCUUUGCUCUUUCGAUCUCCAUCUUCAGGCAUCGCAUGAUCAUCAUCGUCACCGGUGUGACACCAUGAUCUCCAUCAUUGUGUCUCCGUGAAGUCAUCACGCGAACUACUACUAUCACUACUACUAUAGCUAACCGUUAGCAAUGAAGUAAAAGUAGUAAGCACAUGGCGUUGCAUCUCAUACAAUAAAUUAAGACAACUCCUAUGGCUCCUGCCAGUUGUCAUACUCAUCGACAUGCAAGUCGUGAAACCUAUUACAAUAACAUAAUCAUCUCAUACAUCAUACAUGCAACAUCACAACUUUGGCCAUAUCACAUCACAUGUCAAACCCUACAAAAACAAGUUAGACGUCCUCUAAUUGUUGUUGCAAGUUUUACGUGGCUGAUUUGGGUUUCUAGCAAGAACGCCUUCUUACCUACGUGUCAGCCACAACGAUGAUAUGCCAAAGCUAUUUACCCUUCAUAAGGACCCUUUUCAUCAAAUCCAAUCCGACUAGAGUAGGAGAGACAGACACCCGCUAGCCACCUUUAUGCACGGUGUGCAUGUCUGUCGGUGGAACCAGUCUCACGUAAGCGUACGUGUAAAGUCGGUCCGGGCCCCUUNNNNNNNNNNNNNNNNNNNNNNNNNNNNNNNNNNNNNNNNNNNNNNNNNNNNNNNNNNNNNNNNNNNNNNNNNNNNNNNNNNNNNNNNNNNNNNNNNNNNGCACGCUCCUUCUACCAUCGGGAUUGGUGUUAAACCUAAAUAAUUGUUAUUUGGUGUUUGCUUUGAGCAUGAACAUGAUUGGAUCGUGUUUAUUGCAAUACGAUUAUUCAUUUAAAGAGAAUAAUGGUUAUUCUAUUUGCUUGAAUAAAUACCUUCAAUGGUUUAUUGAAUCUCGAUUGUAGUGCUACGCAUGUUCAUAAUAUUGAUGCCAAAAGAUACAAAGUAGUAAUGAUAGUACCACUUACUUGUGGAACUGCCGCUUGAGUCAUGUUGGUAUAAAAUGCAUGAAGAAGCUCCAUGCUGAUGGAUUUUUGUACUCACUCAUUUUUUAAACGUUUGAGACAUGCAAACCAUACCUAUUGGUAUAAACGCAUGAAGAAACUCCAUGCAGAUGGAUCGUUUGGAAUCACUUGAUUUUGAAUCACUUGAGACAUGAAAAUCAUACCACAUGGGCAAGAUGACUGAAGGCCUCAUUUUCCAACGAGAUGGAACUAGAAAUUAACUUAUUGGAAGUAAUAUAUUUGGAUGUAUGUAGUCCAAUGAGUGCUGAGGCAUGCAGUGGAUGUCGUUAUGUUCUUACUUGACAGAUGAUUUGAGUAGAUACUAAUGUAUUUGCUUGAUGAAACACACGUCUGAAUUAUUGAAAGGUUCAAGUAGUUUCAGAGUGAAGUUGAAGAUCCUCGUGACAAGAGGAUAACAUGUCUACGAUAUGAUCAUAGAGAUGAAUAUCUGAGUUGCGAGUUUGGUACACAAUUAAGAAAAAUGUGAAAAUUGUUUCACAUAUCAUGCCACCUAGAACAUCAUAGUGUCAUGGUGUGUCCGAACGUCAUAGCCGCGCCCUAUUUGAUAUGGUGCAUACUAUGAUGUCUCUUAUCGAAUUACCACUGUCGUUUAUGGGAUAUGCAUUAGAGACAACCGCAUUCACUUUGAAUAGGGCACCACGUAUUUCCGCUCAGAUGACACCAUAUGAACUAUGGUUUGAAGAAACCUAAGCUAUCGUUUCUUAAAAGUUUGGGGCUGCGAUGCUUAUGCUGAAAGUUUUCAGCAUGAUAAGCUCGAAACCAAAGCGGAUAACCGCAUAUUCAUAGGACACCCAAAAUAGUUGGGUAUACCUCCUAUCUCAGAUCCAGAAGCAAAGUGUUUGUUUCUAGAAAAAGGUCCUUUCUCGAGGAAAAGUUUUUCUCGAAAGAAUUGAGUGGGAGGAUGGGACAACUUGAUGAGAUUAUUGAACCGUCACUUCAACCAGUGUGUAGCAGGGCACAUGAAGUUGUUCCUGUGGCGCCUACACCAAUUGAAGCGGAAGCUAAUGAUAGUGAUCAUGAAACUUUGGAUCAAGUUACUACAAACCUCGUAGGUCGAUAAGGUCACGUACUGCUACAGAGUGGUACGGUAACCCUAUCUUAGAGGUCAUGUUGUUGGACAACAAUGAACCUACGAGCUAUGGAGAAGCGAUGGUGGCCCCGGAUUCCGACAAAUGGCUGGAGGCCAUGAAAUCCAAGAGAGGAUCCAUGUAUGAAAAUAAAGUGUAGACUUUGGAAGAACUACUUGAUGGUCAUAAGACUGUUAAGUACAGAUGGAUCUUUUAAAGGAAGACAGACGAUGAUGGUGAAAAGUCAUCAUUAAGAAAAGCUCGACUUGUCGCAAAGAUGUUUCCGACAAGUUCAAAGAGUUGACUAUGAUGAGACUUUCUCACUCAUAGUGAUGCUAAAAGUUUGUUGGAAUUAUGUUAGCAGUUGCUGCAUUAUUAAUGAAAUAUUGCACAUAGGAUGUCAAAAUAUUGUUUCCUCGACGCUUUCCUUGAGGAAAAGUUGUAUGUGAUACAACGAGAAGAUUUUGUUGAGCCUAAAGAUGCUAAUAAGUAUGCAAGCUCCAGCGAUCCUUAUAUGGACUGGUGCAAGCAUCUCGGAGUUGGAAUAUACACUUUGCUGAGAUGAUCAAAGAUUUUGGGUUUAUACAAGGUUUAUGAGAAACUUGUAUUUCCAAAGAAGUGAGUGGGAGCACUAUAGAAUUUAUGAUAAGUAUAUGUGGUUGACAUAUUGUUGAUCGGAAGUAAUGUAGAAUUUAUGGAAAGCAAAAAGGGUUGUUUGAAAGGAGUUUUUCAAAGGAAACCCUGGAUAGAGCUACUUGAACAUUGAGCAUCAAGAUCUAUAGAGAUAGAUCAAGACGCUUGAUAAAACUUUCAACGAAAUGCAUGCCUUGACAAGUUUUUGAAGGAGUUCGAAAUAGAUCAGCAAAGAAGGAGUUCUUGGUUGUGUUGUAAGGUGUGAGUUUGAGUAAGACUCAAAGCCCGACCACGGCAGAAGAAAGAGAAAGAACGAAGGUCAUCCCAUAUGCCUUAACUGUAGGCUCUAAAGUAUGCCAUGCCGUGUACUGCACCUGAUGUGUGCCUUGCCAUCAGUUUGUCAACGGGUACAAAAGUGAUCCAGAUUGAAUCACUGAAUAGCGGUCAAAGUUAUCCUUAGUAACUAGUGUACUAAGGAAUUUUUAUCGAUUAUGGAGGUGAUUAAAGAGUUUGUCGUAAAGGGUUAUGUCGAUGAAAGCUUUGACACUAAUCCGAAUAACUAUGAGUAGUAAACCGGAUUAGUAUAGUGGAGCGGUCAUUUAGAAUAGUUCCAAAUGGUGCGUGGUAAUAGCAUCUAUAGGAUGACAUAGAGAUUUGUAAAGCACACACAUAUCUGAAAGGUUCAUACCCAUUGACCAAAAACCUCUCUCACAAGCAAGAUAUGAUCAAACCCCAUAACUGUAUGGGUGUUAGGUUCAUUGCAAUCACAUAGUGAUGUGAACUAGAUUAUUGACUCUACUGCAAGUGGGAGACUGUUGGAAAUAUGCCCUAGAGCCAAUAAUAAAUUGGUAAUUAUUAUAUUUCUUUGUUCAUGAUAAUCGUUUAUUAUCCAUGCUAGAAUUGUAUUGAUUGGAAACUCAAAUACAUGUGUGGACACAUAGACAAACACACUGUCCCUAGUGAUCCUCUAGUUGACUAGCUCGUUGAUCAAAGAUGGUCAAGGUUUCCUGACCAUAGACAAGUGUUGUCACUUGAUAAAGGGGUCACAUCAUUGGGAGAAUGAUGUGAUGGACAAGACCCAAAACUAUGAUGUAGCAUAUGAUCGUGUCAUUUUAUUGCUACUGUUUUCUGCAUGUCAAUGUAUCUGUUCCUGUGACCAUGAGAUCAUGUAACUCCCGGACAUCGGAGGAAUACCUUGUGUGUAUCAAACGUCGCAACAUAAUUGGGUGACUAUAAAGGUGCUCUAUAGGUAUCUCUGAUGGUGUCUGUUGGGUUGGCAUGGAUCAAGACUGGGAUUUGUUACUCCGUCUGACGGAGAGGUAUCUCGGGGCCCACUCGGUAAUACAACAUCACAACAUGCCUUGCAAGCAAUGUGACUAAGGAGUUAGUUAUGGGAUCUUGUAUUACGGAAUGAGUAAAGAGACUUGCCGGUAACGAGAUUGAACUAGGUAUGAAGAUACCGACGAUCGAAUCUCGGGCAAGUAACAUACCGAAGGACAAAGGGAACCACAUACGGGAUUAACUGAAUCCUUGACAUAGAGGUUCAACCGAUAGAGCUAUUCGUAGAAUAUGUGUGAGACAAUAUGGACAUCCAGGUCCCGCUAUUGGUUAUUGACCGAAGAGUGUCUCAGUUCAUGUCUGCAUAGUUCUCGAACCCGCAAGGUCUGCACACUUAAGUUUUGGUGACGUUUUGGUAUGGUUGAGUUAUAUGUGUUGGUGACCGAAGUUUUGUUCGGAGUCCAGGAUGAGAUCCCGGACGUCACGAUGACUUCCAGAAUGGUCCGGAAACAAAAAAUGAUAUAUAGGAAGUUGGUAUUUGGAUUCCGGAAGGUUUUCGGGCAUUGUCGGCAAAACAAAAAAUGAUAUAUAGGAAGUUGGUAUUUGGAUUCCGGAAGGUUUUCGGGCAUUGUAGGCAGUGUACCGGGAGUGACGAAUGGGUUCCGGGGCCCCAGUGGGUGGGCCCACCAUGCCCCAAGGGUUCCACAUGGGUUUGUUGGAUGCAUAAUAAGGCUUAUUGUGCUGACAAGUCAUCCAAGGAAAGCCCAUGAGGAAAAAGGUUGAAAAUCCAAAAGAGGUGGGAAAUUAAGGAAGGGGUCCUAACCCAAGUGGGAUUGGAGGAGGACUCCUCCCUCCUCCACUUCGGCCGAGGCAAGGAGGAUCUCCUUGAGCCUCAAGCCUAGCUCCUUCCUCCUCCUAUAUAUACUAGAGGGUUUAGGUCUUUUUGAGACACAACUUUGCCACGUGCAACCCUAAACCUCUAGUUCGUAGUUCUUCCUCUAGAUCGGAUUUCUGUGAUGCUUAGGCGAAGCCGUGCAGGAAUAGAUCACCACCACCACCGGAGUGUUGUCACGCUCCGGGGAACUCAUCUACAUCCCCUUCUCUCUUGCUGGAUCAAGAAGGCAGAGAUCGUCAUCGAGCUGUACGUGUGCGGAACGCGGAGGUGAUACGUCUCCAUCGUAUCUACUUUUCCAAACUCUUUUGCCCUUGUUUUGGACUAUAAUUUGCAUGAUUUGAAUGGAACUAACCUGGACUCACGCUGUUUUCAGCAGAAUUGCCUUGGUGUUAUUUUUGUGCAGAAAUCAAAGUUCUCCAAACGUCCUGAAAAUUUACGGGGAGCAGUUUUGGAAAAUAUCAAAAAUAUCUGCGCCAAGUUCCACCUCAGGGGGUGGGCCAGUGGGCCAGAAGCCCUUGCUCCACCACCACCCCCCUGGUGGCGGUGGGCAGGCUUGUGGGGCCCACAGGCACCUGCGGCCCCCAACUCCAGCUCUAUAAGUUGCCUUUCGUCCGAGAAAGAAAAUAAAAUGAGAAGUUUUCGUCGCGUUUUCGAUACGGAGGCGCCGCCACCACGUGUUGUUCAUCUGGAGGGCAGAUCUGGAGUCCGUCUUGGGCUCCGGAGAGGGGAAAUCAUCGCCAUCGUCAUCAUCAACCUUCUUCCCUCUCCAAUUCCAUGAAGCUCUUCAUUGUUCGUGAGUAAUCUAUUUGUAGGCUCGCUGGGCGGUGAUGAGUAGGAUGAGAUCUAUCAUGUAAUCGAGUUAGUUUUGAUGGGGAUUGAUCCCUAGUAUCCACUAUGUUCUGAGAUUGAUGUUGCUACUACUUUGCCAUGCUUAAUGCUUGUCACUAGGGCCCGAGUGCCAUGAUUUCAGAUCUGAAAUUAUUAUGUUGUCACCAAUAUAUGUGUGUUUGAGAUCCGAUCUUGCAAGUUGUAGUUACCUACUAUGUGUUAUGAUCCGGCAACCCCAGAGUGACAAUAACCGGAACCACUCCCGGUGAUGACCAUAGUUUGAGGAGUUCAUGUGUUCACCAAGUGCUAAUGCGUUGGUCCGGUUCUUUAUUAAAAGGAGAACCUUAAUAUCCCGUAGUUUCCUUUUGGACCCCGCUGCCACGGGAGGGAUGGACAAUAGAUGUCAUGCAAGUUCUUUUCCCUAAGCACGUAUGACGACACACGGAAUGCGUGCCUACAUCGCAUUGACGAACGGGAGCUAGCCACAUAUCUCUCCGUGUUAUAGUUGUUGCAUGAUGAAUAUCAUCCAAACAAAUCACCGACCCAUUGCCUACGAGUUUGUCCUACUGCUCUGUGACUUGUCUUGCUCUGCUGCUGCUACUACUGUUGCUACUGCUGUUACUUGUCUUGCUCUGCUCCUACUACUGUUGCUACUGCUGUUACUUGUCUUGCUCUGCUGCUACUGUUGCUACUUGCUACUGAUGUUCCUUGCCACUGCUAUUGCUCGUUACACUGCUACUACCUGCUACACUAUUGAUUCUCCACACCGUUGACGGGAAUUGACAACUUCCGUCAACGCGGCAACGGAAGCGCCAUUGAUACAAUCCUUAGGAAUAGUCUGCCGUCAACAAAUCGUUUCUGACACCGUUGUUAUCAUAAUACUUUGUUGUUACUACUGUGCUUGCAGAUACUCGAGAGUAUCCUCUCACCUCCUUAGGCGAUCUACAAAUUGGGUCGAAUACUCUACCCUCGAAAACUGUUGCGAACCCACGCGCUCGUGGGCCAUCAACAACAUUCUUCUAGUUUCAUUACCGGGGAGUGCUAUCAGCAUUCUUCUGGUGCCAUUGCAGGAGAAGGUUAGUUGUCAUAAGCAUUCGUCUAGCUAACACUAGAGAUUGCAGGAUCAGCACUUUUCUGGCGCCAUUGCCGGGGAAGCACAGCUGACGUCAGCAUUUUUCUGGCGCCGUUGUCGGGGAGGUACUGCUAUAUUCUCUGAGUCACUUGGGAUUUAUAUCUGCUGAUCACUAUGAAGAAUCUGAAGGAUCCGAAGACCAAAGUCUUGCCCUCAACUACGAGGGGAGGUAAGGAAUUGCCAUCUAGCUCUGCACUUGAUUCACCUUCAGUUAUGAGUAAGUUUGCGACAUCACCUCCUACUAGAAAUCUUGAUAUGUCGCCCGUGCUUGAUGAUGCAUGUGGUACUACUGCUAGAGAUGCUAUGCUUGAUACUAUGCCUGAUGAUGCUAUGCUUGAUACUAUGCCUGAUGAUGCUAUGCUUGAUACUAUGCCUGAUGAUGCUAUGCUUGAUACUAUGCCUGAUGAUGCUAUGCUUGAUACUAUGCCUGAUGAUGCUAUGCUUGAUACUAUGCCUGAUGAUGCUAUGCUUGAUACUAUGCCUGAUGAUGCUAUGCUUGAUACUAUGCCUGAUGAUGCUAUGCUUGAUACUAUGCUUUAUACUAUGCCUGAUACUGCUAGAGAUGAUAUGCCUGAUACUGCUUUGCCUGAUGAUGCUAGAUAUGCUAUUUUGCCUGAUGAUGCUAUGCUUGAUACUGCUAGAGAUACUCCUUUGCCUGAUGUUCCACUAGGAGUGUUCCUUGAUGCUCAUAUUGCUAGAGUUACUGCCAAUGCUCGUGAUGCUUGUGAAACUGCUGAUACUAUUGAGAUAGAACCUGCUUUUGCUCCUGCUAGAUCUAGCUCUCCUAGAUAUGAACUACCUGAUAUACCUGAGGGUUACGUUAUGGAGGGAGAGAUAGCUGAGGAUUUUCUUGCCUGUAAGGAUGCCUAUGACGCUGAGAAAUUAAUUCUCAAGUGGAAGGAAAAAUCUCAUGAAGCUAGGAUGAAAAAUGACCCGAAGUUUGCCACUUCGCAUAUCUUUGUCACCGAUAAGGAUUAUGAAUUCUCUGUCGACCCUGAGAUAAUCUCUCUAGUCAAAUCUGAUCCUUUUCACGGUUAUGAGUCUGAGACGGUCAUAGCCCAUCUUGCCAAACUAUCCGAAAUAGCCAACCUUUUCACUAAUGAGGAGAAGAUCCGCCACUACUAUAUCCUUAAGUUGUUUCCUUUCUCUCUAAAGGAUGAUGCUAAAGUCUGGUUCACCUCUCUUGCUCCUGGAUGUGUGCGUAGUCCCCGGGAGAUGGUCNNNNNNNNNNNNNNNNNNNNNNNNNNNNNNNNNNNNNNNNNNNNNNNNNNNNNCCCCGGGAGAUGGUCUAUUACUUCUGUGAGAAAUAUUUCCCUGCCCAUAAGAAGCAAGCUGCCUUGCUGGAAAUAUACAAGUUUGCUCAACUCCAAGAAGAGAGUCUUCCACAAGCUUGGGGGAGGCUCAUCCAGCUACAAAAUGCUUUGCCUGAUCACCCUCUUAAGAAGAACGAGAUACUUGAUAUCCUCUAUAACAGACUUACUGAUGCCUCUAGAGACCACUUAGAUAGUUGUGUUGGUUGUGUUUUUAGGGAACGAACUGUAGAACAAGUUGAGACCCUACUGAAUAACCUCUUGAUCAACAAUAAUGCUUGGACUAUUCCCGAACCACCUCCUAAGCCAACUCCUAAGAAAAGAGGUAUUCUAUUCCUCAGUCCCGAAGAUAUGCAAGAAGCCAAGAAAUCUAUGCAAGAGAAAGGCAUUAGAGCUGAAGAUGUCAAAAAUCUACCACCUAUCGAAGAGAUCCAUGGUCUCGAUAACCCGGUACAGGUAGUAGAAGUGAAUUCUCUGCGUAGGUUUGACGAGAGUGAUAUUCCUUUUGAUAAACCAGCUAGCCUAUGCUUUGAUGAAUUUGAUAACUUUGUUGCCAAACAACAGAGUUUCAAUGAUUAUGUUAGCAGACAUUUGGAACAAAGUGCUCGUAUGAUUAUCCAUUUAAGUGCUUGUGUAGACAGAAAUGUCAAUGCUCUGAAGCUUCUGAGUAAACAUGCCUCUAUGAUUACUACUCAGGUAGAACAAGUACUUAAAGAUCAGAAUGACCUGCUCAAUGAAUUAAAUGACAACUCUGUCAGAGUCAUUACUAGAGGAGGCAAAAUGACUCAGGAACCUUUGUAUUCUGAAGGUCAUCCUAAGAGAAUUGAUCAAGAUUCUCAAGGAAUCAAUGCUGAUACACCCAGUCAUCCUAAGGAGAAGAAGGAUGAUAGAAACAUGCAUGCCAGUUCACCAAAUACUGUCACACCUGAAGAACCUAAUGAUAUUUCUGCGUCUGAUGCAGAGACACAAUCUGGUGAUGAACAUGAACCUGGUGACAAUAUGGACAGUGAUGUUCAUAAUAAUGCUCAACCUAGCCAUGAUGAGGAUGUGGAGAUUGAACCUAUGGUUAAUCCUGAUAAUCCACAACCUAAGAGAUACGACAAGAAUGACUUCACUUCUAGGAAGCAUGGUAAAUAAAGAGAGCCAUGGGUUCAGAGACCUAUGCCCUUUCCUCCUAAGCCAUGCAAGAAAAAGGAUGUGAUGAGGAUUUUGAGCGCUUCGUUGAGAUGAUAAGACCCAUCUUUCUGCAGAUGCGGUUAGGAUUUCAGAAUUUUUCAGAGCUAGAAAAAGGAAAAGAUGAGGAGGUUCUUGAUAGGCUCUUCAAGUCGUAACCACAAGGAGGAUGAGAAGAACCACCCCAAGUACGUAGUCCCUCGAGUCACGGAAGUUCGAGCGUGCGAGUGGCCAAGUGAUGAAUUUUGCGCGCUGCCGGACUUUAUGAAGACUUCUAUUACUUGGUGGAGAACGCAGGUCUUACUGCAUUUGUUGAAGAUAAGUUCCCACAAUACCUCCUCCUCACCAAUAUUUUCGUUCAAAGCUUCAACUUUUAUCCGAGGAAGAAUCCUACCAUGGUAGAGUUCAUGAUAUACGAUGUCCCCCAGUGCAUGACGCUGCAGGAUUUUUGCAAUGUAUGCAAAUUACCUUAUGUUGGGGAUAUCCAUGACCCUCGUCCACGGGACUUGGAGGACUUCAUUGGUUCUAUUGCUGUUGGAGAGGAGAGAGGAGUGUCUCGCGCUAGAAUUGCUAGCAUACAUUUUCCUGUGCUUCGGUACUUCUCACUAUUUGUGGUAAAAUGUUUGAUUGGCCGUGGGGAGGCUGGAUCACUUAGUUCUCCAGACCUUGUGGUUUUGCGCGAAGGUCUUUAUAAAGAUAAGACUUAUAGCUUGGGUGCUAUAGUUGCUCAACGGUUGAACCUGAACCGUUCUAAAGGUGUCGUCUAUGGAGGUAUCUAUGCUACCCGUCUUGCCAGACACUUCGAGAUACCCAUUAGACUGGGAGAGGAAGGAGAGAUGCUUCUCCCUGAGAGAUAUCUGGAUUAUGACAGCAUGGUUCGCCAUGAUUUUCUGGAUAGAGAUGCUAGUAGAUGGAUGAUUUAUAACCUGGUGUUUAGUCAGGGUACUCGGGGGACUAUUACUUUGCCUGCUCCUUCUUUGUUUGAUCUUCAUGCAGGCAGGUACACUAUUAUGCCAGCGGACAUCUACGCAUAUUGGGGCUUGGCCCAACCACAGGCGCCCGCGCCCGAGCCGCCAGUCGAGUACCAGACGCCAGUUUAUCAGUGGGAGCCAGAGGAGCUCACACAGCAGUGGCAUCCGCAGUCUGCUCCGGAGUAUCCUGGAGCUGGCUAUUUCCCACCAUGGGAGUAGACCAAGCUAGGCCAAAAGCCUAAGCUUGGGGGAGUACGUGUUCUCACCGACUUUAUAUUCAUGCUUAUGCUUUCACUCUAUUAGCCGGUGUUCAUACUUUGCCACUAUAUUAUCCAUGCUAGUUUAUUUUCAUUUUCUAGUUUUCUUGUUUUGUGUCCUUCUGAGAAAACCCAAAAAGAUUUUUCUUUCUUCUUUUGCUUGUUGGGAGCUUUCCGUGUAAAUAGUUUUCUUUUUCUUUGUGUCAAGGUAGAAGAUAUUGGUUACAAUGUUUAUUGGUUCUUGCAUGCUUACCUGUUUAGCUUUCAAAGAGCCAUAUUACUUUGUCUUCUCCUUUGUGUUUGCAUGCAGAUUCAUCUCAGUCCAAUGCGCUUAUUAUUGUUCACAUCGUUCGAUCGUGCAAAUGGAAGGCAACAAUGAUGAUAUAUGAUGAAGUGACUCAGACUGAAAAGCUGGUAUGAACUCUAUCUAUUUUGUUUUUGUAAAUAUGACUAGCUUGUCGACCCAGAUUUAGCUUUGUUGUGAGAGAACCAUGUUUGCAACGACAACUUAGAGAUCAUAGUUUCUGAUGUUGUGAGAGAACCAUGCUUGCAAUGACAACUUAGAGAUCAUAGUUUCUGAUGCCAUGCUUAUUUAGCUGAGAGCUUAUAAUGGUUUGUCUUGAAUGCCAACAUAGAUUUUGAGAUGACUAUGAUGUAGUAUGAUAGGAUGGUAUUCUCCUUUGAAUGUUUCAAGUGGCUUGACUUGGCGCAUGUUCAUGCAUGUAGUUGAAACAAAAUCAACAUAGCCUCUAUGAUGUUCGUGUUCAUGGUGAUUUAUAUCUUGUUCAUGCUUGCCUUCAAUAUNNNNNNNNNNNNNNNNNNNNNNNNNNNNNNNNNNNNNNNNNNNNNNNNNNNNNNNNNNNNNNNNNNNNNNNNNNNNNNNNNNNNNNNNNNNNNNNNNNNNCCUAUAAAUAUAACUUAAGGCAACCAUUAGCCCAUAGGAAUUGUCAUCAAUUACCAAAACCACAUAUGGAGAUAUAUGCUCUAACAGAGGGGACUUUGGAGUUGGAGGGCUUCAUCAUCAUCAUCAUCGCCCCUCCAAUAACUCGUGAGUAGUUCACUUCAGACCUACGUGUCCGUAGUUAGUAGCUAGAUGGUUUCUUCUCUCUCUUGGAUCUUCAAUACAAAGUUCUCCAUGAUCUUCAUGGAGAUCUAUCCGAUGUAAUCUUCUUUGGCCGUGUGUUUGUCGGGAUCCGAUGAAUUGUGGAUUUGUGAUCAGAUUAUCUAUGAUAUAUAUUUGAGUCUUUGCUGAUUUAUUUUAUGCAUGAUUUGAUAUCCUUGUAAGUCUCUCCGAGUCUUGGGUUUUGUUUGGCCAACUAGAUCUAUGAUUCUUGCAAUGGAGAAGUGCUUGGUUUUGGGUUCUUACCGUGUGGUGACCUUUCCCAGUGACAGUAGGGGCAGCAAGGUACACAUCGUGUAGUUGCCAUAAAGGGUAACAAGGUGGGCUCUGUCGUAGAUAUGAGAUUGUCCAUCUACAUCAUGUCAGCUUGCUUAAGGCGUUACUCUGUUUUUUUGGACUUAAUACACUAGAUGCAUGUUGGAUAGCGGUCGACGUGUGAAGUAAUAGUAGUAGAUGCAAAAAGUAUCGGUCUACUUAUUUUGGACGUGAUGCCUAUAGAUAUAAUCAUUACCAUAGAUAUCGUCACGACUUUGCGCGGUUCUAUCAAUUGCUCGACAGUAAUUUGUUCACCCACCGUCUACUUGCUUUCAUGAGAAUUUUGUGACAUUCCACUAUCAGCCUGCAGGUUGCUGAAGGAGGCCCAAGACAAUUUUUGCCCAGGUAAGCACCGAUAAGGAUUGUCUAAAAAAAACAAUAAAGGCAUCUCCAAUAGUUUGUUGGUCAGCUUGUUCGUAAAAUAUAUCAUGUCAUUAACCAACAGCUUAACAUACAACUACUCUAAUAGAUUGUAUCUAUAGGAUGUGAGAUAAUAAAUAAGGUGUUCUCUCAUUUUACAUUGAAGCUUGUGCAAGAGUGUUGGUUAAUUAACAUACAACCUUGUUCUUUUUCCUUAUUUAUUGCAUGAUACGCCAUAAAAAAUCUUAUGUAUAAAAAUGUACCAACAACUAUCUUACAUCCAUUGGAGAUGCCCUAAGAUGACAGGUUAGAGCGACUACAACCACGAGUAGCAAAUUCCGGAUGGAUGGGUAAAUUGUUAUCAUCAGGAGGGAAGGGUGUUCUAAUUAAAACGGUUGCUCAGGCAACUCACGUAUAUUUGAUGGCAUGCUUUAAAACUACCAAGAGGGCUUUCUGAACAUUUAAAACUACCAAGAAAGUUUGAUGAGAUGCAAAGAAGGACAGAGAAAACCAGCAUAGCUCCUGGGAAGUACUGACAAAGCCCAAAUAUUUGGAUGGGUUAGGAUUCAAGGACUUGGAACUAUUCAAUAUUGCCCUGUUAACAAGACUGUCAUGCCAAAUAAUUUGGGAUCCUACAUCCCUGAGUGCGAGAAUUUUAAAAUCAGUAUACUUUCGUGAUGGAACUAUAUAUUCUUUUUGACCGAAGUCGACAGGCUCUGUCAUUGCAUUAUAGGAGUGGGAAAAGAACUGUACAAUUCAGAGUUUACAGAGGAGCUUAGGGAGGGAGAAAAAGAAAAAAAGAGACGCCUAGGCCACUGAAGCAACGGAAGGCUGAUCAGUGGCCAGAACUACAGACUACUCUCUGAAUGCCUCCCUGAGGAGGCUAACAUCAUCAAUCACCAGCUGGAACACUUGAUGCGGCAGGAGCAGUUUGUUUUGGAACACCCUCCUGUUUCUUUCAUUACAGAGAUGCCAUGCCACGUAUACAGUAAAAGAAAUCUGCUCCUUUCUAAUUUCUUUUGGUGCGAUCAGGUGCAACUUGCGCCACCAGCAUUUGACUGAAUUGGAGGACAGGGCCACGUCCAUCAUCUGGGGGUGGAUAGAGCCAGUCUUGCUCCAGAUCUCCUUGGAGUAGGGGCAUCCCAGCAGGAUGUGCAUCGCGGUCUCAGGGGCCUGAUCACAGAAGGAGCAGGUCGGGUUGCAAGGCCAUCCUCUGGUGGCUAACCUGUCGGCAGUCCAGUUACGGUUUUGGAGCAGUAACCAGAGGUAGAAUUUUAUCUUGUUUUCAGCCUUCACUUUCCAAGUUUGCUCCAGGUGAGGUUGCUUUAUUCUUCCCAAUAAUUGGGCUUCAUAAGCAUCUCUAGCUGUGUAUUUACCUUUGUUAAAAAGCCACUUAAUGCUAUCAUCGCCAUUAGAGAGUUGCACUUCUUGGAUCUUCUCCCACAGGGAACUAUAUAUUCUAAGUGCACAACUAGGCACUAGACCUUACCAGGUUUGACCCGUGAUCUUGGAGGGGAGGGAUUUUCUGAAGCAGGGCAUUAUUCGAAGGAUAGGAAGUGGGCAGUAAGCUAAUAUAUGAUCAGGCAACAGGAUCCCGAAAGAAUCUUCUUUGCGCCCAAUUCUAUCUCUGGUUGAUAAUCCACCAGGAGCUUUUCACCAGGAUGGUUGUGACUCUCCGGUCAACUUGGUACGCGCGGUGACAAGCAGUAUAUGUGACGAUCUUCCAAGGCCCUCGACAAACAGAUGCUUUUAUAUACUCUUACCUGCAAGAGUUGAUGGCAGCUGAAGCGUCGGACAUACAUCCAAGUGCCAAAGCAAGACAACCAACAAAUAACACUGUGCGUCGGGUUCCUGGCAGUAGUAAAUUCAACACGGAUGGUGCAGUUGCGAGCGACGGUAGUCAGGGAGCAGCUGCGGUGAUCUGCAGGAAUCAGGGCGGAGUCUAUUUGGGCUCAUCGGUUGUUGUAUUUCAUGUGAAGGAUUCAACGCUUUUGGAUGCUUUUGAAGUGCAGGAAGCACUUGCCCUAGCUGAAGAUCUUGACCUUCACCACCUUUACGUCGUGUCGGACUGUCUAGGAGUGAUCAAUGAUAUGCAUCGGAGCACCGGUGGCCAUCACAGAGUCAUUGUCAAGGAGAUUGCUAGCCCCUAAAAGAAUUUCUUUCUUGAACUUCUAUUCAUGAACCGAGACAUUUCAAUUUUGAUGCUCAUAAUCUUGCCAAAUAUUCAUGUAACUUAGGAUUAGGCUGCCAUUUAUGGUCGGGUAUCCCACAUGACCAAAAUCUUGUACCCUUGAACUUAUAUCAAAUUUAAUAAAGUGGGGCGACAUUUCUCCAAAAAAACAAGUAAAAAAUUCCACCCUCAAAUGUUUGUGGACACGCUAGGACGCAUCAGCGGACAUUGACCGCACGUCACACUAAAUAUCUCUUCCAGAACCAGACACAUCAAAUUGGAUCCUCAAAUCCAUAUUUUUCUCAUGCAAGGAAUGUACGUAGCUAAACACAUGUCAUCUAACUGCCAAAAUUAGACAUGCUCUACUAACUACGAACGAAGCGACGAUGGAAGAAGUUCAUCCACUAGCGCCUUUGCCCGUAUCAUGGCUCUUCACGUCAUCCAUGUUGUAGUAGCGGUCGAAGACGCGGGACGAACUGAAGCGGUUCUGCUCACUGCCGGAGCUGUCCGAUCCGUCGUCGUCCUCUUUCUUGUCCGCCGCUUCUCCGUUAUGUGGGCAUGGGCCGCUUUCUAAAACCCCACUUCGGAGGUUGCGGUUACCGCAUCCGCCGUGUGGGCUGCCUUUGCCUACAUCCCUUGAAGUUGCUCUCAUAACCUCGUGCGGCGGGCUUGCCGCGCCACCUUUUCGGAUUGACGGUGAUCCAUGGAGCUCAUAUGGCCUAUGCUUCGUUGUCCGACACCGCAGGGAAGAUGUUCCACCUAAAUGGCUCCAGCGGCACUACAGAGUUGCACCAUGUGGUGGUCACGCUUCCUACGAGGCCGCAGCCACACACCGAGACCCAUCAGUAUGGGAUCUGAGUACCAUUUUGGCACCGUAUGCCCACCAUCUUGCGGAAGACCAGGGGCGGGGGUGGGCGGGGCACUCCUCUGGGAGCAUGGAAGAGCAGCGUGGCCGACCAAAUGCUCUACGGGGCUGCAUAGGAUCAGCUCCGAGUCCUCAGACCGUACAUCUCGAAGUCAAAUCCAGUGGACGCCAUGGAGGAGGACGCCGGAGCUUGCCAAGGAUCUUGGUAUUUUGGGAGUGGAGCGAAAUGUGGGGUACAAUGGUUCAGAUUGGGCCAAAUCUGACGUGAAGGGUGCGCCCAGACGUCUCCAUAUCCGCCUCACAUAUGGGCUGGACAUGGGUGUGCCUGUUAGUAUAGGCAUUUCGGCCAAAUAUGAGGAGUCAGGUUGGACGGCAUUUUUUUGUCGAGACACAGACCGAGCAGCCCGCCCAGGUGUAUGACAUGGAUAUGGUGGGUCCGAUUUUAGAUGCUCUUCUCAUUGUGACAUGCCCAUGGUUACUAUGGUGGAGCCAGCGAGCCCGGGCAAGCCCAGGGUCACCGGACGCUGAUCGUCUCGUUUGAACAACGACCAAUAUGGAUAUUGUCCUGUGCUUGUCUCCUCCUCUGGCACUGGUUCUAAGCACCGGCAACCUCGUCAUCCGCUCGCUAAACAACACCAUAUUAUGGCACAACUUGGAGCACCACACCGACACGUUCCUUCCUGGCAUGAAUUUCCGGAUGAAGUACAUGAAAAAUGGAACCAACGACCGCCUGGUAUCCAUGGAAAGGUCCUAGUGAUCCUUUGCCGAGGCGCUUUUCCUAUGGUGGUGACACGAGCACAUUCCCUCAAAUAUUCUUAUGUGACCACGAGCGUCCGGUGUCUCGUACCACUCCACGUCAGUGUUUUUCUUUUCUCGGUCAUGAUUUCUGGAAACCGAUCGAAAACUGGCCUUCCGUUACACAGCAAAAAAUUCAAAUAUCACCAGAAAAUUUUGAAUUAUUUGAAUUUAUACGGCUAACAUAUGUCAAAUAACACCUGCAUGCCUUUCCAUACAAAAGGAGGUUCGUAGUAGGAUGUUUUGUGUCGCUUGCCUAGCUACGGGGUCAAAGAAGCGAAUCCUAGUUUUGCCAACUGCAAUAACUUUUAAAAGUUUUUUCAAAUUUGAAAAAAAUAAUGCAGCCCCGGAACCAACGAGCUUCCAUUCGGUAGAGAAGACGGUCUGGCCACUUGAACAGGUUCAACGCUGUGUCAAAAGCAGGCGUAAACAUUUUAUAGUGGUGCAUAAAAUUUUCGAAUUAAAAAUUCGUUUGAAAAUUUCGGACGAAAAAAUUCUGAAAACUCCGAGAUUUUUCGAAAUCCGGUUUUUCUGGUCCCUACAGAAAAAAGUCAGAAUCGAGAACAAAAUACUUGCUCCAUCAGAAUCGGAGUCGAGAAAAAAAACCGGACGGGAAACUUAGUGAAGAGCAAGCUUCAAUACCAGCAGACGAAUGGCAGUGCGGAUGUUAUCUUCUACUUGGUGAUCGUGGAUGGCGAUGAGGAGAUCUAUACUACCUACAGCCUUUCUGAUGGUGCUCCACACAUUAGGUACGUGCUGACCUACUUUGGCGAGUCCCAAACACACACGUUGGAGGUGUGUGCAACAGAAUGCAACCGCAAUUGCUUUUUUUUUAGAGGAACCAGCAGGAGCUCUGCCUUUCCAUAUAAAAGAAGAAAAAUUGGUCAGUUAAUAAGGAUCACAAUUGCUCUUGUGUUGCAUACUCACAUGCCAACCUAAGCGGCAGCGGGUCCAAAAGAAACAUGACGAAGUGCUUGGUGUGGUGUGGAGAUUUGGUUAACACACGGGGCAAAUUCAUGAUGAGCUAGGCAGUGACAGGCUCUAUUUCCGACUUGCAGGAGUGAAUGCAACAUCUGGUGCCAAACCCCUCCCGUUCUGGAAAGCUAAUUAAUUCUCUUACACUAGAAACUUUUCAAUGUUGCUUUUAUAUGAUUCAUGUCCAUACAGGCAAAAGAAGAAAAGAGUAAUACAGUGAAAAUUGUGCUACCAGUUUUAGGAAGCAGUCUUAUAGUACUCAUAUGCAUUUCGUUGGCAUGGUUCAAAUUCAAAGGUACACUCAAUGUUUUUCCACUACAAGGGUAGUCCAGAUUUUCUUCCCUAUGUUUGUCGUUUAGAAUUGUAAUGUACCUUUGGUGUACAAAUAUUGACACCCACAUAAAACUAAGAUUUAAAAAGUAUUCUUAGCACCAACUUUGGUACAUCACACCCACAUGCUAGAGAAACCAUACUCAACAUGGACAUGCUUCGGAAAACAAGUAUGCAUGAUGGGUGGCCACACUAUUAUGGUCUAAAAAAUUGGUGUUUUUAACUAGGGAGAAAUUAUGUUUCUUCUAGCAAGUGCACUUUAUCUUAUAUGUCAAGCGCUGGCCAUAUUGUCAACUUCAUAGUUUUCCACAAUGAGAGAUGUAGACCAUGUAUUAUUUUCCCUAAAUUUUCUGAGUUCAUAGCAGAGAUAGUAGAAGUGCAUAUGUGAUUUUAGCGGUAAAACAACCUACUUUUUCUACGUCUAUCAUAAACAUUUUAGAGAAGAAAUGGUUAUAACAUUGUGAGUGCAGGCAAGAAUUUUCUAUAAAAAAAAUGCAGGCAAGAACAUAAAUGGGAGAAAACACAAGAAUGCAUCGUUGGAUCCAUUGAGUACCUCAUAUGAACUUGGUGAAGUACACCCUGUACAUAAUCAUGAAUUCUCGUUUGUAACACUUGAGGAAAUUGCACUAGCAACACACAAUUUCUCUGAAACAUGUGUGAUAGGAUAAGAAGGCUUCGGCAAAGUUUUCAAGAUAACACAUUUUCUAUUAUCAAUCGUUCAUUCUAUAAUCAACAGAAUCGAGAGCUUAAUGCAACGGACAAAUAGGUUUUACCUCUAAUGCCCUAGGGAUUUUUAGGUGGUCAAGAAGUUUUCUUCAAGAGGGUAAGUAGGGAUUCUGAACUGGAAACAAAGGAGUUUUAGAAUAAAGUAAUUAUGAUUGCCAAAUUCUAGCAUCGAAACUUGGUUCAACUUCUCGGGUGUUCUGUGGAGGGAGAUGGAAAACUUCGAAUUUACGAGUAUCUACCUAACGAGAGCUUAGAUGCCACACUUUUCAGUAUAUAUUAUAAAAACAUACCAUAAUUUUCUAAAAAUACUCAAAAAAUCAUGCUCACAUUUCUUGCUGUAUGCACAUGAUUCAAGAAAAAUGUUGCUAUAGACUGUGAAAGGCGGUUCAAUAUAAUCAAAGGAGUUGCAAGGGACUUCUUUACCUACACCAAGAUUCACGAUUAACCAUAAUUCACAAAGAUCUUAAAGUUGGAAAUCUUUUGCUUGAUGCAUGCAGACAUGAAACCCAAGAUAGCAGAUAUUUUUAUGGCAAGGAUCUUUGGAGAUAACCAACAAAAUGCAAAUCACAAAAAAGGGUUUUCCCCGCUUUGCAUUACAAAGCAACCAACACCGAUACAACCAACGAUAGGUAUUGGGGCAAAAGCAGCAGAGUCACGCCUAAAAGAAACGAUAGAGAAAAUACAAAAUAGACAAAUAACGACAACGGCGAAUCAACAAAAAUAGAGAAGUCUCGCGGCCGCUGCGCCCACCGGCGAUCUCCCACCAUCCUAGACUCCGAGCCGCCGGUACCAAUCAACACCUCCAAGAAGGAACGCGACAAUGACGACGAUGUUGCAAAGGGUUUCCCCCGAUACGCGAUGAGGAGAUGGAAAGGGUAGCGCCCCAACGCUCUCCAUGAAGGUCCGACGACACACUUAGGCGCCACAGCGUCGGUGUCGGCCAAGCCGACAGGGAUUUCUCCCGAUUCCAACCUUCACCUCGAGCGUGCCGAAGCCCAUCACCAUACCGAUCACCACUCACCCCAACACCAUCUACAAGCUUUCCAUGCCCUCUCACUGAAGCUAUUAAUAUGCGAGGCCUGAAGGAAAGAGACGCACCCAUGCUGAAAAACAGGAGCAGCAGCAUCGAAGACAAGCGGGAGGGGCCGACCUGCACCAUGGAGAAAGUAGUCGACCGGAAGCAGCAGCAGAGGCCUACCAGUCUCGCGGGCCCGCAGGUCCGGCACGGCUGCGAAGGGGCCCGUGAAGCCUCCGCUGCCGCGAUAUAGCAGGCGUGCCAUGGCUUCGCCGACCCACGUCCGAGUAGGAGCGCAUCUCCAUCCCACAGAUAGCAGCAGCGUCGGAGGACCGAACUGGCCCACCUAAAACCCACAUGAGGCCAGAUCUGGGCAAAGGCAUCUAAGACAAAGGCAUCUAAGGCAGAUAAGAUCAAGCUCUGGAUAGAACAACACAUAUAAUUUAAUUUGAUGUUUCCUAGAACAUGUCUUGGUUGAAUAAUUUCUUUACUUGUAUGUUUGUAAAUAUUUUUUAUUAAUGUAAAUACGGUGGAACAAAUAUUCUAAUGUUUUGGUUAAAAAAAUAUGUGGAAGGAAGGGAAGACAGAGAAACCACCAAGCUCAUCAAUCAUGGACGCUUGUUGGGCUUGUCAAGGCCGAUGUGUCAAUACCUGCUCUGAAGAUGAGACGAUGAAAGAGAUGAUGGCGGCCUCUGCAGUGUACGCAUGCGAUGACCACUGGGAUUGCGCCGGACCCGUGUGUGCCCCAAACCCGGCUAUGUGGUUUGGUUGGGGCCUCCGACCUUUAGAUAUUGGGUUUUCGUGUGAGGUCCGGGUAUGCGGCUCAAACUAUUUGCACCCCUUCACCAAGUUGAUAAAGUAACGACAGAUGUUGUCGAGAUGAUGGCUUUAGUCAUACAGACUACGUUGUCAUGCAUAUCUAGAUGAAUCAAAAAAAGUUAUGUUCGUCCUAGAGAACUGAAGCAUCACACUUCCAUCCGCAGAUGGCACUGCAUACUUUGCACGACGGAGCGUUGAAGCGACGCAACUCGGAGAUGAUAUUCGGACUUCCGAUAACAGCGUUACUCUCACAGAAAUACAAGGGCGAUGAAAUAAUGAUGCAUCUAUAUAUGUCAUGCAUCAAGGUGAUAUGUGUUGUUUGGAAGUCACUAUCUCUUUGAUGUGUGUGUUUUUCCUUUUUUUUUCUCUUCAUGACAUUCACGGUUUGGAAAAGAAAGGAAAAUAUCAAGGUGCAGACAAAAAUUUCAGAAAUAAAGAACUAGUCGAUGAAAGUGAAAUUACGAUACGUACGCAAGUGAUGGAGUAGGUGGUUGUGUCCUUGUCACCCGUUGUUGCAGUGGGUUUUCUACGACAUCGAUGCAUCCUGUAUUCCUGUGUACGUAAGACAAGUAUGCUGACUGUCGUGGAGUGCAUGUAUAUUAAUGUAUUCGUAUGCAGCUCUGAUGUCUAAACCGCAAGUCACCAGCAUCGUCAUCUGGUGAAUUUCCAUCCAACCAUCGUGGGCGACUCUCUGUGAGUACAAGGCGAUUUGAUCUGGUCCUAUCUAUGAAUAUUGUUUCUCGAAAUAGGUUUUUGCCUCCUUUAUACAUAAAGCAACAACCGAACAAAAUACACGGUCAAACGAUAAAAGGUGGAGGGGUAUCCCUCUUACAAAGCCGAUUCUAAAAUAUCCGGAUCACAUAGGACGCACACGCCUAUAAAACCGAAAGAUCACAUAGAGAGAUGAAAACACGCCACACUAUGCCAUAGUACACCUAUGCUCCACGACAACGUCCUCAAGAAGGAGAACGACGCCGCUAUGGAGUCCGGAACGGACAAGGGUUUCACCCAGAGCCCAGACACGAAAAGGAGCAUCACGACAAGGUCUUUAAGAAGAAAGGGAGCUCGCAAACGUCGCCGUCAUUAGCAACAAAGCGCUGGGUUUUCACUAAGUCGCUCCUCAGUGUCGAUAGGCCAUUCGGGCAAGCGCAACGAGCACAUAUCCCCAGCUCCAGAUCAGGGCGCCACAACAACUGGAGCGCCCGGGCCACCCACCGCUAACACUCUCUCGCCGUCCACACGACCAAGAGACAUAGCCACCACUGCCGUCAUGGAGCCCGCCAGAGAACUCAUCAUGCGGACCACCUUCCAGGGCCACUGCCUUGUCCUCCAAGCGUCGAGACAACACCAACCGUCAGCUUCACAAUGCCCAAACUAUGGCAGGUAAAGCCCGACAUCAGUCACCAGGUCACGGUCGGCACCACCACAGUAGGGGCGCCCACGCCUAUAGUUCCCUCCAGUCCCGAUGGACCGAGGGGGACAUAGCCUAGUGACUGCCAACGACCAUCAUUGAGAAAGCUCACACGACGCCAAACCACAACCUGAGGCACCGAUCCGACAUUUGGCACACCAUUGUCCCGUCCACCACAUCCACGGACCGACACCACCGCCAACAAGAAGAGAACGUAAACAAGUGACGAAUUACCAGAUUUACGCCGGUAUUACAAGCUAUUCAUCACUCAGGGUGCAGAAUAGUUUAUUCUUCACCCGAGAUAAUAUUACGAUCAAUUUACAAAAAAAAUACUUUUCAAAUACAAACAGUUACAUUUAUAUUGAUGCACAACGUAAAAUUUGACAAAAGAAAAACAAAAACAUAUGUCACAAGACCAGAAACAAUUGAAUUUCUUGUAUUUUUUGCACUAUUUUUGUAUGUUCGUAAUUCAACGUGACGUAAAAUAUUUUUACGUUGAUUAUAUUUUUUUACGGUCUCUUCUUACAUAUAAAAUAAGACAAAUUUUACGAAACGUAAAAUUAUGGUGCAUUGGUAUUAAAAAUAGAGGGGGGUGAAGAAUAAGUAUUUCUCACCCAGGGUGACGAAUAACGCGACCCUAAUUACCAGGGGUGAAGAAUAAGUAUUUCUCUUAUAUAUAUAAUACAUCCUACCAUCCAGGGGUAGCUACCCCACAUGUUUCAUAUAUUAUCGUGCGGUAGUUUAUUUCAGAAAUAAAGAAUUGCCAAUGUUCUUUCUCUUUCUCGCGGCAGCAUUGUCAGCAAAAGAAUAUACACUACUAUAUUCAGCGUCGUUCCAAGCGGGACCUUUUGGCUCACCUGCCACCCUCGUGUCAACUCGGUCGCAAGCUCGUGCCAAAAGCAUGCAGGAAACCAACCGCAGUCGUUCGCUCGCGCGUCACACGCGCACGGAACACCCGACCUGCGCGACCGUGUGCGCCUGCACUACGUCCGCACCCCAGAAAAUACCGCACCGUCCGUCGCUCUCGGCGACCGUGGAUCGAUCCAUGCCGACCGUCGCCAAUAGGGCUUCAGGAACUCGUGUCGCGCUCGACAGGGACUUCACAAGAAAUGUCGUUUCGCUUGUCAGUUGUCGCUGGAGAAACGCGUGCGUGCACGACCUUGAUCGACGGACAUGCCGUCGCCGUCGCCGUCGCCGUGUGGCUACGUCGCCUUGCAGGCCAAGGAACAAGACGGACCACGUACGUACGUACUGCCCAGAUGAUGAAAUGUCGAGCAGGACGGUCAUCGUCCACCUGCCGCCAUGCACUGCACCACGCCAGCACUCACGCACGCACGCAUCGCAGGCCGGAGAAAAUCGAUCCGUCGAUCGCCCUCCGCGAUUCUAGGGUCUGGAUGCAUGCUGGAGCUAGUCAAUAUGAUGAGUUCAGAAAGUUCCUGUGGUUAGACCGCCUUGGAGGCCAAGAAGGAGCACACUGCACACAGCACAGACGAAAUGUCAAGGAGUGGUUUGCUAACUGUUCUUUUUAAACGAAGGAGUAUAGUAGCGCCCGGUUUGAAUUGAUAAAGCCAAAAGAUCAUACCACGACAAAAGCAACAAUAACAAACAUACUAUGGUUCACCUAAAAAAACAUAGUAUAUGGUUACAUGUUGGACUCGACAGGGAGCAGCCAAAUAAAAGGACUAUGACAUGACAUGAAACCAACUAAACUGGGCCCUCCGAUCGAUUAGGAGGUCCGUCUGUCGUCGCCGUGGACCGCCUUGAUCUUACUAUAAGCACCCCUAUGGCCUUCUCCGAGUUCUUCCUCUUUUCACAGGACUUCACUGCUGAAAAAGAGGAUAUGUCAUUUAAAAAUGUAGUCGGGAUGGCGGUUAGGGGUGGUUGCCCUCCAUGGCUAGUUUGUUAUGACACCUCCAAAGCGUCAAACUAAGAGCAAGUCUAGUAGAACCCUCAAAUUCUUAAAAAUAAUCGUUUUUUUACAGUUUUAGUCGACAAAACAACGUAGACUAGAACCCUUAAACCCUUAAAUCCGUAAAAAAAAAGUAAAGGUCCAACCCGCAAACCCUUUCCCAGCCUGUAGAAGUGAGGGUUGGGAGGGAAAACUGCCCCCAACCCACUCUCAACUUUCCACCUCGCGCGGGAGGCAGUUGGUUCCCCGCGCGCAAAAGGAAGUUGCCUCGGCCGCCGCCGCCCCGCCUCCCCCCGCGCUCCGGCCGCCGCCCCGCGCUCCCUCCGCGCCCCGGUCGUCNNNNNNNNNNNNNNNNNNNNNNNNNNNNNNNNNNNNNNNNNNNNNNNNNNNNNNNNNNNNNNNNNNNNNNNNNNNNNNNNNNNNNNNNNNNNNNNNNNNNNNNNNNNNNNNNNNNNNNNNNNNNNNNNNNNNNNNNNNNNNNNNNNNNNNNNNNNNNNNNNNNNNNNNNNNNNNNNNNNNNNNNNNNNNNNNNNNNNNNNNNNNNNNNNNNNNNNNNNNNNNNNNNNNNNNNNNNNNNNNNNNNNNNNNNNNNUCCCGCCCCGGCCACCGCGCCAGCCGCCCCGCCCGCCGCCGCGGCAGCCGCCCCGCCCGCCUCGGCCGCCGUCGCCAUGGCCUCCAUCUCCGCCGCCGCCAAGGCCACCUCCGCCGCCUUCGCCCACAAGGUCCCCUCCCCUUCCCUCUCCCUGCCGCAGAAGGAGCCCGCUGCGGCAGCGCCACAGCAGCAGCAGCGCGCGCGGUCCUGGCUGUAUUCAGAUUUUUGCGGGUUGGCUUUGAGGGUUCUAGUCUUUGCUCCUGUUUUUCAACCCUUAAAAGUGUCAAAAAUGGGCAAUUCUCAACCCUUAAAACUGAUUUUAGAUUUAAGGGUUUGAGGGUUCUACUAGAGAUGCUCUAAGGCCGUGAAGGCCCUCCAAGCAAGCCUACGUUGUUGCAUGUGAAUGCCCGAAAGAAGUGAGAUCAUGUAUGGGAAAAGAACAAGGGUCACAAUAGGACCCAAUACUUUCCUGGGCACAGCUCCAAAGGAAAUUGGCCUGCGGGCAAAGAAAAACAAUGUGCUUGGCGUCUUCAAGAUCUCAACAAAGGCAACGUUGUUCUUGAAAAAGGCAAUGUUGAUGAUGCUUUCUUGCAAGACAUAUUUGAUAGAAUUUUCAUGCUCAGAAGCUAUCACGAACAUGUCUAGGUACUUGACAUAGAGUGAUUUGACUAGCUAGUGUUUCUAUAUCUCCGUUGGCUACGGAGAACCUCAGGCCAAUGUUGAAUUACCACCCCCCCCCCCCCCCCCCCCCCCCCCCCCCCACCCUCUAACCAACCCUCCCCUGCGNNNNNNNCCCCCCCCCCGGCCCCACCACCACUAAGAUUUAGAUACAAUCUUCCUAGGGUAUAUGGUAUUUUUGCUCCAUGGCGUUAGCUUCGCAUGAGAAUCUAGAUCUGACUUUGCCGAGUUGUUCGUGGGUCAAGUCGCCUAACACGAACAAUACCAUAGUGUAGGAAGGAAUAGCUAAUAUGCAGGCAUUAACAAGGUUUUUUUUGCCCCUGGGGAAAGCAAUUUAUGUCGCCAUGGAUCCAUUCUCUUCUCAUUGUUGUGAAUAGUGUUAUCCUAGUUAGAAUUGAAAGAGCUCUAUAUGAGGUAGGAAGAUAGGGGUGUGUAGUGAUAAAAUCAGGAUUUUUGUAACAAAGUAAGUUAGCUAUACGCUCUCCCCCAUCUUGGUCCUUAACCAUGUCCACUGCCUCACUUUUUGCAAAAAAUAGAAUUUCAUCCCUGGCAUUGCCUUGAAGGAUAGUAGAAUAUUUUUUAUCAUGCAUAUGUUCUAGUUAUACAGUUUAGAAAGAAGCAUCACGACGAGUGCAUACCAAAAUGCGAGAUUCUCCUAGGAAUCAAAUGAGAAACCACCCCUUUGAGGUGCCCGGCCGCUUUCGCCUUCUCAAUCAUGGAAUAGAGGGCAUCGACAGCAAUAUCAAUUAGACGGAUUGGAGCGAGGGAUAUGGGAUCGCGUUGCCUUAGACCACACUUGUUUGUGGAGAAAGGGCCCACCCUUCCUCAUUGAUGCAGAUAGCGGUUGAACUAGCAGUUAACUCUAUCGUAAAACCUUCGACAGAACACACGGGGAUGGACCGGACGCAUAGCCUCCGAAGCCUACCUCAAAGAUACGCGGCUCAGCAGGGUCCGUCCCUUAUGAAUUGCCACACCAGACAUAAAAUAUAAAACCAUAGCACCCAAGGCUUCUUAGCCGCCACCACCAAAUCCGGCACGCCCGCCGGCUUCACCGGCGAACCAAACGCCUUCAUCGGAGUCGGGGAAGGGCGGCCCCACCCCGACGACAGCAGGAACACGAGCAACAAGCAGAGGAGUAGAGCGGCCGAUCGCACCCACAUUGUCAACUAUUCCACCGUGUCAGUCUCAGAACCCGAUCGGUCGCGCCCUCGUGCCAAAACCCCACAGAAUCAACUGUCGUUGUAGCACAAGGUAGGUCGCGUUAUGCACUACGCACAGGAGACGACCAGACCACUUCACCACACCUGCGCGCGACCUUGUUCCCCUGUGUGCAUGCUGAAACUAGUCAAUAUGAAUUCACAAGCUCGAUCGCGUCAUGGAUCCCGCGCCUUGCCGGCCAAGAACAACAAGGAUCACCUACUGCAUGCCCACACACCAAGUGUCAAGGCUAUCUUCGCUGAUCGCGCUCCCCAAGGAGGCACCUUCAACUUGAUCCAUGGACCUGUCACGUUCUGCCGUCCUCCUCCUCCUCCUCCUCCUCGCCGUCUGCUUCCCGUGCUCGUCCGCCGAGGAUCAGCUGGCCGUCGGUGAGAAGCUGCUCGCCGAGCAGACCCUGGUGUCCGACGGCGGCGCCUUCACCCUCGGCUUCUUCUCUCCGGACGACGACGACCCAGCCAGACGCUAUCUUGGGAUAUGGUACAGCAACCCCGGGCACCGCACCGUGGUCUGGGUCGCCAACCGGGACGCCCCGGCCGCCGGCGCCCCCACGCUCGCGCUGGCCAACGACUCCAGCCUCGUCAUGUCCGACGCCGACGGCCGCGUGCUCUGGAACACGACCGGCGUCGGCAGCUCGUCCUCGCAGACGGCGCCAGCCGAGCUCGGGAACGACGGCAACCUGCUCAUCCAGCUCCCGGACGGCACGGUUGGGUGGCAGAGCUUCGACCACCCGACGGACACGUUCCUGCCGGGGAUGAAGGUGCGGGUCAGCCACCGGACCGGGAAGGGCGACCGGAUCGUGUCCUGGAGAUCCCCCGAUGACCCGGCGCCGGGGCGCUUCUCCUACGGCCUGGACCCCGGCACGUCGCUGCAGCUGCUCAUGUGGAACGGCACGCGCCCCUACUGGCGCAGCCCCGUCUGGAAGGGGUACGCCGUCGCCACCAUGUACGUCAGCGCCGGCACGGUGAUCUACACGGCGAUAGUCGACACGGACGAGGAGAUCUCCUUGGCCUUCUCCGUCUCCGGCGGCGCCGCGCCCACGCGGUACGUGGUGACCAGCUCCGGCAAGUUCCAGCUGCUCAUCUGGAACGGCACCAGGUCGGCCUGGGCCACGCUCCAGUCGUGGCCCUCCAGCGAAUGCACCACGUACAGGCACUGCGGCGCGUACGCCUACUGCGACACCACGGCGGCGCCGGCGACGUGCAGGUGCCUCGACGGCUUCGAGCCUGCUAAACCGGCAGAGUGGACCUCCGGCAGGUUCGGGCAGGGUUGCCGACGGAAGGAGGCGCUGCCGCCGUGCGGCGGCGGAGGCGGCGGCAAUGGGGUGGGUUUCAUAGCCAUGCCCAGCAUGAAGGUGCCGGACAAGUUCUCGCUGGACGCUGGCAACCGGAGCGCGGAGGAGUGCGCGGCGAGGUGCGCCGGCAACUGCUCGUGCGUGGCGUACGCGUACGCCAACCUGCAGAGCAGCAGCGCCAAGGGGGACGUGAGCCGGUGCAUCGUGUGGGCAGGGGAGCUCGUGGACGCGCAGAUGAUCGACCCGCGCUGGGGCGGCGAGACCCUCUCCCUCCGCGUGCCCGCCGCUGCCGCUUCCACUUCCCCAGGUACGGCAGAAAUAUAUUCCUUUUGCCAAACUUUGUCUGAAUUCUCUUGAAGAAUUCAAAAAAAAACAUGCUCUCUGCCGAAUUCGAAUUCAGUUUCAUCAAACGUUUACCAUAUAUUUGCAUGUUCAGGUGGAAAGGCCAGCAGAAAUGCAGUGAAAAUAGCAGUGCCGGUGGUAGCAUCUGCCCUGCUGCUCACAUGCAUUUUCUUUGUAUGGUUCUGCAGAUACAGAGGUACCGUUGCAUUUUAUGCUUACCUCUAGCCAAAACAUGCCAUGCCCAACCAUUUCGUUUCGUUCUUAGACAAGACGCUCAUCACUCAUCACAACAAUUGAAAAUUGAUACAGACAAGAGAAGGAAAACCGAGAGCCAGAAGAAGCUAAUGCCCGGGAUCAGGACCGGGACCACAAACACGUCGAGCGAGAUCGGAGAAGGAGAUCGCACCGGAGACCUUGAGUUCCCCUCCAUAGGAUUCGGCGACAUCGUCGCCGCCACGGACAACUUCUCCAAGACACUCAUGAUCGGCCGCGGAGGCUUCGGCAAGGUCUACAAGGUACUAGCUCCAUUCACUUUGUCUAGCUAGAAAAGUUCGGUCGUUGCGACCAACAAUUUAAACCCCUAGAACAGAGUCAUGAUCUCACACAUUCCACUUGUUUGUGUUUGUCAUUCCGAAGGGAACAUUAGACGGUGGUCAUGUGGUAGCAGUGAAGAGGCUGAGCAAGGAUUCGGAUCAGGGAGCAGAGGAGUUCAAGAACGAGGCGAUCCUGAUCGCCAAGCUGCAGCACCGGAACCUGGUGCGCCUCCUCGGCUGCUGCACCGAGGGGGGCGAUAAGCUGCUCAUCUACGAGUACCUGCCCAACAAGGGCCUCGACGCCAUCCUCUUCGGUACAUACUAUGUUCAGCGAACUCAAAUAUACAACUGAAGGUUUCUUGCCAUGGUUUCUGAAGUUCAGAUGUUGCAGACAGUGGGAGGAAGUCGGUGUUGGACUGGCCGACGCGGCUGGGGAUCAUCAAGGGGGUGGCCAGGGGGCUGCUCUACCUCCACCAGGACUCCAGGCUGACUGUGAUACACAGGGACCUCAAGGCCAGCAACGUGCUGCUGGACGCCGAGAUGCGGCCCAAGAUCGCCGACUUUGGCAUGGCCAAGAUCUUUGGUGACAACCAGGUGAAAGCCAACACCCGGAAAGUCGUCGGAACAUAGUGAGUAGCCUGACCACCUGACUGAAUUUUCUGAAAGAAACGAAAAAAUAUAUUUUUGUUCUGAGUUGGUAGUUAGCAUUUGAUCGAAAAAUACCCUAGCAAAAUGUGAUACCUCUUCUGACGAAAAAGUAUAAUGUGUGAACAGUGGCUACAUUGCUCCCGAGUACUCGACGGAGGGCGUCUUCUCAGACAAGUCCGACGUGUACAGCUUCGGCGUGCUGCUCCUGGAGAUCGUGAGCGGUAUCAGGGUAAGCGCGACCGAGGGCAUCAUGGAGUUUCCAAGCCUGAUAUCCUAUGUAAGGACCUCAACAAAAACUAACAGCUCCAUCUUGCAGUUAACUUCCAUUUUCAGAUACACUCAAUGUCAACAAAAGAACAUGCACAAAUGGUUGAUUUUUUGUGUGUGUUUCGUGUAGGCAUGGCACCUGUGGAGAGAAGGGAAGGCAGGCAAGCUGGUGGAUCCAUCCAUGGCAGGGAGCUGUUCACAGGAUGAGGCUUCGCUGUGCAUCCACGUCGGGCUCCUGUGCGUCGAGGACGACCCGAGCAGGAGGCCGCUCAUGUCCUCCGUUGUGUCCAUCUUGGAGAACGGGAGUGCGUCGGCGUUGUCCCUGCCGACGCCGGUGCAGCCUGCUUUUGUCGAAAUGAUGGGAGAGAAGAGCCAGAGAAGCGACCUCGAGAACACCAGGAACACAAUGGCCAUGACCGUUCUGCAAGGUCGGUAGUACGGUAGUUACUGCAACUUUCUUCAGAAGGAAGCUGCACUAGUCCUAGUGUUCCAUAUGAUUUACUGAGGAAAAACCCAAAUUUGUAGAGCAUUCGUUACAGAUCUAAACGAAAGACGCAUUUCAGGAGUGUUGAGUUGAUCAGCCUUGAAAUGGAUGGUAUGAUUGUCUUGCUGAGAUUGAAACGUUUAACAUGUUGGACUGAAAAUUAUUGAGACAAGUUAUAUAUACAUUAGACAUUCAGAGCAACUCUAACACGCCGACACAUUUCGUCUGCCUGCGUUCGUUUGGUUCGCGGCGGACAGAAGUGAGGCCUAACGCGUUGACCCAAACCCCAAACACAUCUGUUUCGCAUCCGUGCAGAUCCAUUUCAGGUCCAAAAUUGCGCGUGAAAUGCGUCGGCGCACACACGAAGCGGACGCGCCGCACGACCAGCGGCGUCGGCCGCAGUCCCACUUCGCGGCCCCCAACUACCACCCGCCGUCAAAUUUAGGACGACCACCGCCACCAGGUCCACUAGUCCGCCAGUGAAAGCGUCCUUUUUUACGUCCGACUUCCGUCCACAUCAGCCCCCCACCACCCACUUCGUGCUUCCCCGUUGGCGACAACCCAAGCCCUAGCUAUGGGGUUCUUUGGUAGCAGCUCCGGCAGCGACAAGGGCAUGGGCACCCCCGGCGCCUCAUCCACCCGUGCUCCUCCUCCUCCGCCUUCGGCACCUACCCGCUCAUACACAGGUCGCCAGCGUCUGCACAUCCCCGUGCAUCAAGCGCGGUGGCACUGGGUGUUCAGACAGCCGCUGCCAUACCCGAACGUCACGCUGCCGCACCACCGGCACCUUGAUCCGUAGCGGAUCCCGGUGCCAGCGGUGCCGCAGACACAACGGGCGCACGACAAGGAGGUGCGCAGGGGCCGGGUGUUGGGGAACGUCGCAUGGGAAACAAAAAUUUUCCUACGCGCACGAAGACCUAUCAUGGUGAUGUCCAUCUACGAGAGGGGAUGAGUGAUCUACGUACCCUUGUACAUCGUACAGCAGAAGCGUUAGAGAACGCGGUUGAUGUAGUGGAACGUCCUCACGUCCCUCGAUCCGCCCCGCGAACAAUCCCGCGAUCAGUCCCACGAUCUAGUACCGAACGGACGGCACCUCCGCGUUCAGCACACGUACAGCUCGACGAUGAUCUCGGCCUUCUUGAUCCAGCAAGAGAGACGGAGAGGUACAAGAGUUCUCCGGCAGCGUGACGGCGCUCCGGAGGUUGGUGAUGAUCUUGUCUCAGCAGGGCUCCGCCCGAGCUCCGCAGAAACGCGAUCUAGAGGAAAAACUAUGGAGGUAUGUGGUCGGGCAGCCGUGAGAAAGUCGUCUCAAAUCAGCCCUAAUUGCUCCAUAUAUAUAGGAGGAGGGAGGGGGACCUUGCCUUGGGGUCCAAGGGACCCUCAAGGGGUCGGCCGAGCCAAGGGGGGGAGGACUCCCCCCCCAAACCGAGUUGGACUUGGUUUGGUGGAAGGAGUCCCCCUCCCUUCCCACUUCCUCCCUCUUUUUUUUCUUUUCCUUUGAUUUCCUUUUCUUGGCGCAUAGGCCCCCUUGGGGCUGUCCCACCAGCCCACUAAGGGCUGGUGUGUCUCCCCAAAGCCUAUGGGCUUCCCCGGGGUGGGUUGCCCCCCCCCCCCCCCCGGCGCCCCCCGGCCUUCGUUUCCGGACCAUUUCGGAAACCCUCGUGACGUCCGUGAUCUCAUCCGGGACUCCGAACAACAUCCGGUAACCAACCAUAUAACUCAAAUACGCAUAAAACAACGUCGAACCUUAAGUGUGCAGACCCUGCGGGUUCGAGAACUAUGUAGACAUGACCCGAGAGACUCCUCGGUCAAUAUCCAAUAGCGGGACCUGGAUGCCCAUAUUGGAUCCUACAUAUUCUACGAAGGUCUUAUCGUUUGAACCUCAGUGCCAAGGAUUCAUAUAAUCCCGUAUGUCAUUUCCUUUGUCCUUCGGUAUGUUACUUGCCCGAGAUUCGAUCGUCAGUAUCCGCAUACCUAUUUCAAUCUCGUUUUACCGGCAAGUCUCUUUACUCGUUCCGUAAUACAAGAUCCCGCAACUUACACUAAGUUACAUUGCUUGCAAGGCUUGUGUGUGAUGUUGUAUUACCGAGUGGGCCCCGAGAUACCUCUCCGUCACACGGAGUGACAAAUCCCAGUCUUGAUCCAUACCAACUCAACUAACACCUUCGGAGAUACCUGUAGAGCAUCUUUAUAGUCACCCAGUUACGUUGCGACGUUUGAUACACACAAAGCAUUCCUCCGGUGUCAGUGAGUUAUAUGAUCUCAUGGUCAUAGGAAUAAAUACUUGACACGCAGAAAACAGUAGCAACAAAAUGACACGGUCAACAUGCUACGUCUAUUAGUUUGGGUCUAGUCCAUCACGUGAUUCUCCCAAUGACGUGAUCCAGUUAUCAAGCAACAACACCUUGUUCAUAAUCAGAAGACACUGACUAUCAUCGAUCAACUGGCUAGCCAACUAGAGGCAUGCUAGGGACGGUGUUUUGUCUAUGUAUCCACACAUGUAAAUGAGUCUUCAUUCAAUACAAUUAUAGCAUGGAUAAUAAACUAUUAUCUUGAUACAGGAAUUAUAAUAAUAACUAUACAUUUAUUAUUGCCUCUAGGGCAUAAUUCCAACACCGGGUGCAACUCACCCUGGCGUAGCGGCACAUGCCCGGGUACGCCGCAAACUCUCUCCCAAUCUGGUGGCCUGGUUCGUCAUCGAACACAAGGAGCCACGGCGCCUAGGCGUGCAGCGUCACCACGGCAACCCCCCGCCUCCCCCUAUCGCCAAGCAAGACGAGGAGGAAGACGAGGUGGCGUACCAGUCGCGUUGGAGGAGGCCUUCGCCAACUCCAUCGAGGAUAAGCGAUGAAAGGCCGAAGUGGCGGCGGAGGAGGUCGCGUACGAGGCGGAGAUGGCGGAGGCCAUGGCCCUCUCUGCAGCAGGCGACGGUGUGGUGCCUCCGUCGCCGUCGCGGCCCCCGACAAGGAAUCGAGAGAGGAAGAGAAUGUGUGCGCCCGCGUCGCCGCAUUGCCUUCACUGCAGCAGAUGCCGGAGGAGGCAACCCUCAUGGCCUAUCCAUCCGCAUUCGGUUGGGUUGGACACCUUCCGUCUUCAUCAACGUCACCGCGAUGACGAUGAUGACGUCUAGGGCUGUGUGCAGGCCGCCAACGUCUAAGGCCGCAUGCCGCCGCACCAACGUCUAGGGCUGCGUGCGGGCAUCAACUUCAAUUUUUUGUUUUUAUGAAUGUUUAAAUUUAGUUUAAAGUGGAAUUUGGCAGACGGUUGACAAGCGAGUCUUGAAUUCGUAUUUACUUUAAAGUAGACUUUGGACGUGCGCACAAAUUUAGGUCCACCUCCCGUUGAACGCUCAAGCCGACCUAUAUAAAAAAGCGGACGCAGACGUCCGCCUAACCGAUCCAAGCGGACAAAAGAAGGACAAAAGCGUCUUGGUAAUAUAUUUGAUUUAUUUGGUAAUAUAUUUGAUAGACAGCGUCUCUCUUCUUCUUUUUUACAUCUUAGAGAAACACUAGCUCAUCCUUGGUAAUAUAUUUGAUUUAUUUAUUCUAUGAGUAGAAUUAUUGUGGUUUAUGGUUAGUUAGUGUUUAGUGAAUAGUCAUUCUUUGAAAUACAGGACGAGACCGUUCAUUUACGCUGAGGUUUCUGCUGAGGCGACGGCGAAGCGUGAACGCGAAUUUAUUGAGAGAAAAAUGAACCACUGGGUGACAGCUGUUGAUGCGUUGAAUGCGACGUGUAAAACCUUUUCAAACUAGUAUUUUUGUAAGAACGCUGUGAAAAAUUUAAUCAAUAAAAAGGAGAGUGAGAUCACCAAGCUCAAAAAAACGAAAAAAGAUUGUAGGCGCGAUCUUGCAAUGCAAGUUGCAUUCUGUGCAACAAGGGAAGAACAUGAGCACUUUAACAUGAACAACCAUGGUCAGGUCAUUGAUUGGUUAGUGAGGCACCUUUUUUUGUUGGAACCGAAGCAGGCAUCUCGUUGGGCAUGGGUCAAAGUAAGAAAUGAUGUUCUUUGCUGCAAUCCGGGACCUUACGCCAAAUAAAAUGUCUGUUCAUUACCAUGAGCCUAUGUAAUCUUUGUCAUUUGAGACUAUAAUGCCAUGUACCCAUUUGCAUAACUUGUUCUCGUUUGAACUAUGAAAUCUUUAUCAUUUGAACUCCGUGAAGAUAUUGGUGUUGUAUGUCAUAUUGAACUAUGUAAUCUUUGUGAUGUUCUAUUGUUUGAACUCCAUAUUGAACUAUGUAAUCUGUGUGAUGUUUUAUUGUUUGUUCACAAAUUAAAUAUAACAUAUCAAGUGCAUUUUACUUCACUUCACGACAAGUUCACAAAUUAAAUAUAACAUAUCAAAUGCGCUUCAUUUCAUUUCACGAAAAGUUCACAAAUUAAAUAUAACAUAUCAAGUGCACUUUACUUCAGUUCACGACAAGUUCACAAAUUCUUCAGAGACAGCUAAUCCCAAAAAAUUAUGUGACGGCUAAUAAGGCUGGUUGUAAUAUAGAGUUAUCGUGCAUACGAUGUUAGUGUAUGAUAAUACAUUCUGAAUGCAUAGUACUCCCGCUGUCAUAGUUUAGAAGGCAUGUACGUGUAUCUAGAUCGUCAAUUUAACUUAUAUAAAAUAUAUGUUUAACAUAAAAAUUAUAUAAUUCGAAAAUAAAACAUCUAAAGUUUCUAAUGAUAUAUUUUUGUUAUAUAUGUCUCUCAUUAACUUGGUCAAAUUAAUGACCUAGAUACAUGUGUCGGACAUGUAAACUCAGACGGAGGAAGUAUCAUAAGAUAGUUUAUUUAUUGUCAUGCAUGACACAUAGUAGAACAUCGUUUAAUACGAUAUUAUGUUUUACUAUGUCUGAUAUUUAAUCUUCUCUUUAUUUAUUUAAUUAUAUGAAAUCUCAUUAGAAUUAUCUAGUUGACAUGUAUAAUACUCCCUCCGUUUCUAAAUAUAAGUAUUUUAAGCGAUUUCACUAGGGGUCUACAUACGGAACAAAAUGAUUGAAUGUAUGCUUUAAAGUAUGUCUAUAUACAUCCGUAUGUAGUCUAAUAGCGAAACCUUUAAAAAGACUUAUAUUUAGAAAGGGAGUAGGUACUUAUGAUAUUUUCGUUAUAACCAGCCUAACAUUGCCGCUCUCAAAAGUUUUCAUGCAUACUAUCCAUGUCACUUCAAUGUCUAUACGAAUUCAUUUACCUGUUUUGUCGGCCCGUAGCGUUUGUUGGGCAAGGUAGGUCGAGUUAAGAACUUGCGCGUAGGUAAAACGCGCACACACAGGAGACAACCAGACUCACCAGUUCACCUGUUCCCAUGCGCACUGCACUUCCCUGCAGGGUCCACGCUGAAACUAGUCAAUAUGAACUCGCCAAGUCGCGUCGCCGUGUGGCUAGGCUAGCUACAAUGGCGACAUCGCCUUCCGGACAAGAAGGAUCACGUAUGUACCGCCCACAGAAACGUCAAGGCGCUUUCCAAAAAACAAAGAACGUCGCCCGAGGGUAAUAAUGUGCAUCGGCGCACCGUGAACUUGAUCGAUGGACCUGUCACGUUCUGCCGUCCUCGUCCUCGCCGUCGCCGUCGCCGUCUUCCUCCUGUGCGCGUCCGCCGAGGACCAGCUGGCCGUGGGGGAUAAGCUCCUGGCUGGGCAGUCCCUCGUGUCCGCAGGCGGCGCCUUCGCUUUCGGCUUCUUCUCCCCUGACGACGCCGCCGGCACGGCCACACGGUGGUACCUCGGCAUAUGGUACAACGGCAUCCCCGGGCCUCGCACCGUCAUCUGGGUGGCCAACCGGGACGCCCCGGCCGCCGGCGCCCCGACGCUCACGCUGGCCAACGACUCCCGCCUCGUCAUGUCCGACGCCGACGGUCGCGUGCUCUGGAACACGACCGUCGCGAGCAGUUCGUCGUCGCAGACGCCCACGGCGGCCGUGCUGACGAACGGGGGCAACCUGGUCGUCCAGGGAGCGAACGACGCCGCGUUGUGGCAGAGCUUCGACCACCCAACGGACACGUUCGUCCCGGGCAUGAAGAUGCGGCUGAGCCACCGGACGGGCAAGGGCGACCGCAUCGUGGCUUGGAAAUCCCCCGGCGACCCGGCGCCGGGGCGCUUUUCCUACGGCCUGGACCCCAGCACCUCGCUGCAGCUGAUCAUGUGGAACGGGACGCGCCCCUACUGGCGCACUCCCAUCUGGCAGGGGUACGCCGUCGCCGCCAUGUACGUCAGCGCCGGCACGGUCAUCUACACCGCGAUCCUCGACACGGACUUGGAGAUCUCCAUGGCCAUCACCGUCUCCGACGGCGCGGCGCCGACGCGGUAUGUGGUGACAAGCUCCGGCAGGUUCCAGCUGCUCAGCUGGAACGGAACCCUGUCGGCGUGGGCCACGCUCCAGUCGUGGCCAUCGAGCGGGUGCGGCGCAUAUAGUCGCUGCGGCGCAUACGGGUACUGCGACGUCACAUCGGCGCCCGCGGCGUGCAGGUGCCUGGACGGCUUCGAGCCGGCGAGCGCGGCGGACUGGAGCGCCGGCAGGUUGGAGCAGGGGUGCCGGCGAAAGCAGGCGCUGCCGCCAUGCGGCGGCGUCGGGGUAGGUUUCGUGGCGAUGCGGAGCAUGAAGGUGCCGGACAAGUUCUCGAUCGACUCCAGCAACCGGACCGCGGGGGAGUGCGCGGCCAGGUGCGCCGCAACCUGCUCGUGCGUGGCGUACGCGUACGCCAACGUGCAGAUCAACAGCGCCAAGGACGAACUGAUCCGGUGCGUGGUGUGGUCAGAGGAGCUCGUCGACGCGCAGAUGAUCGACGCGCGCUGGGGCGGCGAAACGCUCUACCUCCGCGUGGCCGAAAUUGAUGAUGCCUCCACAGGUAGAGGUAGUAGAGCAGAAACACACUUGUUUCUUUUGCCCAACUUCAUCUGUUGAAUCUUUAGUCUCUACCGAAAUCAACCCAAACAAAUUUGCCAGUGCCGGUGUUAGCCCUGCCCAACACAGGUAGAAAGUCCAGCAGAAAUGCGGUGAAGAUAGCCCUGCCGGUGUUAGCAUCCCUCCUGCUGCUCACAUGCACUUUCUUUGUAUCGUUCUGGAGAUUCAGAGGUACAGUUGUAUUUUUCUUCCUUUUUUUUUCUUUAUUAACUCUGAACAUGGCGUGCUCGACCAUUCUUUCAUACACACACACACACACAAAAAAAAAGCUCACAAGCACCAAUGUCGCAGUCAAGGGAAGAAAAACCGAGAGCCAAAAUAAGAACAAGUCGGGCAAAAUCGGAGGAGAUCACACAGAAGACCUUGAGUUCCCGUCCAUACGGUUCGCCGACAUUGUCAUCGCCACGGACAACUUCUCCAAAACACUCAUGAUCGGACGCGGAGGGUUCGGGAAGGUCUACAAGGUACUACUUCUACUCAGAUUUGCUAAAUUUCAGUCACCUGAAAUUUUCUGUUCUGUUAGCUUAGCAGUUUUUUUUUAAAUCAGGGGCCUCGCCCGGCUCCAUUUUCAUUAUCAAAGAGAGGCAAAUUUUUCCAUUAGUGGUUGUUAGACUGUGUAUUUGUAUAGCUUUCGUAUAUACCCCUGUAUGUAUACCCCUUAUAGAUAUAAGAUAGCUACACCCGUAUUGGAUGUCGAGCAGUUUUCAUCAAACAUUGUUUUACAUGGUAUCAGAUUAGGUUAGAUCGUUUUUCCACUUUCACAGUUCCACUGUCGCCGCCGCCUCACGGCUUCUCCACCGGGCGCCGCCACGAUCUCCGCUCGCCCGACCGCUACACCUGCCGCCUGCCCAGCCCCUGUCGCUCAGGCCGCCCCGUCAUCUCCAUUUUUUGGCCUCCUGAUCGCUGGCCUCUCUGUCCGGUGUCUUCAUGGCCGCCCCGACGCCGCCUCUGGGUCGCUUUGACGUCGUCCCACCACCGGCAUCCUAUGGUGCCUCCCACCCGACGGCGCCCUACAACCCUGCUCCUGCCCCGCAGGCGUUUGGGGGUCAUGCCCCGCCCGCGGCUGCACCCUAGUGGGUGUAUCAGCACCCGUCGGCGGGCCACUCGCCCAAGGGUCCUCCACACCCGAUGCCGCUGGGGGGUGGUUCCUACGGUGUUGCUCCUGCCACCCCAUGGCCGAGUACGCCCUACGUACCCCCGACUACGUCGGCCUCUGCCUACCUGCAUGUCUCAGGUGCCGCGCCUCCUUACGGUCCGACCGCCUUGUACGCGAGGCCAUAUGGAGGUCCAUCGACCGACCUGGUUGCGUCACCUUCGUGCGGCUAUGCCCCGCUACCACCAUCGGAUCAGGGUGUCCCUGCUUCGCUGUUCUACUUCGCGCACCUCAUCCCGGUGAAGUUGACAACGGAGAACUACCUGUCGUGGGGUGCUCAGGUCUUGCCACUUCUCCGUAGUCUCUACUUGGAGGGGUUUGUUGAUGGCACUCUGUCGUGUGCCCCGCCUUAUCACCCGGGGCAUCAUGCGUGGGUGGCUCAAGAUCGAGCCAUCCUUUCAGCUAUCCAGUCCUCUCUUAUGGAGGGGGUCUCGUCACUUUCAGGCGGCCCUUCGGGUUCCUCAUUGGCGCAAGGCCAUCGAGCAGGAGUUUCAGGCACUACAGAGGAACGAUACUUGGCGCUUGGUUCCUCCUGUGUCGGGUGUCAACAUAAUUGAUUUCAAGUGGGUCUUAAAGGUAAAAAAGCAUGUCGGUGGUUCCAUUGAGCGCUUCAAGGCACGGUUGUUGGCCAAAGAUUGUACACAACGGUAUGGUCUUGAUUAUGAGGAUACUUUCAGCCCAGUUGUUAAACCUACCACUAUGUGUCUGCUUCUCUCCUUGGCUGUUGCCAAAGGGUAGUCUAUGCGCCAGCUUGAUGUUCAGAAUGCUUAUCUCCAUGGGGUCUUGGAGGAAGAAGUUUACAUGCGGCAACCUCCCGGUUUUGUUGAUCCAGCUCGUCCACAUCAUUUAAGUCGUCUUGUUAAGGAGCUUUAUGGACUCAAGGAGGCUCCUCGUGCAUGGCAUGCCCGGCUGGGCUCGGUUCUUCGACAGCUUGUGUUUACUCCGCCCACUGCUGACACGUCAUUGUUCCUGUUUCAUCGUCUUGAGGUGACUAUAUGUACCUGCUGGUUUAUGUUGAUGACAUUAUUCUUAUAAGCUCGUCCGUCUGCUACUAAUCGUCUGCUAUCUGCUCUCAGUGGUCACUUUGCUGUCCAGGAUCUGGGGGCUCUCUAUUACUUUCUUGGCUUGGAGGUUUCACAGUCUUCUGCUGGCCCGACUCUCACUCAGCCGAAGUACUCUUUUGACCUGCUACGCCGUGGAGGUAUGUUGCGCUGCAAGCAUGCUACCACCCCUAUGUCUGCGACAGGUCGGUUAUCAGCCUUGGAUGGUGACUUACUCCGUCCAGAUGAUGCUACUGAGUAUCACAGUGUUGUUGGAGCUUUGCAGUACUUGACUAUUACACGGCCUAACAUUUCCUAUGCGGUUAACCUUGUGUGACAGUUUCUUCAUGCUCCUCGAACUUCACACUGGUCAGCUGUGAAGCGUGUCUUGCGUUAUCUCUCACACUGUCUCAUAUGGCUUGCAUCUUCGGUCUACCUCUUCGUCUGCCCUCUCGGCCUUCUCCGAUGCUGAUUGGGCUGGGAGCCGUGAUGACCGACGAUCAACGGGGGGCUAUGCUGUCUUUUAUGGGGAUAACUUGAUCGUUUAGAGUGCACGCAAGCAGGCCACAAUAUCUUGGAGUAGCAUUGAAGCAGAGUACAAGGCGGUUGCCAAUGCCACGACUGAGCUCAUUUGGGUAAAGUCUUUGUUGAGAGAGUUAGGUAUCUCUCAACAACAACCACCCGUUCUUUGGUGUGAUAAUAUUGGUGCGACAUAUCUUUCAUCUGAUCCAGUUUUUUAUGUUCGUACCAAGCACAUCGAAGUUGACUAUCACUUUGUAAGGGAACGCAUUGCACGGAAGCUUCUUUAUAUCAAGUUCAUCUCUUCAAAGGAUCAAUUUGCUGACAUCUUCACAAAGCAACUUUCACAACCUCAGUUUGAGGGAUGCAGGUGCAAUCUUAACUUGCUUUGUACUUCAGGACAUAGUUAAGAUUGAGGAAGGAUCUUAGACUAUGUAUUUGUAUAACUUUCGUAUAUAGCGCUAUACUCUAUAUACCCCUUAUAUAUAUGAGUUAGCCACAUCCGUAUUGGGUGUCGGGCAGUUUCCACCAAACAUUGUUUUACAACUGCGUCCUCAUGAGCAGUGUUUGUGUGUGCAUGGAGAGAGAGAAGUCUGUGUGGAGGGGAGCAUGUGGAUGGGCAAGAAAUGCAGGAGAGAGGAGAGAGAGACGCUGGCAGAGCGCCUGCAUGCCGGCGAAAUUAGCCCCCCCCCCCCCCCCCCCCCCCCCCCCCCCCCCCCCCGCCCCCCCCCCCCCGCUCCUCUCNNNNNNNNCCCCCCCCUCCCCAUGUGCCCAGCUUCCUGGAUUUGCCUUUGGGGCCGCUAACGCAUUUUUGAUCAAAUACAGCGAAAAUUGAGAAGGUGGAGGCGCGACUCGACGAUUUUAUCAACGUCGAGGGUUAAAAAGUGUUUUGAGGAGGACUGUUAAGGGUGCGGCUGGAGAUGCUCUAAACAAGUAGUUCCUGACACAUUAUUACAAAGCAAGCUAAAAAGCUCAAUCCCACACACGGGAGUCUGAAACAAAACAAACAACUAGCAAUAACUGCACAAAACUAUCACUUAGCAACAGAUUCAAAGUUAGUAACUAAAAUAUCAAAUAGGCUCUCUACCUCUUUCAAGAUUAACCUAACUACUAUACACUCGUAAAACAAGUGAUACACUGACUCUAUCUCAGUACAAUGAACACAUUCAAGCUGCUUAGCCAGUUCUCUUUUCCUCUGAUUGUCAUAGACACUCACAGGUCAUUAUUUUGUUCUGAGAAAAUAACCAGAGAAAUCCCUCAACCCUGGGUGGUACAUUGAUCUUCCACACAACAGGCAAGAAGAUAGGUUGGACCCCACUAAAUUCACUAUUGCAUACAAAGAUUUACUGGAAUAAACACCUUUAGACUCAUAUUGCCAGAUCAAAGAGUCAUCCUCAUGACAGAACUUAGUGAGUUUGAUGAUAUUAACCAAAUCAAACCACUGAAUCAUUAGUUCAUUACAAAAAAUUAUCCUAAAUGUACAUUUAAGUUCUUGUCCGUCCCGAAGCUUUGAAAUAGUUAUAUUUUUCUCAUUGAUCAAAUAGUAUAUGUCCCAAAAUUGGAUGGCGAGAGGUGCAUUAGAGCAUCUCUAGCACACCCCAUAUUUUUCCGACCCGCAUAAGUCGUUUACAGUUCGACGAAGCGGGAUUUUGCGGGGCGAAAUAGUGCGCUGUAGAAUAGACCCCGUAUAUGAAACUGUAUAAUUUGAAAAAAACUUUCACGGAAGAAAUUACAACCACACUGAUCUUUUAUAGUUCAUCACAUACUACAUGAUCAUACAUGCUACAUUCUACUACUACUACUAUAGGGGGUUGGGGAUCUCGCCGGAGCUAACUAUCCUACCGCACUAAGAAAAAUAGAGCUUACCAGAGCUCGUGUUGUAGUUGUCCAGCAACAGCGCGGGCAAAAGGUUGUCCGCCUCCAUCGGGGGAAGGAAGUCCUCCGGCCCGACGACGCCCCCGGCACGUCGCUCCGGCCCCGUCCAUCUUCACCAAGGGGAGCUCCUCUAGCUCCCUCUUCACCGGGGUGAGGGAGGAGUGCGAGCUCGACGCCUUGAAGGAGUUGCUGCUGCCGGAGAAGAGGCGGCCUCGCACACGGUCGUACUCCUCUGUCUCGCGGCGGAGGAGCGACGGUGGUGGCGACCGGCCCCAGCGCGUGUAUCGUAGGGCGGUGCGCUUCCGCGCCGCGUCGUAUUUGACGCAACGCACCCUCUCGGGGUCAUCGUUGCCAUGGCGACUGAAUUUGGUCAUCUCGAGCGAUGGAUUGAAGGGGCGAGGCGACAGAUUGGAGGUGCGGGCGGCGGAUCUAAGGCGUCGACGGUGAGGGGUGGGGAGUUUUCGCGGUGGCGGUGGGAUAGGGUUCGGACCCGUAUCCAGCAGUCGAACCCGCACAUAUAGCGGUCGGGGGUCUCGUUUCCGAGCCACUGUAAAAAAUGAUCCAAACACAUAUAAUCGCCCAAAUUUUAAAGUUUCGGCAAUUAUACAGCUCUACUAGAGAUGCUUUUACCAUACCAAAUGUCUCCACAAAACCGAAUAAGUCUACCAUUGCCCACUGCGCAUUUUCUACCGCACUCUCACUGUCUGGCAGUGCCCACAUGAAUGUCUUCCAGAAUUGAGAAGAGUUAUUAUCAUGACAACAUAGGAUAUUAGGCCACUUUCAAUGCAUUGGGUGCUAAGAUGAGGUACUAAACACAUUAAAUUAUUUAGUAACUAUAGUCUUCAAUGCAUAGUUGCUUAGCUUAUUGUAGCUAAGCUUCCUUAUUUAAUGCUUUCGCAACUAAAGUUGUGUAUGCAUUGGUGCAUUUCUUUCAUUUAAUUCUUUGACCUAGGUUCACGCACUUAGCAUUGUUUCUUCCUGGGUCACCACACUUAUCUCUCUCCUAUUAGUUAGCUUGGCACAUUAAAAAAAUUAUCUACGUGACAGCCUUAGCACCUGUAUAAGAUGAAGCAUUGGGAGUAGCCUUAGGGCUUUUGCUAUUAUACUUACUAUCUAUCAGCGUCCUCGAGAAAGAACCUUCCCCAGCUAUGUAUCUUUUCACUCUAGAACAUAUCAAACAAAUGUCCUAAAAUUUACAACCCCCAUACCUCCAAACUCCUUCUUCAUACAUAUAAAAGGUGAGUUAACUAAGUGUUUAUUAUUUUGUCCUUCGCUAUCACUUCAUUGACACAAGAGCCCACUUGGGAAAUUUAACAAAGGACAGAAAAUAUUUUUUCAGAUAGGGGCUCUCUAUUACUUAAAAGAUUUAAGCACUAUACCCCACCCAUGUAUAGCCAAGAUGCACACAACCAAACAAUGUCUUCUCAUACAAACGAGAAUAAAAGGCGAAAUACAAAGAAACAUGCAUAGUCCGUAUAAUGCAUAAAGCGAAAGGGGGGUGGAUCAUGCUGCCACCCAUUUUUGGAUAAAACUACCCCUCGUCAUAGCCUGUAAUCAUGUACACACCUUCGUAAAUAGCUGUCGAUUCUCCAGACGGUGUAGAGAGAACAAUAAACAAAGAACCCUGAUACAUCUCUAGAUAACCUCCAUGAAAAAAGUAAUUUUAUUGUUAAAAAAUUUAUCGUUUCUACAUAGUCAAACCGACCAAGUAAUAGCCAUAGCAACCAAGUAACUUUGACCCUAAGAAGUGUUUUAAACCUAUGAUCAGUCGAAUGUAGCCAGUUGCAAAUACAUUAGUAACACUACAUGAAGGAUACAACUUAGAUGACUGACCAUAUAAAAUGAGCCAAAUUGCAUUGAAAGAAUAAAUGUUCUGUUGUGUCACUAUGGUGACAAAAGAUAAAUUGCAGACUAUCUUGACAAUUCCUCUUAAUAAGGUAAUCUUUAGUAAGAAUGACUCCGCGACAAAGAUACCAUGCAAAGAUAUUAUUCUUAAGUGUUAUCUUCAUCUUUUAGAUCUUCUUGUCAUUAUCAACUAUCACAUAGGUUUAGCAGAAAUUUGAUGUUCUGUUCAGUCAUGAUCUCACUAACUCCACUUGUUUAUGUUUACCAUUGGGAAGGGAACGUUGGAAGGCGGUCAUGUGGUUGCUGUGAAAAGGCUGAGCGAGGACUCAGACCAGGGAGCAGAGGAGUUCAAGAACGAGGCAAUUCUGAUUGCCAAGCUGCAGCACCGGAACCUAGUCCGCCUUCUUGGCUGCUGCACCGAGGGGGCCGAGAAGCUGCUCCUACGAGUACCUUCCCAACAAGGGCCUCAAUGCCAUCCUCUUCGGUACAUAUAAUGUUUAAGUCAUCACAACCGAAAUUACUGCAUUGUUUUAGCUUAAGUUUCAUAUGACAUGUUUGCUGCAGACAGUGUGAAGAAAGCGGUGCUGGACUGGCCGACGCGGCUGGGCAUCAUCAAGGGGGUGGCAAGGGGGCUGCUCUACCUGCACCAGGACUCGAGGCUGACGGUGAUACACAGGGAUCUCAAGGCAAGCAACGUGCUGCUGGACGCCGAGAUGCGGCCCAAGAUCGCCGACUUUGGCAUGGCCAAGAUCUUCGGUGACAACCAGGUGAAAGCCAGCACCCGGAAUGUCGUCGGAACAUAGUGAGUUAUCUUAACACCUGUAAAGAAAAAGAAAUUCUUCUUGUUUCGAAUUUAUUUGUUCAAGUCCUUUUUUUUUUUUUGGUUUUAAGUUGGUACGCCAUUUAAGAAAAUGGUGGAACCUCUUAUGACGAGAAAGUAAUGUGUGGACAGUGGCUACAUUGCUCCUGAGUACUCGACGGGGGGCGUCUUCUCCGUCAAAUCCGACGUGUACAGCUUCGGCGUACUGCUGCUUGAGAUCGUGAGCGGCACCAGGAUAAGCGCAAUCGACGGCAUUAUGGAGUGUCCUAGCCUGACAGUCUAUGUAAGCACCUGAACAAAAACUGAUAGUGUCAAACCAAAUAUAUACUUGCAGUUAGUUUCCUUUUGCAGUACACCCCAUAUCAUGAUCAAAUCCAUAUUCAUCUUUUUAAAAGGCAUACACAGAUGGUUGAUUUGAUUGCUUCAUGUAGGCAUGGAGCCUGUGGAGGGAAGGGAGGAUAGGUAAGCUGGUGGAUCCAUCCAUGGCAGAGAGCUGUUCAGAGGAUGAGGCCAUGCUCUGCAUCCACGUCGGGCUCCUGUGCGUGGAGGACGACCCGAGCAGGAGGCCGCUCAUGUCGUCUGUCGUGUCCAUCUUGGAAAAUGGAAGCGCGCCAGUGGUGGCAUCGGCGUCUCUUCCAGCGCCGAACCAGCCAGGGUACUUUAAAAUGAUAGGAGAGAAGAGCCAGAGAAGCGAUCUCGAGAACACCAGGAACGCCAUGACCAUGACAGCUCUUCAUGGACGGUAGUAUAGCAGUUACUGCAGCUUUCAUCAGAAGGGAAGUUGCGCUAGUCCUAGUGUUCCGUUUCUUUCUUUUUUUUACCGGGGAAGACCCCUGGUUCAUAGAGCAUUUGUCACUGAUGGAAAUGAAAGGUUUAUUUAUAGGAGUGUCGAGUUUAUCAGCCUUGAAAUGAACUCUGUUGCUGAAUUGAAAUCUUUACCAUGUUAGACUGAAAAUUAUUCAAGCAGGUCGCCUCAAAUCUAUAGCUGACGACCAAAAGUGCGUUUUACAGAGGUAAGCACUAGCUGGCAUAUCCCCUGAAACCAAACUCUACUAAAAAAAGUUAGUUACAUUCCUAAUAACCAACCCCGGAUGACUAUAUUUGCUCCAGUCGCGGCCUUUGGACUAAAGAUAAGAGCAUCUCCAGCGUUCGGCCCCCUAAGGCCGUGAAAUAGCGCCGCCUGAGGACGCGGCGGCGGAAAAAACAGCGUGGGAGGGGGGGGGGGGGGCUCGGGUUCCCAGCCAUCGAUUUUGGUCCAUUUUCGGCGUAAAUUGACCCAUUUUCGGUGCAAAUUGGCCCACUUUCGGUGGUCUAUAAAACUUAGCUCGAUUACAUGAUCUAUCUCAUCUAAUCCCACCAUCAUUCAGCAAAUCUACAAAGGAAUUACUCACUCCCAGUGAUGAGCAUCAUAGCGGUGUUGAUGAAGAAGGGUUGGUGAUGACGACGGCGACGAAUCCACCUCUCCGAACCGCUAAACGGACUCCAGAUUAGCCCUCCGGGGAAAGAACAAGAGGUGGCGGCGGUUCCGUCUCGUGAAACGCGAUGAAAACUUCUUUCUAAUUUUUUUCUCCGAAGAUGUGAUUUUAUAGGACUGGAAUUAGGGUCGGAGGAGACACAUGGGCCCCACAAGGUUUCUGGGUGCGACCUGGGGGUGGCGUGGAGGGGGGGGGACGCCCUGUUGUCUUGUGCCCCCUGGCACACCUCCUCCGGUAGGUCUUUGCUCCAUAAUUCCUUAUAAAUACCAGAAAUAAUUCAUAAAAAAUUUCGUCCGAUUCCGAGAACUUCUAUUUCUACACAAAAAUAACAUCAAGGUAGUUCUGCUGAAAACAACGUUAGUCCGGGUUAGUUUCAUUUAAAUCAUGUAAAUUAGAGGUCAAAACUAGAGCAAAAGUGUUUGUAAAAGUAGAUACGUUGAAGAUGUAUCAUCGGUCAACCGCAGACUCAUCCGGCAGAGGCAGGCGAAGGCCGACACCCGCUUCGACGAGCUCGGCGCGGAUAUAGCGGCGAAGGAGGCCGCAUCGGAGCAGUCCGAGGGGGGGGGGAGCUGUGGCUACACCCCAUGUAUCCGCCAAUGGACACGUAGAUCGUUGAAAUCUUCGAUGAGGAGUGGUAGUUAGUUUUCUACGUAGUAGUACGUAGGUUUCUUUGGUUGGCGAGAUGUCUGGGCGCGUCCGGUCACUCCCUGCGGUUUAUUUGAGACGUGCCCGAUCACUCCGUGUGGACGCACCCAAACGCGGACGCAGGUGUUUGAGGGAUCAUUUUUUGCUAUCCUUGGUUGUAGAUGCUCUUAUGUUGCAGAUAUACACGGAAGUGAUACAACCGGACCAGGGUGUGGUACGAUGGUGCUGGCAUUGGACGCCGACAUUGUUUGUGGACGUCGUGGCCGAAGUGGCCAGCCUACGAGGCUCUUUUUUUACCAAGUGUUACUUAGUACUCCCUGUGUCCCGAAAUUUUUGUCUUAGAUUUGUCUAGAAAUAGAUGUAUCUGAAUACUAAAACGCGGCUAGAUACAUUCAUAUUUAGACAAAUGUAAGAUAAGAAUUUUAAGACGGAGGAGUACUUAGUACUUAGUUUACAAGGAAUUAAGCCAAUUACCGGUGUUUUUUACAUUCGGCCUACUCCCUUUGUUUUUCUUAAUCUGCAUAUAAAAUUUAAUUAAAGUCAAACAAUAAAAAGUUUAACCAAAUUUAUAUCAAAAGAUAUCAACAUCUGCAAUACUAAAACUAUAUGGUACGAAACUUAAUAUCAUGAUGCACCUAGUAAUCUUCAUUUCAUAUUAUGAAUGUUAAUAUCUUUUUCCUACUAGUAUAAAGUUGGUCAAAGUUUAUGAAGUUUAAUAUUAUCUUCGUCCGAAAAUAUUUGUCUUAGAAAUGAGUAAAUGGAUGUUUGUAUAAUCAAAAUAAAUCUAGAUACAUUUAUCUUUAAAAUAAUUAUUUCCGGACGAAAAGAGUAUUAAUCAAAUCUUAUAUACAUACUUAAAAAAAACGGAGAGAGUACGUGUCAAGCCACACGAAGACUUAUGAUUAUCUGACUCAAGGUAGCUGCAUGCGCCAUGAGCCAACCCCCUCCAAUCCCCCUUCUUGCUCGUCUCCCUCUUGUCUUGCUCCAGGGCGCGCUAGUAGAGUGCACUGUAGCGGCACGCCACCCCAGCUUGUGGUGGAGAGAGGUCUGUGCGUUACUUCCGUAAUAAUUUCCCGUAGACGACCCCUCUGGCUCAACUGUCGUUGUAGAACUAAGACGGCGCGUACGUAUGACGCGCACACACCGGAGACCGGACCAGUUCACCAUGGGUGCAAUGCAUGCCGAAGAGCACUAGUCAGUCGUAUGACUUCACAAAGUCGCGCCAUCGUGUGGUGUGGCUACGUCGCCUUGCAUUGCAGCCAAGAGCAACAAGGUUCAUGCACUGCCCUCACGAAGUGCCUGCACGCACCUUGAAUUUGCUCAAUGGACCUGCCGCCACGUUCCGCUGCCGUCCUCGUCCUCGCCGUCGUCGCCGCCUGCCUCCCGUGCAUGUCGGCCGAGGACCAGCUGGCCGUCGGGGACAAGCUCCUCGCCCGGGAUACCAUCGUGUCCGACAGCGGCGACUUCGCCCUCGGCUUCUUCUCCCCGGACGACUCACCCGCCGCUCCCGCGAGACGGUGGUACCUCGGCAUAUGGUACCACAGCAUCCCCGGGCCUCAAACCGUCGUCUGGGUGGCCAACCGGGACGCCCCAGCCGCCGGAGAGCCUACGCUCGCGCUGGCCAACGACUCCAGCCUCGUCCUGUCCGACGCCGACGGCAGCGUGCUCUGGACCACGCCCGGCGUGGGCACAUCGUCCUCGCAGCCGGCGCCAGCCGAGCUCGGGAACGACGGCAACCUGCUCAUCCUGCUGCCGAACGGCACGGUGGUGUGGCAGAGCUUCGACCACCCGACGGACACGUUCAUGCCGGGGAUGAAGGCCCGGCUGAGCCGCCGGACGGAGAGGCGUGACUGGAUCGUGUCCUGGACAUCCCCCCGCGACCCGGCGCCGGGCCCCUUCUCCUGCGGCCUGGACCCCGUCACGUCGCUGCAGCUGCUCAUGUGGAACCGCACGCGGCUCUAUUCGCGCACCCCCGUCUGGACGGGGUACGCCGCGUCCGGGACCAUCGUCAGCGCCGGCAUGGUCAUCAACACGGCGAUAGUGGUCGUGGGCACCGAGGAGGAGAUCUCCAUCACCUUCACAGUGUCCGGCAGCCCGACGCCCACGCGGUACGUGGUGACCAGCUCCGGCACGUUCCAGCUCCUCAGAUGGAACGGCACCGCGUCGGCCUGGGACACGCUCCAGUCGUGGCCGUCCAGCGGGUGCACCACCUAUGGCCGCUGCGGCGCGUACGGGUACUGCGACGCCACGGCGGCCCCGCCGUCGUGCAAGUGCCUCGAUGGGUUCGAGCCGGCGAUACCGGCGGACUGGAGCGCCGGCAGGUUCGAGCAGGGCUGCCGGAGAACGCAGGCGCUCCCGCCGUGCGGCGGCGGCGGGCAUGGUUUCCUGGAGAUGCGGAGCAUGAAGGUGCCGGACAACUUCUCGCUCGACGCCGGCAACCGGAGCCCGGAGGAGUGCGCGGCGAGGUGCGCCGGCAGCUGCUCGUGCGUGGCCUACGCGUACGUCGACCUGCACAGCAGCAGCGCGCGGCAGCUGCGGUGCCUGGUGUGGGCAGGGGAACUCGUCGACGCACAGAUGAUCGGCGCGCCCGGCCAGACGCUCUACCUCCGCGUGCCCGUUGCUGCAACGUCCACAGGUACGGCUGAAAGAAAAAGAACAUAUGCUUUGUUGUCCGAAACUUUGUCAAAGUUAUGAUGAAUGUUUACUGAAUUGAAAACAAAAAAGUGGGACAUGGAUAUCCAGUGAACGUUCAAUUUUCAAUGCUCGGCAAAUCAAACGUUUUUCAUCGCAAGUUGUGUUUCUUGAGGGUUAAAAGUUUAAUUUACGAGCAUGAAAAGUCCGUCUCAGUUUAUUUUUAUUAGAAAAUUAUUACAAUUGCAAGCUAUUUUUUUACAAGAAAGCCUUCGGGAUAUAGCUUUAUUCAACUUCAGAUAGUACUUACAUAAUCUGUUAAAAACUUCAAAAUGAAAUCAGGGGUGCGAGGCAGGAGGAUUAACACGUCUCUACUUAGGCCCUGUUUGAAACCAUAAUAGAUUAUGAUAAUCUAGAUUAUGAAAAUAAAUUAUAUAAUCUGGUUUAUAAAAAAAAUCUAGGUGGACAUGUUUGCAGACCAGAUUAUAUAAACUGUAAUCUAGGUUUUACAUUGCAUAAUAAUGACCCGUCUACCCUCUGUUUUUUAAAAAGAGGUGGAUGGCGGUGGUAGGAAUGUAAUUAUGUUUAACUUUGCAAGGAUAAUGGGUCAUUAGCAAUUCAUAAUCCGAUUUUACCUGGUGUAGAGUAGAUUAUAAGUUUUUAAUAAUCUAUCCAUCUAGUUUUUAUAAUCUACACCAUAAUUUGUCCUGUUUGGAGACAUAAUAGAUUAUAAAAACUAGAUUGUAUAAUCUGGAUGGUUCCAAACAAGGCCUUAGCUACCUCGUGAGCAACUAUGUUUAACUCCCUAACGGUGGUGGAGCUACAACCACAUCUUUGGGCGAGCUAAAACGGAUCAACUUAAAAAAUAAUACAUUAAUACAGUAUACAUCUGAAGUUUUGCUCUUAGGCCUCUCUCAAUGCUUCAUUUCGUAUAGGUGCUAAGGCUAUCAUAUAGACGAAAAAUCUAAUGUAGUAAAAGUAAUUUAGAGGAGAGAGAUGAAUGUGGUGACCUGGGAAAAAACAACGUCAAGCACGUAAACCUAGGCAAAACACUUAAAUAAAAGAAAUCCACCAACACAUGAACAACUUUAGUUAAUAAAUCAUUAAAUAAGGAGGCUUAGCUACAACAAUCUAAGCACCUAUGCAUUGAAGGCUUUAGUUGCUAAACUAUUUAAUGUGCUUAGCACCUAAUCUUAACAUCAAUGCAUUGAAAGUGGCCUUAGAGCAAGUACAAUAGUCCUAUUCAGUAGGCUACAAGGGAUUCCACCUCACCAAAAAUCUGAGCUGGAGGAGGGUAAAGACAGGAGAGAGAAGGGAACGGGCGUUGUCGUGGGUAUAAGCCUGACAGUAGAUGUGUAGGAUACGAAAAGGAUGGGCAGAGUCCUAGCUACGGCGAGGAUGUAUGAGUUCAGGCCCCUCUGCGAUGGAGGUAAUAGCCCUACGUCUCAGUUCUCAGGGAGCUUUGUUGUCGAGUGGAAUCAGGAAUACAAUGAGUUGCUAACCUCUUUACCAGUGGGGGAGGGUGGCUUAUAUAGAGUGCGCUGCCCUCCACAACGGUUCCGAUACAGGGGUGGAGUAGUGGCGAUUGAAUGUGUACGUUACAGGUAACCUACGCCCUAAAUGCCAAUAAAUGCACCUGGAAACGUACGACCGUUUCCCUCCAGGGGGUUACGAUGUACCGAGUGGUAUACAGUCGGUUAGCCUGAUAUGCUCCGAAUGCUAGUCUCCGACUGGACGAUCGAGAGUAAAUUACCGACUGGAUGACAGGGAUUCCUUAAUUCAGUCGGAGCUGACUAGGGGUCUAGUCCUUUGCGAGGGGUGGUCCUUGGAUAAGACCUACAGGGCAGGCCUAUGACCCUACCCUAGUACUAUAACCCCAUCAGGCGCUUCACUAGUCGCCCGGCUGCAGCACAAGACCCGAGAAAGUUUAGCCCACUUGGAGCUCGAAGCCGGCGACAGGGCCACUGCUCCCAAUCCCCUGCGUCUCACCAUCCAAUCAACUGCUUUUUUCCUUUCUUACCAUGCAUGCGAACAUUGAUUGCCCUGGCCUCAACAGCUCAUAUAAAGCCAACCUUAUUACACCAGACUUCUUCUACGAAGGCUAUUGUUGACAUGGCACCGAUAUACAGCCGGUAGCCGGCGUUUCUAUUAACCAUGCUCUUAGGGUCCAAAUUCAGCACCAGUCUUCAUUAAAUUUUCAUUAAGCUGGGUGGGCCAUGUCUGGUUUUGCCCAGCCAUAGCUCCGCCAUUGCUCCCUAAUUAAUACAAUGCUCGUAGUAACCUUACCAUGAUCACGAAAACAAUUUCGAAAAUCCUGACAACGCUGCCGUCAUCAUAGAAUGCUCGUCAUUUGAAUUUAAAGCUUGUACCACAAUGGGGUUACUUAAACUCACCAUUAGAUUGUUACAUCCACUGAUGUGUGCAAGUUUGAAACCUUCUAGAAACGUCGCGGCCUCGGUUGAGACUACACCCGCUACAUGUUCAAGUUUUGCGGUAGAAGCUGAGAUUCCGAAUGAUAUAUAGCUCUACAUGAACCAGAAUAAUUUUUCGUGCUUGCAUACUAAUUUUACAUCAUCAAAGAAUUAGCCAUGGACGGGGUGCGUGGAAGCUUGCUAUUCAUGUGCCAGAACCAUGAGUUGGUCGCGAGAUCUUAUGGGUUUCACCUCUAGCCUAUUUCAACGUGUUUGGGACUAAAGACUUUGUCGUCGUCGUUGUUGUUGUUGCUGCAUACUAACUUUGCAUCCCGGCGCCAAUAUAAAUUGUCAUAAAAAUUGUUUAAUUUGCCAUGUUUAAAAUUUGACGUAAGAUUCUUAGUCUUAUCGCCCUUUCAUGUGCAGGUGGAAAUGCAGUGAAAAUAGCAGUGCCGGUGGCAGCAUGUGUGCUGGUGCUCACAUGCAUUUUCUUUGCAUGGUUCUGGAGAUUCAGAGGUAUAGUUAUACUUUUAGCUCUAAACAUGUCAUACUAAAUCAUUCUUAGACAAAAUGCUCACAGCAUCAAUUUUACAGGCAAUUUUACAGACAAGAGGAGGAAAACCGAGAGCCAGAAGAAGCUAAUGACUGGCAGCGCGAACACCCCGAGCGAAGUCGGCGAAGGAGAUCACACUGGUGACCUUGAGUUCCCCUCCUUACGGUUCGCCGACAUCGUCGCUGCCACGGGCAAUUUCUCCAAGACAUUCAUGAUCGGGCGCGGAGGCUUCGGCAAUGUUUACAAGGUAUACUAACUUUUACCUCUCUUUCAGUCCUUCGGCAAGGUUUUCAAGGUAUCCUGUUUUGUGAGUUUAACACAAAAUUCACUUUUUUGUUUUACAAUUCGGAAGGGAACAUUAGACGGUGGACAUGUGGUCGCCGUGAAGAGGCUGAGCAAGGAUUCAGAUCAGGGAGCAGAGGAGUUCAAGAACGAGGCGAUCCUCAUCGCCAAGCUGCAGCACCGGAACCUGGUGCGCCUCCUCGGCUGCUGCACCGAGGGGGCGGAGAAGCUGCUCAUCUACGAGUACCUGCCCAACAAGGGCCUCGACGCCAUCCUCUUCGGUACAUACCAUAUGUUCAUUACAACUGAAAGUACAUAAUCUUUUUUACGAGUGAAAUACACCGUUAGUCCAUUGACUCAAAGAGUUCGUACAGUUUAUUAGGUAAGAACAGGCAAAAACUCAGGAAAUCAUCAAUUUACUCAUUAAUUUAACUAGUUUAAGUAAUCAGAUUAAGGACAAAAACGAUUCACCUUGUUUAAAGAAAUUCGAUUCACCCCCGAAAAACCACACACGUGGCUGCCAUAUCAUUGUACAUGUGUUCUAAAUAAGUUUAAUAACUAAAUUAAUCACUUCGUGAGUUUUUGGCCUAAACGGUACAAUUACAAACAAUUUAACUUAGAGCAUCUCCAACAGGCGCCCAAAAAAGCUUCACGCGUUAAAAGUUUAUUUUUUGGGCGCCGAACAGUUCCAACAGAUGCUGUAAUAUACUGCACGCGUUAAAAAGAUUUGGGCACGCGCUGAAAAACGCUAUCGCGCACAGCAUAUUUAGACGCCGGAUUGUGCGCCCUUUAUAAUUUGCACUGCGUGUUUUUUUUGUGCGUGUUUUUGCGCGUCUGCUAAAGCAAUGUUAGUCCUGACGCAUUAAAAGUGAUACAGCGCUAUAACUUUUAUUAGACGCGAAAUUUUUGUGCGGGUGUUGAAGAUGUUCUUAAUGGACGCAAUUCAUCUCUACUGAUUUUCAUUAUAGAAAACCAAUGGCUUAACUACUAAAAGAAGAAAAGAAAGAAGGACCACCAGACCCAAAUCCUUCACAGAGUGGGAGGGGCAGCAUCCCAAACUAAACCUGGGCAUAUCCCGGGCCAGGCUUUAGAAAACCCAAACUGAAAAUCUCAAGCCCGAGCCCGGUCCGAUCCGGUCAAAAAAACCAAUUUUCAGCCACCGAGCACGGCCCAAAUGGAUUAAAAAGAUGAAUUCCGGGUCGCGCCUGGACGGGUCGGGUCUCCGUGUAAAAUGAUGAUUUUCCAAAGCCCGAGCCCAUCCCAAACUAUUGCCCGAGCCUAGUUUCCAAGCUUGAACCCUUCCCAAACAUAAAGCCCGCUCCGGCCCGGCCCGGGUUUUUCGGGUCGGGUCACCGGGCAAUGAUCGGGCUGCCCAUGCCCAAGUUUAUCCCAAAUCAUGCAUAACUUCUUUUCUUCACCACCUCAACUUUGAAUAGCCCCCUCAACAAUCUUAAUGAAGCUCCGUUACUGCCCACCGGGACCAAAUUUUUGUCAUGCUUGGGGAAGGUUUUAAUCCAUCUAGAGAAACAAUCAUUUAAAUACACAGAAUAAAACAAACAUCAAAUGCACAUUUUAGUAAAUUCCACACCAAUUUAGCAUUAGAGUAGUUGAAAAACAUAUGAGCAAUGGUUUCCCCUGGCCAUUGAAGGCGCAUCCUUUCUCUCUUUUCCAUCUUCUUUUUAACAUGUUAUCUUCGGCCGGUAUACUUUUUCUGUUUACUAAGCAAACGUAAACUUGAUUUUACGAACAAUUUUAAUUUUCCACAAAAAAUUUCGUGGAAAUCCACAUCAGUCAACACCCACUUAAUUUGACCCUUCCGUCCAUACAUUUGGAUCUCCUCACAUCUGGCUUCCAAACUUUCCCAAAGAGUUAGGCUCUCUCUCGAGUCCCCGCAGAGUUCUUCAAAAGGAGAUAUCAUCACACCCCUUCUCAAUAGCAUCAGCUACCGAGAUAUCAUGGUUAAAGCUGACCAAGUAUAAUCUUGGAUAGGCUUCUUCUAGGCCUUGUUCGGUUGCCGUGGUUAGAUUCCACGAGUGAUUUCUAACCUCCUAGGGAUUAGGUGAUCUCCUACUUGUCACCCAAUCACCGCUAUUCCUCAUCCACAUGAAUCCUUCUGACCAAAACAUGUUCAGUUACUCCCUUUUCUAAUCCAUCCAUAUGAAUCAUUGCCCCUGUCAACGUCAGGUCAGAAUCGGUAGAGGAGAACGGGAAGAAGAGGAGAGGACAAGAAGGAGACGAGGCUUACCUGAUAGGAGAGCAAGGAGGGGUGGGGAAGUAUGUCGCCAUCAUCGCCUCCGGAUGGCCGCGCCGUCGCCGCCAAAUCGCGGGAGAGAGAGAGAGAGAGCCCGGGGAGACAUGGCUCGAUUUUUUUUCUUCCGACAUACAGAUUCGCCCAUCGGGAGGGAUUGGUUCCACGAGUAGAGAUGCGAGGAUUUUAUCCCAGACAGUUCCACGUGGUUUGAGAGGGAUUGGGCGGGGGUGUAGCCCCGACCGGGUUUAAUCCAACAAGCUCGUAAGCAGGCUGGGGUCGGAUCCCGGCCGGGCCGAAACCACGGGGUUCGGCGGGGAUUGGACACCAAUCCCGGCGGGGGAGGGGCUAACCGAACAAGGCCUUAGGGGUUUAUCAUCCAUCCAUCAAUCUUCCCAAAACCUAGUAUUUUUUUCAUCACCUAAUUUUUUCUUUACAUUGCUGAUAAAAGCAAUAUUUCAAUUCCAAAAUACUGGACCAGAAGUGAGAGUCACCCACUUCAGGUUUUAUACCAGAUAGACAAUUAUCUUUCACAUAUUUGUUAAUGAGGACUUCCCAGUUCCCACCAUAAUCCAUUUUCAGUUUCCAGUCUCCAAAACCACUUGGCUAGUAGGGAUUUGUUCAUUAAUUCUAGAUUUAUACUUGCUGCAGAUAGUGCGAGGAAAUCGGUGCUGGAUUGGUCGACACGGCUGGGGAUCAUCAAGGGCGUGGCAAGGGGGCUGCUCUACCUGCAUCAGGACUCAAGGCUGACGGUGAUACACAGGGACCUCAAGGCCAGCAACGUGCUGCUGGACGCCGAGAUGAGGCCCAAGAUCGCCGACUUCGGCAUGGCCAAGAUCUUCGGCGACAACCAGGUGAAAGCCAACAGCAAGCGCGUCGUCGGCACAUAGUGAGUAAUUUGAACACUUUACUGAAUUUACAGAGAGAAAAGGAAUUUUUUUGUGUUAAGUUGGUACAUAGCAUUUGACGAAAAUAAAGUGUGACAGCUCUUCUAACAAAAAAUGUGUGUGCCGACAGUGGCUACAUUGCUCCCGAGUACUCGACGGAGGGCGUCUUCUCCGUCAAAUCCGACGUGUACAGCUUCGGCGUGCUGCUGCUGGAGAUCGUUAGCGGCGUUAGGAUAAGCACAACCAGUGGCAUCAUGGAGUUUCCUAGCCUGAUAGUCUAUGUAAGCACCUGCAUUUACAAUUUUCUUCAGUACAGUCCUCUUUCUUGUGAUCGAAUCCGUAUUUGUAAUAGCAAGAAAAGGAACAAUUCAUGGUUGGUUUGAUUGUUUCAUGUAGGCAUGGCACCUGUGGAGGGAAGGGAAGGCAGGCAAGCUGGUGGAUCCGUCCAUGGCAGAGAGCUGUCUACAGGACGAGGCAUUGCUCUGCAUCCACGUCGGGCUCCUCUGCGUGGAGGACGACCCGAGCAGGAGGCCGCUCAUGUCGUCCGUCGUGUCCAUCUUGGAGAACGGAAGCGCGUCGGUGGUGCUGGCAUCGGCGUCUCUUCCGGAGCCGAACAAGCCAGGGUACGUCGGAAUGAUGGAAGAGAAGACCCAGAGAAGCGAUCUCGAGAACAGCAGGAACACCAUUGCCAUGACCGUUCUGCAAGGCCGGUAGCACAGUAGGGACUGCAACUUUCUUCUUCAGAAGGAAAGGUGCACUUAGUUCUAGCGUUUCAUUUUCUUUUCUUUUUUACCGUGGGAAAAAACGGAUUUGUAGAGCAUUUUUUACUGGUACAAAUGAAAUAUGUAUUUACAGGAGCGUUGAGUUGAUUUGAUGUGUCUUGAAAUGGAUGGUAUUGGUAUGAAUGUCUUGCUGGAUUUGAAUACUUUAGCUACUUGGAUGGACUUCCAGAAAAAAUUUCAGAGAGCUUCUGUAUUUGACAUUCAGAGGUUGAGAGAAACAAGUAAUUAAGCGGAAGAAGAAAGAUGCCUUGAUUAAUCUGAAAAAUAACCAGAUAUUACACAAACACCAUCUUUUUAGUGUACACACACCAACUCAUCAUCUCGACUCGCCCUCACAUGCAAAAUCUAUCAGUCCGGAAAGACAUGCAGCACAGCAGCAUCCAUCAGCAAUGAAGUUGUCGGCCAAGCGCGCGCGCGCGCGCUAGAGGUUGAGCUGACUGAGCUCACUUGCCGGGAACGAAGUUGGUGGCGAAAGCCCAGGCGUUGUUGUUGACGGGGUCGGCGAGGUGGUCGGCGAGGUUCUCGAGGGGGCCCUUGCCGGUGACGAUGGCCUGGACGAAGAAGCCGAACAUGGAGAACAUGGCGAGGCGGCCGUUCUUGAUCUCCUUCACCUUGAGCUCGGCGAAGGCCUCGGGGUCCUCGGCGAGGCCCAGGGGGUCGAAGCUGCCGCCGGGGUAGAGCGGGUCGACUAUCUCGCCGAGCGGGCCGCCGGCGACGCGGUAGCCCUCGACGGCGCCCAUGAGCACCACCUGGCAGGCCCAGAUGGCGAGGAUGCUCUGGGCGUGGACGAGGCUGGGGUUGCCGAGGUAGUCGAGGCCGCCCUCGCUGAAGAUCUGGGAGCCGGCCUUGAACCACACGGCCUCGCCGAACUUGACGCCGUUGCGGGCGAGCAGCUCGGGGAAGACGCAGCCGAGCGCGCCGAGCAUGGCCCAGCGGCAGUGGAUGACCUCCAGCUCACGGUUCUUGGCGAAGGUCUCGGGGUCAGCGGACAGCCCCGCGGUGUCCCAGCCGUAGUCGCCGGGGAACUCGCCGGUGAGGUAGCUCGGGGGGUCGCCGGAGAGCGGGCCGAGGUAGAGCACGCGGUCGGAGCCGUACCACGGGCUGCUGGACGCCGCCACCUUGGGCUUGCCCGCCGUCUUGCGCAUGGUGAUGCGGCCCUCGCCGAAGGGCGCCGCCCUGGAGGCCUUCACCGGGGUGCCGGCCAUCGCCGGGGAGGAGAGCGCCAUGGUCGCCGCGGCCGCCAUCGCUCGCUGCGUGCUAGCUAGCUAGCCUUGCUUCGAGUGAGCUGAGGCUGGCAGUGACAGUAGGAGGCGCUGGUGGUCGUUGGUGGUGAGGAGUGAAGCGGGAGCGCGCCGGGUUUAAAUAGGAGGAGGGAGCGAUCGGGUCCUUAUCCCGGGGAAUCUUAUGCCGAGUCGCCAUUGGCGCGCGGGGCGCGAGGCGGGCGGAUGGGGCGGCUGAGGUGGCCGCGCGGUGGCCACGGGAGCGGCGGAGGUCGGGAUUUUUUGCGGGGUUGUGGUGGAUUUGGCGCGGUGGAGAUGAGCCGCGAGGGCGACGGUGGGUCGCGGCCGCAGCCCACAUGGCCGCGUGUGGGGCGGCUCGCCGAUGUGGCCGCGCGCUGGCCAGGGGAUCUCCUGCUCACCGCGCCGGGCGGAAGGGGACGGAGGGCGAUGAGUUUGGCCGUUGCGCGCGGUGCAUUCUGAGGCGUGCCGCUGGCCGGAGGACCCCGGGAAAGAGAUAUCUGCCGUUGGCAGGUUGUGCCGGCGACCUACGUGGCCGACAUCUACUGGUUUCACGACUUCACGAGGUGCCCAAUCGGAACGGGUUCAGGACUAGCUCGGAACUGCCGUUUUAUUUUUCGAUUUGCACAUGCAUCAUGUAAAGAUCCUCUGCAAUGGUUGAAGUUUAAAAACUUUUAUCUUUAAAACCGUUAAUUCAAUCGAUGAUCUCUUUUCAUCGUUGACUUUGUCACGACAAGAUCUUCGAAACUAGAUCUCAUGUUGACAUGUUUCGACAAACUUUUUUUUUCUUCCAUAAUUGCUACAUUUUUCCACUCACUUGCUAUAUUAUUAACCACUUACUUGCUCAAUAAAAAUAACUUAAUUGCCAUAUUUUUUUAUGUCGUUUCGUGCAAAGAUUAUCGAUGCUUAUAAAUGCAGUCCCCAAAAUGUUUUGAUGUGUUUGUCAUUUUUAUUCUACUAAGUUGUCAUGUGGUCUCAUAAAAGCUUGUAGGUGCUUAUAAAAUCACAGUUUCUACAUAUAUUUUUUGUGCUUGUCAUUUUAAUCCUACCUCGUUAUCAUAUUGUCCCAAACAACUUGUGAGUCAUUGUAAAAAAAAUAGUUGUUACGGUGUUUGCUGUAUUUAUCUUUUGAAUUCUAUGCUCAAUUGUUAUGUUUUGUGGUAAUAAAAGGACAUUUGAUUGUUUUAAAACGUAGUUGUGCUAGUGUUGUGUUGUGUCGGUCAGUUAAAUUCUAUUAAAAUGAUAUGCUUUUAUAUCAUGUAUAAUAAAAUAUGUUACAAGGCUUUUGUACGAAAUAAUAUUAAAAAGUGACAAUCAAGUUAUUUUUUUAGGCAAGUAAGUGGUUACUAAUAUGGCAAGUGGGUCAAAAAAUAUGGCAAGUAUGAACAGAAAAAAAAAGUUGACGAAACAUAUCGAUAUGGGAUCUAGUUUUGAAGAACUCGUCGCGAGAAAGCCAAUGAUGAAAACGGAUCAUCGAUUGAAUUAACGGUUUUGGAGAUAAAACUUUUUGAAUUUCAAACAUAAAAAAGAAUCGCGGGUUGUCCUCCCGCCGCACGGCAAAGCAGCGCUGCGCAUGCUAUCAAUUAGAUUUUUCCUUUAUUUUUUAUUUCUUACCGGCAAAACGAUCCGUAUGUUGAAACGGAAAAAAAAUCAUAAUCUUUAAUGAACAUGAACAUAUUUUCCUGCAUCAUCAAGAUAAAAAAAUAUCACUCUCAUUUUCAUGAAAUCGUGGAUAGUUUUUAAAAAUACAGAACAUAUUAAACUCAUGAACAUAUUUGCAAUCGGGAAUAUGUUUCAAAUUCACAGACGUUUUUACAGAUUUUUGAACAUUUUCAAAGAUCAUGAACAUGUUAUACUAUUUUCACACAUUUUUUAAAAUAUAGGAAAAAUAUUAAACAUUUUUCCUGAAUUGGCGAACAUUUUUCUAGAACCGAAGAUCACUUUUUUGGAAAUUUGUCGGCCAAUUUCUGAAAUUCACCAACAUUUUUUUGAUUUUAAAAUUAUUUUUUGAGUUCCAUGAUCAUUUUUUGAAUCAGCGAACAUUUUAUGAAUCAUAAACUAUUGUGUAAUUCACGAUCAGUUUUUGAAUUUUCUCGAUAUUUUUCAAUUUAAGAACAUUUUUUGAAUUGUAUUUUUUUCAAUUGAUUAUUUUGUUAACAUAUGAACGUUGAUAACAAAUCAUGAUUUUUUUUUGGAUUUUCCGAACCUUUGCUACCAAAAUUAUGAAAUUUUUAUGAAUAGGUGUUAUUUAAAAUUGCAAAUAUAUUUUUUAAUCCACAGACGUUUAGAAUUAUUAAACAUUCUAUUACUAAAAAUGUAUUUAAAAAAUUCGGAAUUUGUUUGAAGUCCUGAAUUAUUUAAACUAGAAAGAACAAAGACGGAAAAGGAAAACAAAAUUUAGAAAAUAGGACACCCAGAUAUGGAUCAGCCCAAACAAGUGCGACGUGUUUUCUUCCAGCACACAGAGCACAGUGUAAGAGGUUCCUACUUGAUGGGCCAGCCCAAACGGGGAUUCCCUUUGUGAAAUGUUUGUUAUCACUUGUGGCAACGCUAGGUAAUAUUUUACAACUUUAAAGGUAAUUUAUGUGAUGCACCUUAAGAAGCACUAAUGCCUUUAUUAAUAUAGGUAUAUAUAUAUGCAACAGACUGUUUACACGUGCAAUCAAGUUUUGCAAGUCUUGGGCCUAUAUAUAUAUAUAUAUAUAUAUAUAGGCCCAAGACUUGCAAAACUUGAUUGCACGUGUAAACAGUCUGUUGCAGUUACUUUGGUUGUAGCCUAGAGAUGUGAAAUGUUAUUUCAACCAACCAGAAGAGAGUGCUUGAUACUUGUGAUCUGCAUUGAGUUUUUUAUAAAGAGGAAUGGAUGAUGCAUCACAGUAUAAAUGGUAAAUUGUAAUGCGUGCUCAAGUUCCGCAACACACCCAAUACAAUGACAAAUUGCAUAGGCGAACUAGUUCGGCGAAGAGAUGUGAUACAAGUGUAGUAUGGAUAGUAUAAAUAUAUUUUUAUAAUCCGAAUAAGUAAAAAGAGCGAGGCAACAAGUAGUAAACAACGAGAAAAACGGUAUAUUAAUGUUGGAAUUAUGCCCUAGAGGCAAUAAUAAAUAUAGUUAUUAUUAUAAUUCCUGUAUCAAGAUAAUAGUUUAUUAUCCAUGCUAUAAUUGUAUUGAAUGAAGACUCAUUUACAUGUGUGGAUACAUAGACAAAACACCGUCCCUAGCAUGCCUCUAGUUGGCUAGCCAGUUGAUCGAUGAUAGUCAGUGUCUUCUGAUUAUGAACAAGGUGUUGUUGCUUGAUAACUGGAUCACGUCAUUGGGAGAAUCACGUGAUGGACUAGACCCAAACUAAUAGACGUAGCAUGUUGAUCGUGUCAUUUUGUUGCUACUGUUUUCUGCGUGUCAAGUAUUCAUUCCUAUGACCGUGAGAUCAUAUAACUCACUGACACCGGAGGAAUGCUUUGUGUGUACCAAACGUCGCAACGUAACUGGGUGACUAUAAAGAUGCUCUACAGGUANNNNNNNNNNNNNNNNNNNNNNNNNNNNNNNNNNNNNNNNNNNNNNNNNNNNNNNNNNNNNNNNNNNNNNNNNNNNNNNNNNNNNNNNNNNNNNNNNNNNUCCUCGCCUCUAGCUCGCGCACCCCUCGCCGGAGUCGGCACCAGAGAGCUUCACCCAGGAGCUCCUCCAUCGCCCCCCCCUGCACGCUUUCCCCCUGCCGAGCCCACCUCACCCCGCCACCACCUCCCCACCACUCGGCCCCCUCCUCCACCACCCCUCCACCCCGCUGCUGCUCCUCCCCAUCACCACUACCAGGCAGCCAGGAGCUUCCCCGUCGGCUCCCCCACAUGCAGGCUCCCUCCUCCCCCUUCGGCCCUCCCCCCAGGAGUCUCCACCGGCCCCUUCCCCACCCCUCGCCGGCCCCUACCCCACCCCACCGGAGCUCACCCCGUGCACCCCCUUCCCACCUCGGCCACAAUAGCCAGCCACGGGAGCAGCUCCAGCCACGGUAAGGCUCCACUCCCCCUCCUGUUUCUUUUUUGUUUUUAUGUAGUAGCCCUUAGAUCCAUAAUCUACGGUGUAGAUUAGGAAGUACUUACCCCUUCGGUUUUCUAAAAAGAACCGGUCCAUCAGUUAAGUGAACCGAAGCAUUUUCUUAUUUAGCGGCCAUCCGCUGUUUAGUCUAUGCAGCAAACACCCCUUAGCCAAUCAGGGACUGCCACGUAGUUAGUUAGCUUUUAUUCUGUUUUUUUUUCAGAUUUAGUUCAAAAACAGAAAGUUCCAAUCUUGUUUAGCCCAUAACUUUUGAUCCCGAAGUCCAAUGAUAGUGAUUCUUUUUCCAGUAGCUCACAAAGUUCCUGUAGUUUCUAAAAACAUAUAAUUUGUAUAUGUUUGAAAUUUUCGAAUAUAAGUUAGAUCAGAUUUAGUUUAAACAUUGUUUUGCCUAUUCCAGGAGUUUAAAAAUAUCUUUUAAUCUGAUUCCUUUUGGUACUGAUCACUAGUGAUCCUAUUUAUAAGUGGUAAAAAUUUCCAAUUUGUUUGAGUAUAUUAGCUCACUGUUUCUUGUGAAACAAUUUCUGUUUCAUCUCUUUUAGGAUUUCGGCUAAUUCCUUUUCUACUUUUGUUUUAAAAUAUUUUCUUUAUUAUUUCAGAAACAUUAUUGUUUUGUUUAUGUUAGUUAACAGUAGUUUUGGAACAAGUUUUUAUUUUAUUUUUAUUUGUUUUCAUGAAAUCAAUUCUAGUUCCUUAUUAACUUGCAAUUGGUUUCCGCACUGUUUCAAAUCCCGUUUGGGAAUACUUUCAAAAAGUUUUGUGAAAAAUACUUUAUUUUAUCUUAGUUAAACUUAUAUCUUAGUUCCUUGUUAUUAUUUUCUGUUAGACAAAAACUAGUUAGUGUUUGAUGUAGAAGAAGACUCCUAGUUUAGUAAAGUUUCUUUCGGAUUCUUAUUCGCUCUCUCUUUUGUUUUGAUUGCUAGAAUGAUUGCUAGUAUGAGUGCUUAUGUGAAUGAUAUGUUUGUUAUAUAGAUUCCCUCGGAGAGUGACGAGUAGUCUAUCAAGUUAUUUUCUCGAGAAAUUCUUCUUCGUCAACAUCACCAGGCAAGUCACUUUGAUCAUACUAUCACCUAUGUUUUAUGCAUCGUAGUUCUACCAUCCUAUGCCCAAAUUGCAUGCUGCUUAAGUACUUGGAAAUUUUAGUAUAGGUUGUAGUAUCAUGUGGUAGGCACCCAACAACCCCGAUACUUGGCCCCGGGACGACAAAUUUCAUAUUGCUAUGCUUGAGGAGACGGGAUUUCGGUUGAGUGCAUAACACAAGUGAUGCGAGGUUGAUUAAAUAAUCAAGACCGGUUAAGACAAGAUUUUCAAGAUCUUGGACACAAUGCAACUCUGGGUGAAGGACGGUUGAUCGGCUCCCUGGAGAACCCAGUGGAUGACCCGGGAUGCUGGAGAGGCCAUGACAUCCUGCGGAAAGCUUCACCCAGGCUCAAAGAGACGGACGGAUAUUUUCAAGACCCAAGGCUUACCUGCACAGCCACAAGUCAUUAUGGGCUCUGGCUUGGUUGGACAACGCGGCGACUCUGGACAGGCGGUGCUAGCAGAUGUAGAAGAAUGGUAUGAAUGGAUGGGCACCGACAGGGAUUCAGAGGGACCCGUUGAAAGACCAUGUUUUGAUCAUCCGGUCUUCAAACACCCUGAAGUGYGAGGACAUACACGGAGGCGAUCAAAUCUUGUGGGGAACGUGUGCAAAACUCUACAGAGUACUCAAACCUAAUCGAUUAGCCGUGUCCACGGUCAUGGACAACUUGAGCCAAAGGAACUGAAGUUAUCUGGAUUUCUCAACACCAUUAUAUAUAUUUGAUGAGGGUAAUUAUUGACAACUCGGGUACGAGAACUGGUUGGCGGAACCAUCUCGUUAACAACCAACCUUGUAGUAAUAUUUUUCUUUUAGCCCUCUUGAUGUUGGAGAAAACUUGCUUUUCGCUAAAAAACUUAUAGCCCCAGCUGCCAUAAAUGCAUAUAGUAUAGAUGAUUACUUUUCACCCCUCUCUUAUGKGACUUGCCAGCAUAUUCAAUAUGCUGACCUACACGGCURCAACAUCUUAUGUUGCAGAUAUUUUUCUUCGAUGAGUAAGAGUACGAUUCAGGGUUACGGUCAACCCUCAACUUGCCGUUGGUGUUUAUUGGGACUCCACUCCCUUGACUGCUUCCGCUGAGAUAUUUAAGGUAUACAUCAGUUUUACGCUAUUUACAUGUGAUUGCACUUUGAUAUAUACAUUGAUGUACUCUGUGUGCCAGCAUACUGAUCCACGGAUGGCACAGAAACACAGAGGCUUGACUCGUCUUGAGUCGGGUCGCUACUGAAAUGGUAUCAGAGCACAUAUUGACUGUAGGACGUGACCCUAGAAACUAGAAAUUUCUUAGGAAAGGAUCUCUCAAAAAUUUUAUUUUCAACAACACCUUUUACUUCUCAUCUCUUCUGAUUUCAUCGAAUGUUCCCUCUCACCUCAAAUAGUUAGACAAUACCCUUACCCCUUUGACCUCAUGAAUAAUCAACGGAGUUCUACUUCAAAUUAAAGAGGAUUUCCUCAUGCAAUUGAAGCUACACCAAUUGAAGACUCUCAAGACCCGAAGAACUUGAAGACCCCGAAACGUUCGAAUAUUUAUAUGACCAUUAGAAGUCCAAACCCCUGUUAUAUACCCACGUUAGAUACGAUGAUUUGUGAGCCGUCAUUGGUGUGUGUUUUUCGAUAGCCACAAAUAAAACCCAUUCUCAAAAAUAUUGUUUGUAUUGUGUGUAUCUCCCUCCCUCUCUUACCCGUCUCAUCCCCAAAACCUCAACCCUACCAGAUGGAGUAUGAAGCUGGACUUGUAGUCUCUGGACCAAUGACCCAGCUAGAGGCUGAAAUAUGGACUCAGAACAUGGAGAACCACUUCGGGAGCAACUUGAUCUCAAGGAAGUAUGAAGUGGAACACGCUCUCUAGUACUUUACCCAAAGUGCUGCAAUCUGGUGGAAAAUGCACCAUGCCAUACAAGGAUUUAGUGGAGCAGAAACCUGGGACGAAUUCAAGAACACCCUGUUAAGAUCCCGUCUCAUUCGGAAGUGCUAUGAUAAUCCGAAGGAGAAGACUUGUGCAUGCAAGAUCUAUGGAGAAAUAGGACACACCCAGGAAGAACACAAGGAUCGAUGCACUCAUUGUGAAGAAAAUCACCCAGCUGAGGAGUGCCCAAGUAGUCAGGUGACUUGUUUCCUUUGUGAAGGAACCACCCACUACCCAGCUCAGUGUCACAUUUACCCCAAGGUGCAACAGGUUGUCAAGCAGCAGAAAGAUGCAGUGAAGGAACCCCUCAAGAAGAAGAUUCUAGAAGAACCGAUGAUGAACGAAAAUAUUGAAGACCCUGAUGGACAAGGUCUGACCAGAUUUUUCUCCAAUGCAUGUUACUCAUGUGGAGAAGAAGGACAUUAUUCACAGGAUUGCACGAAGGAAAGCCAAGAGUAGCUGGGAAACUUCCCGACGGAAGAAGUGGAGUUUGAUCCACUUGAAAUAGAAGAACUGGCCAAAAUAAAGGAGUCCAGAAAGAAGAAAAAGUACCCUCGGAAGAACCAAAUCUCUGCAGACAUAGACCUGAGUCAUGUCAGAUGUUACAAGUGUAUGAAAUUUGGCCACCACAAAUACAUGUGCUCAGGAAGGAAGCCGGAAAUCCAAGGAGCAAAAGAAAAAGCUAAGAGGCCUCGAGACUUGUCAGAACUCAUUUGCUUUCGUUGCAAGGAAGCAGGACAUUUUGCUAGCGAUUGUCCACAAAGGAAGAAAGCUAAGAAGGAGUAGUUAAGUUUUGACCGCGGCACUUAGUGUAAUAUGAAUAACUCUUGUUUUUCAUGAGAUCAUGGAGUGAAAUUUUGUAAAGAAGUCCCUGAGAUUGUAAUAACAUCAUGAAUAAAUGGAAUUUAUUGUCUCAUGAUUGCCUAUGUUGAAACUGUAUGCGUUGUUUCUCUGCGAACAAAGAUCUCUGAACAUUUAUGAGGAUAUGAGAAAAUAUGGUCUAUGCAUGCAUGAGUAUUAUUCAUUUUAAGUGUGGUAGUAAUCGGUAAACCCACAGGAUCCACUGAGUAGGAAUGUACCAUGAUUACCAAGGAGACACAUACAUUCCUCUGAGUACCUAUUUACUGACACCUACAGAUGACACCUCUCUACGAGUCAUUCCUCAAGGGCCCAGAAACGAUCAUGACCCUGACCAGUGACCAUGAUUACCCGAAAAUCCUGAAGGACAUGAUGAAGCACAUUCACCUUGAAGGAGAUGCAGUCUACAAAGGCUACCCAUUUAUGGAAAAUUGAGUGGAACUUUGGUACGUGGAAGUACACCUCCACCAUGUGAAAGGAGUUUGUCCAAAGACUAUGGGGAAAUACUUUUUCAUUUCACGUGUACCGCGAGCAACCUUCUUUGAUGCUGUUCGUGAAGCUGCCAUGGAAGCCAUACGUCAGAUUGGAGAAAUACUUGAAGCAAGACUCCGUCAUACCCAGGAAUACCUGAGUGAGGUACGUGCGUAGAUGAUGGAGAUGAAGCUCAUGACCACCAUGAUGAAGCGAAAGAUGGAUGAUUUCAAGGAGUACCUCGGAAAGUUCGAGUGGAAGUACCUCCAAGAGAGACAGAUGAAUAAAGUUGGCAGAAAUGCUUGACCAUACCGAACAAUGUGGAUGGCAGCAUUUGUAAUAAAUUACUUUUGAGUUAGAAUUUUGAAGAAAGCAAGGAUGUAAUAAAGGAUAGAUUAUGUAAUGAAUAUGAUUUAUGGAAGAAGCUAUGAUGGAUCAGCAAACGUUUUCUUAGGAGCAUACGAAAGCCAGAGAGUUGUGGAGAUACGAUAGAUGUUUCGUUCAGCUUGCAGAACCAAUGGUUUAUCCGAACUUCGUUCGUGGACAAGAGAAACUCUGCAACGCUUGUGAGGAUGCCCAAGUGUUAGAAUGCGAGAUUCGCUAAACCUUAUACAGAGAAAUGAUUUGGGUGCGGAAUGGAUCGAUCACCAUGACGACUUACUCUUAUCAUUUAUCUUGCUAUUCAGAAUGGUAAAUCUGAGAGACUUACCCAUAUAGAGAGAUGACGUUCUUUGAAGCUUUUGUUUAAGACUUAGAGUGGUAUAAGAAAAGCCCAUGCACAUGGCACUUGUUGACACGCGUAGGAAAUUUUACGAUGAGAAUGAAACCAAGACCCCACUCUCUGCAAGAUAACCACAAAUGGUAUACCACCAUGAGAACCAUCGAUAUGUUAUUUAGAAUUGACCGCGAGACUGUCAGUUAAGAAGACCCAGUAAAGGAAGAAGCUUAUAUCAACGGAAGAACUCUCGAUUUUGAUGGAAAACGUUAUGAAUGUAACGAAAGAGCUUCACCAGAGGAGUUAGUAUGAAGACUGUGAGGAGUCAGAUGCCAAAACCCCACCGGAUUGUCAAAAAUCUUAUGGGACAAGUAAUCUUCAUUUUAAGUGUAGUAGCAUCCCACUUUGCUGGAAGUUGGAUUUGUUAGAAGACCCCCAAACCCUAACGUUUCUUUCUAGCCUCUUCGAAUCUCGAGGACGAGAUUCAUUUUAAGUGUGGUAGGUUUGUAACAUCCCAAAUUUUGGAAUGUUAAAAUAAUUAUUAGAUUGUUUGUUUGUUUGCUUGAGUGAUUGAAACUUGUGUGAAAUUUGAAACUUUUCAAAAACUUUUGAAUGAUAGGGAAUAAAAUGACUUUCCCCAUCUCUGAUGAAUUCAAAUUCAAUCUUUUAAAAGAAAAGAGAGAAGAUGACAUGACUUCUUCAACUAUAAAGAAUUUGAACGGAGUUUGCAUUUGAAUCCUUUCAAAUUAUUUGCCCUUGCUUCUAUAUUUUUCUUCCCCGAGAAAAUGCCCCGACAAAAUUCUUGCACGCAUGAAAGAGCGGAGGAAAAUGACCCUCCAAAAACCAGGGCCAUUGAUUGAAAUAUUUUGAGCCAAGAAAAAACCAAAAUUUAAUUUGAGAAAAUAAUUGCAAAAAUAAAUAAUGCUUUUAGGGAUUUUUUGGAAAAACAUUUUUUUAAGUUUUCAUUUUGGCCGUUGAAAAAUGCCCAUCAUUUAGAUUUUAUUUUUCUGAUAAUUUUAGUAUAUAGAAACCUUAUAUUCCGAAUUGAUUUGAUUUGCCUUUUAUCGUUUUAGUUUCCUAGUUUUGAAAAAGGAAAGAAAUCGUGUUUAAAUGGAAAUAAACGGUCGCCCAUUAAAACCUUUCCAAAAACUGGCCCAACAGGAUCUUCUUCUUCCUCUAUCUCCUUCCUCACGUGCAUAGGACCUUCCUUAGCCAUGGACAGAGAAAUCCUCACUUCCGGAAUUCGCGAAGUUCUUUCCCUCCUAGCCUCUCCCGUCGCCCCUAUAAGAAGGCCCCGGUCCUCCUCGUUCCAUUCCCGUUGGAAUCGCCGCCUCUCCCCACCUCCUCCCCCCCCCCUGUGGACCUCGGCGGAGUCGGCCACAGGAACUCGCCGGCGACCUUCCCCAUCGCCCCUGCACCCCCUCCCCACCCCACCGACUUUCCCCAUCGCCCCUGCACCUCCUCCACCACCCCACCCCGUCGCCCCCCUGCAUCCCUCCCCAUCCCCACCGAGCUCCCUGCCAGGAGUUCCCCG
rnacentral:lncRNA from 1 species